rnacentral:lncRNA from 1 species
UAGACAAGAAAAAUAUUAGACCUUGAUCUUACAAACUAAUACUUCAAGCAGUAUCCUAGAAAGCUAAAAACUGCAAGAUGGCUUGAAAUUUGAAAAGAGCACGUGCUUUUCCUCCUUAACUUGAGAAAAUGUUUAAUAUAGUGCACCUUACAGAAGCAUUUAAGCAAUUAGAACUUUGCACAAAAACAUCAAGAAGACUAAACAAAUCAGAUGCAGUGUAUUUGUCCAAGCACAAAUUGCAUUUUGUCCUCAACUUUAAUAUUUAUUGAUGAGAAUCAAUACAGGUCCCUCAUUUGUUAUAGAAAGCUUUCUUGUAGUCUCACCAGUUAAUUCACAGGUCUAUAAUCAUCUUGCAAAGUUAAGGGCAUUUCUUUCGAUCUAAAGUCUUUGGAUCACCACCUCAUCACACACCAAGCCAAUAUUCCAUUUACCUCUACAACAAAAAGUUUUUAAGUAAACAAUCCUAAUGCACGCAGCCAAAUAAAAUGCAGUAAGAAUAUUCAACUUAAAAAUCUGAAAGCCAACUUGGUGAAUUGCCUCCUUAGGUGAAGUUCCAUGCUUUACUAUAGUUGACAGAACUCAGCAAAAGCUUCCAUACAACAGAUUUUGAAAAUGAUGAUGCCAAUAGAUACUCAUUCAAUCCAUUGAAAAUCCAAAGGUUCAUUGUUAAUAGAAGUUUACAGAGUUUUGGUCAUCAAAUAGCUCAGACCUAAUCCCAAACAAAAAACGAGUGAAAAUUAGAUCACGAGCAGCUAAUUGUAAAUUCUAACUUAACUCUUCAUCUCCUUUGUAAACAAGAAACAAAAUGGAGACAAGCAAAAUGAAUAUGGAGAAAAUUUGAACUCAAAUGAAAUGAGGGCACGAAAGCAAACAAAUGGCAUGCACAAAAAAACCAAGCCUCAAUCAAAAACUAAUUAACCAUUAAGAAAAAAAUUGGUCAGAGAAUGAACUCCAAAUUCAGGAGUCAAGCAAGAAGCUUUCAUUAUUUCAGAAGCUCCUGUACAGGAUUCUAUCACACAUAGGAAUUGUAUAACAAGAGAUCGAUAUAUCGAAUUAGAAAACUCAAUUCGAAUUUGUGUCAAAAAUCAAAAUUAGAAGAUUUCACAUUUCGAGAGGAACAAGCAACAGAUGAAGUUGAAAAUUUUCAGCCAUAACAUGCUAAAAAUGCUACACUGAACGGUUCAUUUUCAUGGGUUUUCUCGGGAAACAAACAGAAAAUUACGGUUUAGAGAGUUGACUGACCUUUUGGCUUUUGAAAUUGAGAAGAUCGCACGCCAAAUUGGAAGAGGGAAAGUGAAAGUGCGAGUUUUAAUAUGGGUAUUAGAUAAGGAAAUUUUAUUAGGUUGCGAGGGUAAAAAAGGAAAGAGAUAUCAUUGUUUUAUUAUCGAUAAUUAUUAAAAAAAUUUCCCCAAAAAAAGAACAAGCAAGGAUAUUUUAUUGUCAUUUGCAACCUUUAAUUUUUUAAAUGCUAUUAGAAACACAAGACAACAAAGAAAUACUUAUUUUUUUUCUAAAACUAAAAUUAAUUGUUUAACUUCUUAUUUCAGAAUCCAACUCCAUUACUAAGUUAAAAAAAUUGUUUCAAAAUUACUUGAGUCAUAUCUAAUGGACCAACAAAGUAAUCGUUUUUAUUUUUAUUGAUUUUUGCAGAAAAUUAAUAACUUAAAAAUACUGAAAGCUAUUGAAAAAAAUUUUUAUUAUCAACCUCAUAGUUUUUUUUUUUUGGGAAGAGAAUUCAAACUUUUUUUUUAUGAAUAUCGCUGUUUCGUUUGAGUUGGAUGUGAAUUCAAAUACAAAUAUUCUUUGUUUUUCAAUUUUGAACUCAAUUUCUUUUUCUCAAGAAUGUUAUGCAGAAAUGAUUUUUACUAAAUCAUUUUUGAUGAAUUGUUUAAAUUAAACAAUUGGAUUAAGAAUUGUAACGAUUUAUCAUAAGCGUGCUAAUAUGAUAACUUGUUUUACGAAGGAUUAAUUAAUCAAUUAAUAUUAAAUUAUAUAUUAGUCAAUUAGAUAUGUGUUACAUUUGUCAUGUUUUGUAGGUGAUACUACAUAAUUUCUAAAAGAAUAUAGUAAAAAAACGUUAAAAUGUUAUUUUAAUGAAGAAAAUUUUAUAAUUUUAUUAAAUAGGUGACACAAUAAUAAAUGGAUUUCUGUAAGAAUUGAGAUUCUUGAGAUAAUUAUUACAUAAGGAGAAGUUUAUUACAUAGGUGACAGCUAUGAUUUUGAAACUUUUGCCUAAAAUUGUUAUCAUUACUUCUUGUUUCUUAUUUAAAGAGAAAUUCUAGAAACAUGAAAUGAUUAUUCUACGCUUGUUUUAAUAUUAUACUAUGAAGAUUAUGAAGGUUUGAUUAAUGUCACUAUCAAUUGCCUUAAUCGUUUGUCGUAAAUCAAUUAAGCAUUUUGAUGCGAAUGAUUCCCUAUUAAAAAAUUCAAGUCAGAGCUGAAUUGCAAAGUAGUUAGUCGUGCUUGCAAUUCAAAUUAAGUAUUGUAUUUUCCCCCUGAUUUGGUUGAUUCAACUAUGUGCAUUUGCUUAUGAACGUUGUAGUACAGAAAUCGAAACAUCUUGUCUUUUGCUAAGCCCAGAAGCAAAUUCUUUGUAUUCUACUCAUCAGUUUUCUUCAUUCUCUUCGUUGAAAUUUUAUCCAAACAGCGGUUUCGAAAUUGUUUUCACCACAAUACCUUAGUCUUUCAGAUGCUCCCGUCACUGAGUUGCCAGAAGAGCUAAAAGCCUUGGUAAAUCUUAAGUGUUUGAACCGGAGUACACAAAUUAUCUCUCUACAAUUCCAAAACAACUGAUUUGUUACUUUUUGAUGCUACAUGUUCUGCGAAUAUUCAGUUGUGAUUAUCUUGUUCAAAUACCAGAAAAUAGCGUUCUAUUUAGUGAUAAUGAAUUCUUGGUUUGGGAGUUGCUUAGUUUAAAACGUUUAAAUGUAUUAAGCAUCAUCUUGAAAAGUUUUUCUGCCGUCCAAAAACUUAUGAGCUCCCAAAAGUUUCAAAGCUGUACACAAUGCUUGGAGCAUAUAGGCUGUGAUGACCCAAAGUCAUUUGCCUUGGCAGAGUUGAAACAUCUUGAAAAACUAGGUUUUUCGAGUUGUGGAAAUUUGGAAGAGUUAAAGUUCUGCUGUGUUGAAGUUGCAAAGGCUCGAGAAUGUUUUCGUUUGAACGGCCCUUGCUGAGUUAAGAUGAAGGCUUGUCAUAAAUUGUGGGAAUCGACAUGUUAUUCAAAUAGAAAAAUGUAUGGAGAUGGAUGUUAAUCUUAAGGUUAUUCAAGCAGACAAAUUCGAAUAAAACUUAUGGUAAGUGCUUUUCCAUUUAUUGCAUAUUUAUAUCUAAUUUUUAUUUUCCUUUAUUGUUAAAUUUUGCUCUAUAUUUGUUUUUGUAUGGUGGCAUUCUUGUACAAUUAUUAGCUUUUCAUUUCUCUUCUCACAUUAACUGCCCUUCUGAUCAUGUAGGAUUUGCUGAUGCAAAGAGUCAUAAUUUGGGAUACAAAUGUAAGAAUUAGACAGAUGACAUGUUGUUUUGAAGCUCUCGAAGAAGAAGGACUAAUUAUGUCAUUGAAAGCCUCCAAUUUUGUGAUUGGUUUCUUUUUAUUUUAUUUGUUGUUUUCUCUAUUUUCAGAUCGCUUAAUUGUUAGUUGUUGUAAUCUAAUAUUUUAGUGUAGAAAAUUAUAUUCGGCCAAGACAGCGAUAGGAGGGCACAUUGUGCAUGCACACUAGUGGAUUUGUCAUGCCAAAUCCAAUUAGGAUGGAUAACACUUUAUAAGCAUUAGGCGUCUCUCGUACCUGAGUAAUAUAGAAUAUGUUUAUAAGUUGUGAAUCACCCUUUAUAAGUGUUAGGCUUCUGCUAUACUCAGUGAUGUGAAAUAUAUUUAUAAGCACUAAACUUCUCCCAUACACUUUAUGUUAAAAAUAAUAAUAAUAAUAAUAAAAUAAACCUAUUUUAACAGACUCUUUUUUCUUUUUCUAUAUGAACAAACGCAUUCUUCAAAGCAAUUGUGGGUAGAAGAAGUGAGUAGAGAAGAACUGGGCCCCUUUCAUUCCUUUAAAACCUCACCAAAACCUCUCUUGUAAGCUUCUCGGAUUUUCUUUCUAUAUUUCUUAGGAACUCAUUUUUUAUUGAAUCACUUCUUUUGCAUGCUGCAUUUUUUGUUUGUCGUAUUUGGGUAUUAUCUUAUCUGGAAUGCUGUUAUGAUUGAUGGAACAAGUAAUCGAUUUUUGGUCUAAUGGAAGUUGAUUUAUUUAUUUAUUGUUAUUUUUAUUUGAAAUUAUGUACAAUUGCAUUUCAUUCAUUUCUCUCUCUCUUUUUCUUUUUUUCCCCCCAUAAAUUUGUUAUGUAUAAUUGCGUUUCAUUUAAUAUUGAUCAUACUGUAGGUAACCAUGUGAUUGUAGAUGGGGAUUUCAAGUUUGUUGAAUAUUCAUGUAAGUGAAGUAACCGUCACAAUACUAGUGAAAUUGGGAGCUUUAUUCAUGAGUUUGUGGUUUUGAAAAGUACCACAGUUCAAAUGAUGAAGGCUCCUUUUUGGGAUUCUUCUUUUUCUAGGCUGCAAUUAGGAUAUGUACAUGAUAGACAAUCUUUUGUUGGUUUGGCAUAUGUUCGCUGAUUUUGUCUUUUAUUCCCCAAUUUUAUAAUUACACACCAUGAAUGUUGGGUGAUUGUAUAGAAAAUUUGUGUUAUAACAAAAACAUUGUGAAGGAGUUUCCGUGCUAAUAGUUGUGGCUUCUGUUUUAUUGGCAUUGAUUGGGUAGAUUACGUGUUACAGUGAUUCAAUUUGUGUUCCAAACUUUGCUUUAAUUUUCUGUUUUCCCCAACUAUUUUUGUCAAAUUUAAAUCCAGAAGCAUGUACUGAUUUUGUCUUUUUGUAUUAAUCUGUGAAGUUUAUUUGGAAUGGAAGUAACUGGGUCAGGUCUAAUGGAUUAAAUUAUGACAUUGAGGGGAAGGCACUAAAAGGGUUUGCUUGACACAUUUGGUUCUGUGUUUACUCUGCAAGAAAUAGCUUUUGCUUAUUGCAAUGCAGGGGGAAAUCCCGAUUUGGCUGGUGAAUUUCUCUGCAACAAACAGGCAAACACCUCAACCUCUUCUGUCCAUACUUCUGCUGGGGAGGCAAGGGGUAAAGAGUCUUCAAAAUCAUCAAAUAGUAACAUCUCUGAGAAUUCAUUUUAUGGAAAUGGAAAAUCUAGAACUUCUAAUACAAAAUGGCAUCUGGUAUCAGGACGUACCGUUUCAAGUUUUCUUGGUAAAGAUUAUGUUAAACCUGCACAGCCAGCUAAUGGCACUUUUCUGGCAUCAAAGCCAUUGAAGUUGGAUCCAAAGGAGUUUCCCAUGUCUGCACUUUGCAGAGAAGAAUCUAAACCGAAACAAUCAAAGGAUGACCAUUUGCAGAAGGACAUGGAAGAUUUUCUGUUUAAAUUUCCAGGAGACGGUUCCAGCUGAACAGGGAUGUGAUUCAGGAGGUUCUCGGUAAUGUCUUAAAUAUAUUGAUGCCAAUUUAAUACAUAUUGUCCUUUUCAAUGUUCUUUCUUUCUUUCUUUCUCUUCUUUUAUUCUUCUUCUUCUUUUUUUUUUUCAUGUGCAUGUGAUCGCUAAUUUGGUAUUAUUUUUAACUUGCAGAUACUUGUGGAUAUGAUAUGCAAAAGGUAAGGACUAUAUCCUCCUGAUGGAGGCCUCUGCUUUUCCCUUCUUUGUACGUAAUUUAGUAAAUCGCAUCUUCUAUAUAUCAUACCAAAAUCCAGUCUUAAAUGCUGCUGGCAUAUGUUAAGGUUCAACUUGCAUUUUGAUUAACGUCCAUUUGCUACGGCUUCCAAAAUUGAGAAUGAGAUACUUUGGUUAAUUUCAGUAGUUGAACCCAAUAGGGUACUUUAUUUAGAUCUUCAUGGUUCAAAGGCCCGAAAAAACUUACAGGUAUACCUGCAAAAUGACACUCUGUGCUUUUAUUUAUACUUAUUAUUUAAGUGAUAAAAAUUCCCCAAACCUGCGGUCAAGAAAAUUUCAGAGAGUUAAAGACUCCAUUUUGUUUCAGCCAAAAAUGUUUAUUUCAAUUAAAGAUUUGAACCAUUUUCAUUUAACCUGAUUGUGAUGCUUUACAUUGUGCACGCUCCUCUCGAUCAAUAAACGUUGAGGUCAUGAUUUUAUAUUUCUAUAUUGUAACCUGAAAUAAUAAUUGGUUUGCAUGUUUCUGUAGCUUGAUAACAUGAAUUUUCCUUCUGAAGUUACUUUGAUCAAUAAAGUUAUUCUUCGGAGAAGAUAUGCCCAUUCUAUAAUCAUUUUCCUAGCUAAUAUGUUUUUUUCACUCUUCUGAGCAUGUCUAAACUAAUUGAUCGCUCGGCAGAGACUUUGGGUAAGAAAACAAAAUUUCAUGGUAAAUCCUCUGAAAAGGUAUGCAUAAUUGAAACAAUCCGCCCCGAAUCCCCCCAGGCGAGUCUAUCUAGUCUCAUCAAAACGGACUUGAUAAUAAUUCUAUUAGUAAAGACGACAGAAUCUCUUUUAUAUAUAUAACACUCCCAAUGUACAAAUAUAAAUAUAAUACUUUCAAUACAAUUCAAUAUACAACAAACUCCAGUGAUCAAUAUCCUCAACUAAAAUGCUGAGUUUUAUAUUAGAGUCUCAAAAGAUAAUAUUAUAACUAAUAUUAAUAUCUCAGUUUAUUUUUAAUCCCAAAAGAAUAAUAUAACAAAAUUAUACAAUCCCAACAGGACGAGAUAACCAAGAUGUCCUAACAAAAACAUUUAUAUCUUCUAGCACCAUCACGUGGCCAAGACUCAAAAUAUAUUUACAAUCGCUGGGUCGGUCUGGUGUACCUGCAACCUACUGGUGAGGGGGGAAAAUAUAAUAAAAACAGGGUGAGUUUAAAACUCAGUGAGAUCGGUGAGUAGAUAGUAGUUUUGUAAAUUAAUUCUUACUUUAAAAGAAAUAAUCAUGUCAUUUCCAAACAUGAUUUCAUUAAACUAUAAGCGAGAAACCAGUAAUAAAUCAUUAAACAUUUAAAUCAGAUUAUUAACCAUGGAAAUCAUAUCACAAUAUCAUAUAGAAUUCACAAAUCGGAAAAUCAUCACCAAACAAGUACCCAGAGAAAUAAUCUCGUCAUAUCCGGACCUCAACGGACGGGCAAUGACGUACUAUCUGGGUAACGUCACACCCCGGAGCUACACGGAUAGACAGGGAAAUACCAUCUCAUAUCUCAUCAUAUCUGUGCAUGCAUAAUCUAGUCCCCAAGGGACAAAAGCGCCCAAGCACACGGCCCAAAGCGCCCAAGCACACGGCUCAAAGCCUCUAUGUGUACUCAGACGGGCCCCAAAGGCCUGUAUCUCACAUGUAUCAUAUGUAUCAUUUGUAUCUCAAUAUUUGUCUGUAUCUCAUAUCCGUAUAUCUGUAAUCAUCAUACCGCAUGCAUAUGCCCCCAAAAGGCAAAAAGCGCUCAAACACACGGCCCAAAGCUUUUAUAUGUGUUCAGACGGGCCCCAAAAGCCUCUCAUUUCAUCUUAUCUGUAUCACUGUAUCUGGAGGGAAGGGUACUGUCUAAUGAUUUAAAAAACAAUCAUUAUACUCAUAUUUACAUACCUCUUAACCAUAUUUGAAGUCAUAUCACAUUUGAAUCCACUUUUCUAAUCUUUAAAAUAUUAUCAUACUUUAUUCAAAGUCGAUACGCAAAAUCAAUAACCAAACAUUUUAAUAAAAUACCAAUGCGUAAAUAAAAUCUAUUUCGAGAAAUCAUUAAAUCAGAACAUUUAAAAUACUUAUUUUGCAAACAUGUUUUACUAUUAUCGCUAACUAUGAAAAUAAGUUUUGUAUAUUCCACUCUCAGUGACGAUGUUCACGGUCGGUUAUCGUCCAUAUCUGCAGACCGAUUCUCGCUCGCGGAUCCUCCUAAAUCAAGGAAACGACAUAAUUAUUUUUCGUAAAUCGGAAUUAUGACUAAAUUUUAUGCAAUAAACUCAAAACGAACAUCUAUUCAUAAUUGACAACUCCUAUAUCCAUAAAAUUACUAAAAUGUCCUUGAGUCCGUAGAUCAUUAACAUGCUCCGAAAUCGUAAAUCACUUAAUUACCCUCGGAAUCGUAAUUACACCUGAUCCUCAAUUCUAGGAAUUACUAACAUAUCCACAGGCUCAGAAAUUACAAAAUUGCCCUCAUAGUGUGAAAUUACCAAAAACCGGAAGUUGGUCAACACUGGCUAGGAAGCUCGAAUCGUAAAGUUCCAAUCACGCUGAGUUCAAUGGUACCGGCGGUGAGCUCCAAUGCGCGGCAACGACGCUGGAAUCUAGCUCGGCAGUCGUGAAUUCCACCAAUCGACCGGCGGCAAAACAGUGACUCUCGGUGCCUAUGGAUGGUCGGAACUGGAAGAGGGAGUCGUGGGGAACAAACUCCAACCGGUGGUGUCACCAAAACCGGCGAAAAUCCCGGCGGAGCAAAGUGAAACAGUCGCGGGUUUCAUGCUUCGAUCGCCGGUGUUCCGAUUGGUUUUUGGCGAGGAGGAUGGCAAGGGAACGACGGCCGGCUUCUAAGCUUCAGAUUGGUACCAAGCUCGGCCGAAAUGGUGGCUGGCAAUGGGAGAUAUGGCCGGGUCAAGGUCGCGGGUUCCGGGUCGGGUUUUCGGGUCUGUAGUUGGGUCGGUUUGGCAGCUUCUCUCUCACUCUCUGUUACACGUGCAUAUGUUUCGUCUGUUUCCAGCUUAUUCUUUUGCUUUUACUAACUUCUUAACCGCCUCAUACUUAUUCAUUUUUAAUUCUCAUAUGUUACAAUAAUUCCCGAGUAUUAAAUAACCAGUGGUCAUAAUUUUUGUACAAGAUUCUUUUUUUUUUGGAGAUCGUUAAAAGUGGUUGACGAUCCAUUUUGUAAUAUCAUAGAGGGAUCAUCAAUUCCUUUUCUUUUCUGUGGCUAGGCAACACUUUUUGGCCAAACUAAGGAAAUCUAUUUUAGGUAAUGUAAAAACCAGUUAUAGGAUGUAAUAGUUUAUUAUGUACUGACAAUAACUUUUUGUAUAAUUGUCAGUUUAAUGAAUACAAGAGGAACUCUGUUGGCAAAUUCAUCCAACUAAAAUUAUUUAUGCAUGCCCGUUGCCUUAACUAAGUUUUCUCAGCACUGGUUUUGAACAGGAAAAUGAAUAUGCAAUUUGUAUAUUGUGCCAUAGUGGAGAAUUUGGAUAUUCUUAUUUAAGUAACAAGGAGAUUAUUUGCCUCAUCUUUAAACAAUGAAUCUUUGAGAGAUGAGGAGUGGGUGAUUGGCUGUGUCUUCAUGUAAUUGUUCAUUUAUUUGUAUUUUGAACUGUUAUGAAAAUCUUUAUAUGCCAAAUUAGUAAUACAAGUAUUCAGAUGAUUUUUCCUAUUGAUCAUGCAUUUGUAUCUGCCCACAACCAUUGUAUAUCACUUUAUUCUGAUGCGCAAGCAUCUGUAAUUUAGAAGAAAAGAAAUAAUAAUCAUAUUUUAUUGCUUGGUUCAUGAUUAUUAACGAUUAUGGCUUUAAAAAUCUACAAAUUUCUUGUGUUCAUGUAUGAAUGUGCCAAGUUUGCUGUAUCUUAGAUUACCUUCUUCCAAGAUAACAAGUUCAUAUAUUUUUUUUUUUAAAAUCCUUUUCCAUUACAGUUGAAUUUCAAGUGUUAGUUUUGUUAUUAGUACCUGGUUUCCUGUUAUUAGGAUCUAAUAAACAGUGUACGGAUAUGUGCUCUACUUUUGGAGGGCCUCCACGUGAAAGAAAAUUGCAACAAUUGAAUUCUUCCGGAGGGUAUGGUAAUUAAUUUAUUUUCUCAACUUGUUGUAAGACUAAUAUAUUUCCUUCAGUAGGCACGGCAUGGUGGGAAGGGUUUUUAUUGAAAGAAUUCUGAUAUUUCUUAGACUUUGUUUUGGAAGGGGGUGGAGGGAUUUCUCAUCCAUAUAUGGUUACUUGAUUAGCUUUUGACUGUAUUGUCUCCGUCGUGCAAAGGAAAAUCUAAAUACUAACGAUGGGGAAUUGCUUAGGCACCCAAAAGGCAGAAAUGAAUUACAGAAGGAAGUUUUUGCUGCUUUAUUUAGUGCUGCUGAGAAAUCUGAUGAAUUUCCUGAAAUUACGGUGAAGACCGAGUGGAGGUCCAAAGCAUUAGGAAAGGUGGUGAGUGAACUGCCGGAGGAAUUAGUACCAGAAUACAAGGCUAAUGUGGUGCACUUGCAGCAAGAUAACCAGACCGGUAUGUGCUCUUAUAUUAACUAUAUUGACUGGAUUUGUUAGUGUGUGCAUUUUUUUGUGUAUACUCACUUUUGUAUUUAUGCAUAUUAACAUGUGUAGGAUUCUUGAUUUCUGCCACUUACUGGAGAACUAGUGGAAAGCUUUAUACUGAUAUAUCUGCAAUAACUAAUGGAAACUAUGAUAUGAAUAUUUUCUCUCACCUGGGGAGCUGUGUAACAGAUAUACUUUGUGGCUCUGGAAUGCUGAAGAUUCUGCAAUAACUAAUGGAAAAUAUGAUAUGAAUAUUUUGUCUCACCUGGAGAACUUUGUUACAGAUACCCUUUGUGGCUCUGGAGUGUCUAAAGAAUGCUUCCGUUAGAUCAAAUAUCUUUUAGUUAGAAAAGAUAAAAUUCUCUGAGUCUGAAAGACUGAAACAUUUUGCAUAUUUUGUGAAAGGGAAAUAUCUGUUGAUACUAGCUCAUGCAUUGAGGUAAUAUCGAUGUUAAAGAAAAACAGCAAUGAUUUAUGAUAUAGAAUUGGGUUCACUUGCUUUAAAUGCUGGUCUGAUCAACCAUAUCAACCUGUAAUGAUUCUGCAGAAAUAUAUAUACAAGGAGAAAGUAGCUAAAUUUUUCUUUCAUUUAUGGGUUCGGUCUUUUUUCCCCUUAUUUUUCAGCUUUCCUUCUCCUGAAGUAUGUUAACAAUUGCAGAUAAUGAUGAAGAGGACAGCUUCCAGGCUCUCCUUAGAGCCGUGAUGGAAUAUAGGGGCACAAUGAAGGAAUAUUGUAAAGCUGUAGGUACUUUUUCUCCUGUCAUUUAUGUUUUCUCACACAUUUUGUAUAUGCCCUGAACAUGCACCUUUGUAUGUAUCAAUUGACUUUUAAAUUUUAAAAGCCAUAAAGUAAGAAUACGGUUCCUUGUCAGGCUACUGAUGACAUUCGCUCAGGGGGAUCAUGUUCGAGCAGGAAAAUUUCUAGAACAGGUAAGGUUUCCAUCUACAGCCAUCCAUUGACAGCAGAUAAAUUUUCAUUCAGCAGACUCUGUUAGCAUUCAAGAUGCUGGCAGAUUCACUUGAUUCUUAUUAGCUUGUUUAGUGGCAAAGCCUAUAACCUGUAUUUCAAAGCCAAGUUGUGCUAUUGAUUAUGUUAACUUUUUUGUUAACAUAAAAUGAUAUGGAGGAAAUAAUCAGUGUUGGAAAAUUAGGUGAAAAGAUGAUGUCAAAUCUUGAACCUCUUGCGAAACUCUAAGUUCUUUACUUGAAGAGGCUACCAAAUUUGAACAGCGUCUACUCGAAGGCCUUGCCAUUCCCUGAUGCAUGCAGAAUUUUUGUAUUUAAAUGCCCAGAGCUUAAGAAGCUGGCACUGGAUCUUGAAGGGGCAGACCAAGGUAAAAUUCUUAUCAAGGGAAAGGAAGAUUGGUGGAAACAACUUAAUGGGAGGAUCAAGUAACUCAGAAUACAUUGCUUCCAUUUUUUAAAUCGACUGACAAGUGAUUGAACGGGGCAUCAUCAAUAUCAUCAACAGGGAUGGAGAGAUGCCGGAGCAGAUCAGCAGGGUUUGAAUAUGACCUUCGGCGGUUGCUUUUUUUUUUUGUGAUUUUUUUUCAUUUUUUCCUUCCUGUCAUUUUAUCAUUUCUUUGGCUCUGUUUCUAUUGCGGGUGUUACUGCAUGCUUACUGUUGCUUGACAAAGUUUGCUAGCUUUUUGUUUGCAGCGCUGCUAUACGCCCCGAGUCAAGCCCCGAAAAUUUAUUAAACGACGCCGUUUCGACAGUAACAAUUCUUUUCUUUUCCCUUUGCCUGUUUCUUUCAUCUGCAGUUUCUCUAUCACUUUUCAUUUUUGAUUUCCGUGCUUCCCAGCUGCCCCUAAAUUGUUAUUCUAGCAAUAUACUUUCUCAUCUUUGAAUUUUCAUCCUUGAGUACUCCCACAGCCGUAAUUUCAUCAUUAUAGACUUCACUUGGAAUGCUAGAUUUUUUCGAUUCUUGAGCUACUUCAAUUACAUCUUAGUAUAGGAUCCUCAUCUUCCUUUAUUUCUUCAUCUUAUGAGGUAACAAAUGGAUUUCACAACUCAUCUACUUUUAAGCAAUUACAUAUUAUACCCUGAAUGAUUCAACUGUUCCGACAGUUAAAGAUUUUAUGCUCAACCUGCAGUGCUACGAACAUUGUCCAUGAAAGAUGAGUUUCAGCAUAUAAAAUGAAGUAUAGAUGUUUAAUCUAAAAUAACCCUUCACUGCCAGAAACCUAGGUCGCAAAAUUCACAGAUAAUGAUAAAGAGCUAAAAAAUUUGAAAAAACUCUACAGAUCACACAUCAAGCAAGAUAUCAUGUUUUUUCCCUCAUUCGGUGGUGAUUGAUUCGCUUUUUGAUGAUGGAUAUGGUAUAAAAGUUUUGACCCAAUUUCAAGCAAACACAAAUAGAAACACAAACACAAUCGGGACUAGAGUUGUGGGCGAUUAUCUCAGGUGUACAAGUGAAACGGUGGUGGCUGUCGAUGGUGGUAGUGGGGUGGUUGGGUAUGCGUGAUGGCAAGAUUUUAGGACAAUAAUGGUUGGAGUUGACCUCAAUCAAUGAAGGAAAGGGACAACAAUUUUGACAUCAAACGGUGCAUAUUUUAGUUUAGUAAAAUGGAGCCGUUUCGAAUUUGGGAUUUAAUCCGGGUUUGACGCGGUGCAAGUAUCAUUUUCCUUUUGUUUAUUAAUUUUUUUAUGGUCACAAAGUAUUACUCGUUCUAUUUGACAGUGAUGUGAAUCAAUUUUUCAAUUUUAUAUUUUGUGGUCAAUAUGAAUUCAAUUUCAUUUGUCUCCUGCAAUUAUGAAAAAAUUACAGAGUCAUAAUAUGGAAAAGUACACCGGCAAAAACUUUUUAAAAGCUUCGGAGUGAUACGGGGAAUUCACUUACUACUAAGGACAACUGGUGGCAAGCUAUUCCAUUCAUUUUAUGUCCAUCCAUCUAUUUAGUUAUUGAAGACUAGUGGUCCAUUUGUAAAUUUCAGAUUGUCUCUCUCUCUCUCUCUCUCCCUCUUGAAAUAACAAUAUUUAAUAUAUCUCUUAAAUUAUUAUAAAUUUUAAUUUACUCUCGAUUUAAAAUGGAGCAUGUCGAUAAUUUUUUUUUUCUUCUUAAUAAAAUUGACGCAAGUUGUGUUUACAGUAGUUUGAAGUUGGAAGUAUUUUAAAGAUUAUUAUUCUAUAAGGGAGUAAUAUGAACUGAAAUUUACUUUUCACGUGUGAAAUGAAAAAGGACGAAGCAAGUGUCCCUGCUUUUAUUUUAUUUCAAGGAGGAGUCAUCGCACAUACUUUAGCUCUUAACAUUACAUUUUUAUUUUUUUUUUACACAUGCGUGUGGGGGUUGCUUUUCUGUAAGCUCCUUAAUAUAUAUUUAAGACAAAUCAUGGAAGAGAUGGGAUUAUAUCAAGAUGAUCAAAGCAUGUAAAAAAAGAAAAAAGAAAAAAAUAAUUAAGAAGUAAGACACUGAAAAUGGAGAAGAGAUGGAAGCAAAAGAUAUUCCAAAACAAAGCAAUCUAUCCCCUUUCGAGGGCAGACUUAUGAUGUUUAAAAAAGUACAUGCUUUGGAUUGGUAGUUGCAAUCAAGGGAAAAUAAAUAGGAUCCAAUGAAAUUUAAAUCUCGGAGAAAAUAAAUAAUCAUGCUGAUUUUUAAGAUUUUAAUAAGGGAUACUAAUAUCUUAUUUUGAUUAAUAAUAUCCUUUCAUUGUGUUAACUCAAAAAAAAUAUAUUUUAAUGUUUUACAAUAAACAGAAACGUACUAUUAAAAUGAAUAUAUAAAGAAUUUAGAAAAUUUAGAAUGUUAUAUAAAAUAAUUUUAAUAUAAUGCGUGAGAUAUAUUUUUUUAAUUUAAAAUGUCAUUUUACCUAAAAAAUAUGAUAAAUUAAUAAUUACAUAUUUGAAGUUAUUUCAAAUAUUAAAAAAAUUUAAUAUUAUUAAUCUUUUGGAUAGAUUAAAUUAUUUUUUAUAAGAGAUAAAUUAAAUUAUUUUAAAAUGCCUUAAUUGUUUUUACUUUUAACAUUACCGGCCUUUCUUUUAUUUUAUUGAAAAUUAAUGCUAACAAGAAAAAGCUAGAUCAUAUUCCACAAAAAAGCAAAAGUGACAAACACAACCAGCUGGAAUCUUUUAUAAAACUACAAAUUAAAAUGAAUUUUUUUUUGGGAAAAGGACACAGAGACCCCUAAUGUUUGAAUAAGGGACACAGAGAUCCCUAACGUUUGAAAAAGGGACACAAAACCCCCUAAGGUUUUAAAAAAGAUACUAAGACCCCUAUUUGUUAACAGAAAUUAUAAUUUUAAAGUGCAAUUACCAUUAUAUCCUUAUAGCAUAUUAAAAAAUAAUUAUUCAUUGUCCAAUUUAUUUCUAUAUUAUUAAUAAAAUUAUGAAUAUAACUUCAUUACCCAAUUUUUCCAUUUUAUUUAGUACAAUUAAGAUUUUGUAAUUAUUGUUGUAACCAAUUUUUUUUUUAUUUUGUUGAUUAUAUAAGUUUAAAUGAAGAAUUGUUAUUGAGAAUUGUUAUUUUUAUUAUAUUAGUAAUCAAUUUAAUUUAUUUUUAUUCUUGAGCAAUGAAUUAAAUUUAUUUAGUUGAAGAGAAAAUUUGACAAAAAAUAAAUGAAAAAAAUUGGAUAAUGAAGUUAUAUUCGUAAUUUUAUUAAUAAUAUACGAAUAAAUUGGACAAUGAACAAUUAUUUUUUAAUAUGCUAUAAGGGUAUAAUGGUAAUUACACUUUAAAAUUAUAAUUUAUGUUAAUAAAUGGGGGUUUGAGUGUAUUUUUUGAAACCUUAAGGGGUUUUGUGUUCCUUUUUCAAACGUUAGGAAUUUUUGUAUCCCUUAUUCAAAUAUUAGGGAUCUCUGUGUCAUUUUCUCUUUUUUUUUUUUGAUAAAUUACACAUGAAAGUGAAUUCUUUUGAAUAUAAGUGGGGUAGGCUCUUUUAUUUUAUUUUUGAAUACUGUAUAACAGGACUGUAGACUCUUUUAUUAAACUACAAAUUGUAUAGUCUUUUUCAAAUUGUUCAGAUAUUUAUAAAUUGGUGGCCCCUACGAUCCUCAAUAAUUGUACCGAUAUUCACAAGUUGGUGGCCCCUACAAUUCUGUUCGCAAGUGCUCAUUCACAAUCUUCCAGGUCAUGCUCUUAAUAAUUUACAUGAUCAAUUCUCUAAAUAUUUAGGGUAUAUGUGAACAUCGGUGGAGAAGCUUUAUUUAAUAUUAUUGAUUUAAAUAAUAUGUCAAUUAAAAAUGUGCGGAGAAGAAAUUUCGGUGGGUAUUUUAGUUUUUUUAACAAUUAUCAUGAUCAGAUCAGCCUUUAGCCUUGAAACGUCGGUCCGAAAAGUUUUAAAAUUAACGCUAACAAGAAAAAGCUAGGUCAUAUUCCACAAAAGCAAAAGUGACAAAAUAACCAGCUGGUUUCUUUUACUAAACUACAAAUUAAAAGUGGAUUCUUCAGACGAUUAGGCUCUUUUUAUUAAACGCAAGUAAAAAGUAGUCGAAUAGUCUUUUUCAAAUUAUUGUUUUAUUAUUUUUCCUUCAAAAGUUAGUGUGGCUCAUGUUUGCAGGUGCGAAUGUGCGAUGCUCUUUUUUUAAAGGCAAUUACAGUGGGUCCCGAAUCAUUACUAAAAUUUCUAUUCCACAGCCCACCGCAGCUUCAGUUAAUCAAACUCCAUCAAUUUUCUUUCUUAACAAAAUUCUAAAGAUGUGUAGCAUUUUUCAGAUCACAUGCGAUGGUGCUUUUUUCAAUCGUUGCUUGGAUUGCUUUCUUGGAAAAGCAGCAUACAUACGUAACCUCCAAGAUAAUCUUGUAGCCUUGCAGACUGAAUUGGGAAAUCUGAUCGCUAAAAAGAAUGAUGUGAUGAGGAGGGUUGACAAUGCUGAACGGCAACAAAUGAUUAGGCUGGAAGGAGUGCAAGUGUGGGUUUCGCGAGUGGAAGCUGUUAAAACUGAAGCUGAUCAAUUUAUAAGAGACGGCUCUCGAGAAAUUGAAAAAUUAUGUGUUGGAGGCUACUGUUCCAAGAAUUGCAUGUCAAGCUACAAGUUCGGGAAAAAAGUGGCUAAAAAGCUACGGGAUGUGCGGACUUUAAUCAGUGAAGGAGUUUUUGAGGUGGUGGCUGACAGAGCUCCAGAGUCUGUAGCAGAUGAAAGACCUACCGAGCGAAAAGUAGUAGGCUUGCAAUCACAACUUGAACAAGUCUGGACGUGUCUUGUGGAAGAAUCAGCGGGAAUCAUUGGCCUAUACGGUAUGGGCGGUGUUGGUAAAACCACACUAUUGACCCAUAUCAACAAUAAAUUUCUCGAGAGUCCAACCAACUUUGAUUGUGUGAUUUGGGUUGUAGUUUCAAAAGACCUGCGACUUGAAAAAAUUCAAGAAGAUAUUGGGAAAAAGAUAGGUUUGGUUGGUGAUUCAUGGAAGAGUAAAAGUGUAGAGGAGAAAGUUGUCGACAUCUUCCGGAGUUUAAGAGAGAAGAGAUUUGUAUUGUUGUUAGAUGAUAUAUGGGAGCGGGUUGAUUUAACAAAGGUGGGCGUUCCACUUCCCGGACCAAAAAAUACUACCUCAAAAGUCGUAUUCACAACCCGUUUCAUCAAUGUUUGUGGUAGCAUGGAAGUUGACAGGAAGUUUCAAGUGGCAUGCUUAUCAGAAAAGGAUGCUUGGGAACUGUUUCGAGAAAAAGUUGGGGAAGAAACUCUUCAGAGUGAUCAUGAUAUCGAUGAGCUAGCCCAAAUUGUGGUCAAAGAGUGUGGUGGUUUGCCACUCGCACUUAUUACUAUUGGUCGAGCUAUGGCCUACAGAAAGAAAGCGGAGCAGUGGAGACGUGCAAUUGAAGAGUUAAGGAGAUCAGCUUCAGAGUUUGCAGGUUUGGGAAAAGAGGUGUAUCCUCUUUUAAAAUUCAGCUAUGAUAGUUUGCAGAAUGAUACAAUUAGAUGUUGUUUCUUGUAUUGUUGUUUAUAUCCUGAAGAUUAUGGCAUUCUUAAAUGGGACUUGAUUGAUUGUUGGAUUGGCGAGGGAUUUUUUGGGGAAUCUGACAGGUCUGGUGCAGAAAGCCAAGGAUAUGACAUUUUGGACACUCUUGUUCGUGCAUGUUUAUUAGAAGAGGUGGAAGAUGAUAAAGUAAAAAUGCAUGACGUUAUUCGUGAUAUGGCUAUAUGGAUAACUUGUGAAAUUGAGAAGGAGAAGAGAAACUUUUUGGUUCGUGCAGGUGCUGGAUUAAAAGAGGCACUGGGUGUUAAAGGAUGGGAAAAUGUGAGAAGAUUGUCAUUGAUGCAAAACCAAAUUGAAACUCUGUCAGAGGUUCCCACAUGCCCUCAUCUCCUCACUUUAUUUCUUGACUUUAAUCAGGAGUUGGAGAUGAUCGCGGAUGGCUUCUUCCAACUUAUGCCUUCUCUCAAAGUUUUGAAGAUGUCAAACUGUUGGAAUUUGAAAUUACCGGUUGGGAUGUCAGAGUUGGGUUCAUCACUAAAAUUUCUCGAUAUUUCAGAAACACCAUAACAGAGUUACCGGAAGAGUUAAAGAAGUUGGUAAAUCUGAAAUGUUUGAAUUUGAGGUGGACACAGCAUUUAAAUAAAAUUCCACGGCAACUAAUAUCAAAUUCUUCAAGGUUACGUGUGUUGAGAAUGUUCGCUACUGGCCGGUUCAAUUUUCAUGAAGCACCAGAAGACAGCGUUUUAUUUGGUGGGGGUGAAGUUUUAGUACAGGAAUUGCUCGGUUUGAAAUAUUUAGAGGUAUUGGAGUUGACCUUGGGAAGUUAUCAUGCUCUCCAAAUUCUUUUGAGCUCAAAUAAGUUAAAAAGUUGUAUUCGAUCUCUUUACCUCGAGUUGACCGGAGAUACAGCGUCAAUUAUUGAUGCUACGGCUUUCGCAGAUCUAAACCACCUCAAUGAAUUAUGUAUUGAUAAUGGUAUUGAGUUGGAAGAGUUGAAGAUUGAUUAUACGGAGAUAGUAAGAAAAAGGUGGGAACCUUUUGUUUUCCGCAGCCUUCACUGUGUUACCAUAUAUAGUUGCGGUAAAUUGAAAGAUUUGACAUUCCUCGUUUUUGCUUCAAACCUCAAGUCUCUUCGGCUACGCAAUUGCUAUGCUAUGGAAGAAAUAAUCAGCGUCGGAAAAUUUGCUGAGACUCCUGAGAUGAUGGGACAUAUAAGCCCUUUUGAAAAUCUCCAAAUGCUUGAUUUACAAGGUUUGCCACAUUUGAAGAGCAUCUUCUGGAAGCCAUUGCCUUUCACUCAUCUGAAAGAAAUGGAGGUACUUAGGUGCGAUCGGCUUGAAAAGCUUCCACUCGAUUCCAACAGGGCAAAGGAGCGUAAAUUUGUUAUUCGUGGAGAAGAAGACUGGUGGAACCGACUUCAAUGGGAGGAUGAAGCCACUCAAAUUGCUUUUCGUUCCUGUUUUAAAAGUGAUGCUUUAUUUAUAUCUUAUUCGUGAAAAGUGAUUUAAUUUCCUGCCAAAAGACGAACGAGAAGAACAUUAGAGUCAAACUAAUGCUCACAUAAAUUUCCCGUAAGAAUAUAUAAUUAGACUGGAAUGCACACCUCUAGAUUGAACAGAAUUAAAGCUGAGAAAAUAUUGAGUAUAGUAGCCCUCUUUACAGAAAAUGACGCGAAAGUUAAUUUAGAAAGAUAUAUUCUUGAUUAAUCCAUUUUCUGAAGUUUUUAUUUUGUAUGGUCAAUUAUACCUUCAUACUAAAAAUUUCUGAAGUUAUAAAUUAGUGCAACUUGACAAUUUUUACUGAUGAUAUCUUCUAUUUUUCCUUUUUUUUUUUUCACUUUCAUAGAAUGGCAGCGGAUCCUGCGUCACCAAUUUGAGAGAAUAUACUGACACUACUUCGAACAGCAAGCAGAAGAAGUAAUAUGUCUACGGCAAAGGCAAUGCAGUCCUCAUUUUGGCUUGAGAUGCAGUAAUCAUCGAAGAGAGUUUCCUUGUGAAACUGGGCAACACAUUGAAUCCCUUCGCCACUGAGAAGGUUGUGGAGGAAGUAAGCUUUCUCUCCAGUGAGGAAGAGGUGGCAUACCUUCCCCAUUUUGUCGAGGACAGGUAGGAAUCUUUUUUCUAAGAGAUUUACUUCGUUCUCUGUAAGAAAUGCUUUGAACUUCAUCCCUCUGUCUCUAUCCUCACUUAUCAGGAGAUAAGUUGAAAGCACUAUGAAGAGAGAGAGAGAGAGAGAGAGAGAGAGAAUUAAGAUAUAUAGACAAGAAAAAUAUUAGACGUUGAUCUUACAAACUAAUACUUCAAGCAGUAUCCUGGAAAGCUAAAAACUGCAAGAUGGCUUGAAAUUUGAAAAGAGCACAUGCUUUUCCUCCUUAACUUGAGAAAAUGUUUAAUAUAGUGCACCUUACAGAAGCAUUUAAGCAAUUAGAACUUUGCACAAAAACAUCAAGAAGACUAAACAAGUCAGAUGCAGUGUAUUUGUCCAAGCACAAAUUGCAUUUUGUCCUCAACUUUAAUAUUUAUUGAUGAGAAUCAAUACAGGUCCCUCAUUUGUUAUAGAAAGCUUUCUUUCUUGUAGUCUCACCAGUUAAUUCACAGGUCUAUAAUCAUCUUGCAAAGUUAAGGGCAUUUCUUUUGAUCUAAAGUCUUUGCAUCACCACCUCAUCACACGCCAAGCCAAUAUUCCAUUUACCUCUACAACAAAAAGUUUUAAUUAAACAAUCCUAAUGCACGCAGCCAAAUAAAAUGCAGUAAGAAUAUUCAACUUAAAAAUCUGAAAGCCAACUUGGUGAAUUUCCUCCUUAGGUGAAGUUCCAUGCUUUACUAUAGUUGACAGAACUCAGCAAAAGCUUCCAUACAACAGAUUUUGAAAAUGAUGAUGCCAACAGAUACUCAUUCAAUCCAUUGAAACUCCAAAGGUUCAUUGUUCAUAGAAGUUUACAGAGUUUUGGUCAUCAAAUAGCUCAGACCUAAUCCCAAACAAAAAACGAGUGAAAAUUAGAUCACGAGCAGCUAAUUGUAAAUUCUAACAACUCUUCAUCUCCUUUGUAAACAAGAAACAAAAUGGAGACACGCAAAAUGAAUAUGGAGAAAAUUUGAACUCAAAUGAAAUGAGGGCACGAAAGCAAACAAAUGGCAUGCACAAAAAAACCAAGCCUCAAUCAAAAACUAAUUAACCAUUAAGAAAAAAAUUGGUCAGAGAAUGAACUCCAAUUCAGGAGUCAAGCAAGAAGCUUUCAUUAUUUCAGAAGCUCCUGUACAAAUUAAUAAGUUAUGCUCUUUGGAAGCAAACCUAAAUUCCAAGAGAAACAGAACCCAAAAAAAUUUGUAAUUAUACGCAAAGGAAGUGAAGCACAGGAUUCUAUCACACAUAGGAAUUGUAUAACAAGAGAUCGAUAUAUCGAAUUAGAAAACUCAAUUCGAAUUUGUGUCAAAAAUCAAAAAUUUGCAAUUAUAGCGUUCUAUUUAGUGGUAAUGAAUUCUUGGUUUGGGAGUUGCUUAGUUUAAAACGUUUAAAUGUAUUAAGCAUCAUCUUGAAAAGUUUUUCUGCCGUCCAAAAACUUAUGAGCUUCCAAAAGUUGCAAAGCUGUACACAAUGCUUGGAGCUUGUAGACUGUGAUGAUCCAAAGUCAUUUGCCUUGGCAGAGUUGAAGCAUCUUGAAAAACUAGGUUUUUCGAGUUGUGGAAUAUUCAUGUAAGUGAAGUAACCGUCACAAUACUAGUGAAAUUGGGAGCUUUAUUCAUGAGUUUGUGGUUUUGAAAAGUACCACAGUUCAACUGGUGAAGGCUCCGUUUUGGGAUUCUUCUUUUUCUAGGCUGCAAUUAGGAUAUGUACAUGAUAGACAAUCUUUUGUUGGUUUAGCAUAUCUUCGCUGAUUUUGUCUUUUAUUCCCCAAUUUUAUAAUUACACACCAUGAAUGUUGGGUGAUUGUAUAGAAAAUUUGUGUUAUAACAAAAACAUUGUGAAGGAGUUUCUGUGCUAAUUGUUAGUGGCUUCUGUUUUAUUGGCAUUGAUUGGGUAGAUUACGUGUUACAGUGAUUCAAUUUGUGUUCCAAACUUUGCUUUAAUUUUCUGUUUUCCCCAACUAUUUAUGUCAAAUUUAAAUCCAGAAGCAUGUACUGAUUUUUUCUUUUUGUAUUAAUCUGUGAAGUUUAUUUGGAAUGGAAGUAACUGGGUCGGGUCUAAUGGAUUAAAUUAUGACAUUGAGGGGAAGGCACUAAAAGGGUUUGCUUGACACAUUUGGUUCUGUGUUUACUCUGCAAGAAAUAACUUUUGCUUAUUGCAAUGCAGGGGGAAAUCCCGAUUUGGCUGGUGAAUUUCUCUGCAACAAACAGGCAAACACCUCAACAUCUUCUGUCCAUACUUCUGCUGGGGAGGCAAGGGGUAAAGAGUCUUCAAAAUCAUCAAAUAGUUACAUCUCUGAGAAUUCAUUUUAUGGAAAUGGAAAAUCUAGAGUUUCUAAUACAAAAUGGCAUCUGGUAUCAGGACGUACCGUUUCAAGUUUUCUUGGUAAAGAUUAUGUUAAACCUGCACAGCCAGCUAAUGGCACUUUUCUGGCAUCAAAGCCAUUGAAGUUGGAUCCAAGGGAGUUUCGCAUUUCUGCACUUUCAGAGAAGAAACUAAACCGAAACAAUCAAAGGAUGACCAUUUGCAGAAGGAUAUGGAAGAUUUUCUUUUUAAAUUGCUAGGAGAAGGGUUCCAGCUGUACAGGGAUGUGAUUCAGGAGGUUCAUGGUAACGUCUUAAAUAUAUUGAUGCCAAUUUAAUACAUAUUGUCCUUUUCAAUGUUCUUUCUUUCUUUCUCCUCUUUUUAUUCUUCUUCUUCUUCUUUUUUCUUUUCAUGUGCAUGUGAUCACUAAUUUGGUAUUAUUCUUGACUUGCAGAUAGUUGUGGAUAUGAAAUGCAAAAAGGUAAGGGCUAUAUCUUCUUGAUGGAGGCCUCUGAUUUUUUAAAUCGCAUUUUCCUUUGUGAUUGAUAUAUCAUACCAAAGUCAAGUCUUAAAUACUGCUGUCAUAUGUUAAGGUUCAACUUCCAUUUUGAUUAACGUCGAUUUGCUACUGCUUCCAAAAGUGAGAAUGAGAUACUUUGGUUAAUUUCAGUAGUUGAACUCAAUAGAAUACUUUAUUUAGAUCUUCAUGGUUCAAAGGCCUGAAAAAGCUUGCCGGUAUUUGCAAAAUGACAUCUGUGCUUUUAUUUAGACUUAUUAUUAAAGACAACAUUUUAUUUCAGCCAAAAAUGUUUGUUUCAAUUAAAGACUUGAACCAUUUUCAUUUAACCUGAUUGUGAUGCUUUACAUUAUGCAUGUUCCUCUCAAUCAAUAAAAGUUGAGGUCAUGAUUUUAUAUUUCUAUUUUGUAACUUGAAAUAAUUGGUCUGCCUGUUUCUGUUGCUUGAUAACAUGAAUUUUUCCUUCUGAAGUUAAUUUGAUCAAUAAAGUAAUUCUUCGGAGAGGAUAUGCCCAUUCUAUAGUCAUUUUCUUAGCUAACAUGUUUUUUCUUCACUCUUCAGAGCAUGUCUAAACUAAUUGAUCGCUCAGCGGAGACUUUGGGUGAGAAGACAAAAUUUCUUGGUAAAUCCUCUGAAAAGGUAUGCAUAAUUCCCGAGUAUUAAAUAAUCAUUGGUCAUAAUUUUUGUACACGACUCUUUUUUUGGAGAUCGUUAAAAGUGGUUGAUGAUCUAUUUUGUAAUAUCAGAGAGGGAUCAUGAAUUCUUUUCUUUUCUGUGGCUAGGCAACACUUUCGAGCCAAGCUAAGGAAAUCUAUUUUAGGUAAUGUGAAAACCAGUUGUAGGAUGUAAUAGUUUAUUAUGCCCUGACAAUAACUUUUUGUAUAAUUGUCAGUUUAAUGAAUACAAGAGGAACUCUGUUGGCAAGUUCAUCCAUGAUAGAUGCUAAAAUUAUUUAUGCAUACCAGUUGCCUUAACUAAUUUUUCUCAACACUGGUAUUGAACAGGAAAAUGAAUAUGCAAUUUGUAUAUUGUGCCAUUGUGGAGAAUUUGGAUAUUCUUAUUUAAGUAACAAGGAGAGUAUUUGCCUCAUCUUUAAACAAUGAAUCUUUGAGAAAUGAGGAGUGGGUGAUUGGCAGUGUCUUCAUGUAAAUGUUCAUUUACUUGUAUUUUGAACUAUUAUGAGAAUCUUUGUAUGCCAAAUUAGUAAUACAAAUGUUCAGAUGAUUUUUCCUGUUGAUCAUGCGUGUGUAUCUGCACACAACCAUUGUGUACCACUUUAUUCUGAUGCACAAAUAUCUGUAGUUUAGAAGAAAAGAAAUAAUAAUCAUAUAUUAUUGCUUGGUUCAUGAUUAUUAAAUGAUUAUGGCUUUAGAAAAUCCACAAAUCCUUUGUGUUCAUUUAUGAAUGUGCGAAGUUCGCUAUAUCUUAGAUUACCUUCUUCCAAGAUAACAAGUUCAUAUAUUUUUUUUAAUCCUUUUUCAUCACAGUUGAAUUUCAAGUGUAAGUUUUGUUAUUAAUAGCUGGUUUCCUGUUAUUAUGAUUUCAUAAACAAUGAGAGGAUAUGUGCUCUACUUUUGGAGGGCCUCCACAUAAAAGAAAAUUGCAACAAUUGAAUUCUUCUGGAGGGUAUGGUAUUUAAUUUAUUUUCUCAGCUUGUUGUAAGACUAAUAUAUUUCCUUCAGUACGCACGGCAUGGUGGGAAGGGUUUUUAUUGAAAGAAUUAUGAUAUUUCUUAGACUUUGUUUUGGAAGGGGGUGGAGGGAUUUCUCAUCCAUAUAUGGUUACUUGAUUAGCUUUUGACUGUAUUGUCUCCGUCGUGCAAAGGAAAAUCCAAAUACUAACGAAGGGGAAUUGGUUAGGCACCCAAAGGACAGAAAUGAAUUACGGAAGGAAGUUUUUGCUGCUUUAUUUAGUGCUGCUGAGAAAUCUGAUGAAUUUCCUGAAAUUACGGUGAAGACGGAGUGGAGGUCCAACGCAUUAGGAAAGGUGGUGAGAGAACCGCCAGAGGAAUUAGUACCAGAAUACAAGGCUAAUGUGGUGCACUGGCAGCAAGAUGACCAGACCUGUAUGUGCUCUUAUAUUAACUAUAUUGGCUGGAUUUGUGAGUGUGUACAUUUUUGUGUGUAUACUCACUUUUGUAUUUAUGCAUAUUCACGUGUGUAGGAUUCUCGAUUUCUGCCACUUACUGGAGAACUAGUGGAAAGCUUUAUACUGAUAUAUGUGCUAUAUAACUAAUGGAAACUACAAUAUGAAUAUUUUCUCUCACCUGGAGAGCAGUGUAACUGAUAUAAUUUGUGGCUCUGGAAUACUGAAGAUUCUGCAAUAACUAAUGGAAAAUAUGAUAUGAAUAUUUUUUCUCACCUGGAGAACUUUGUAACAGAUACAUUUUGUGCUGGAAUGUCUAAAGAAUGCUUCAGUUUAGAUCAAAUAUCUUUUAGUUAGAAAAGAUAAAAUUCUCUGAAUCUGAAAGACUGAAACAUUUUGCAUAUUUCGUGAAAGGCAAGUAUCUGUAGAUACUAGCUCAUGCAUUGAGGUAAUAUCAAUGUUAAAGAAAAACAGCAAUAAUUUAUUAUACAGAAUUAGGUUCACUUGCUUUAAAUGCUGGUCUGAUCAACCAUAUCAACCUGUAAUGGUCCUGCAGAAAUAUAUAUACGGGGAGAAACUAGCUAAUUUUCCUUUCACUUAUGGGUUUGGUCUUUUUUUCCCCAAUUUUUCAGCUUUCCUUCUCCUGAAGUAUGUUAACAAUUGCAGAUAAUGGCGAAGAGGACCGCUUCCAGGCUACCGGCAAAAACUUUGUGAAAGCUUUGGAGUUAAACAGGGAAUUCACUUACUGCUAAGGACAAUUGGUGGCGAGCUAUUUCAUUCAUUUUAUGUCCAUACAUCUAUUUAAUUAUUAAAGAUAAUGUACGCAUUUGUAAAUUUCAGAUUGCGUGUCUCUGAAAAUAACAAUAUUUAAAAUGUCUCUUAAAUUAUUAUAAAUUUUAAUUUACUCUCGAUUUAAAAUGGAACAUGUUGGUGAAAUAUUUUUUCUUCUUAAUAAAAUUGAAAUAAAUUAUGUUAGCAGUAGUUUGAAAUAUUUUAAAGAUGAUUAUUUUAUAAGGGAGUAAUAUGAAAUGAAAUUUACUUUUCAUGCGUGAAAUGUUGAAAAAGGACAAAGCAAGUGUCCCUGCUUUUAUUUUAUUUCAAAGUGGAGUCAUCUCACAUACUUUAGCUCUAUCAUUAGGAGCCGGCUAAGUUACGUUAAACGUAACUUACGCCAGGCACAACAACAGUGACAAGUCCCAUCACUAGCACUGUUGCUGUGUUUGGCGUAAGUUACGUUUAACGUAACUUAGCCAAAGCCCUAUCAUUAAUAUAUAUUUAAAUUUAACACAUGCAUGUGGGUUACUUUUCCGUAAGUUCCUUAAUAUAUAUUUAACACAAAUCAUGGAAGAGAUGGGAGUAUAUCAAGAUGAUCAAAGCAUGAAACAAAAAUAUUUAAGAAGUAAAACACUGAAAAUGGAGAAGAGAUGCAAGCAAAAGAUAUUCUAAAGAAAAGCAAUCUAUCCCCUUUCGAGGGUAAACUUACCAGGUUUAAGAAAAGUACAUGCUUUGGAUUGGUAGUUGCAGCCUUGCAGGAUAAUUGUUUUUGCCACUAUAUUAGUUGGAGGAGUUGAACCCAGUGAAGAAUGUUAUGGAAGAGCAAAUGAUAUUUCUGAUAGACUCUAUUUGAUUAUGUAGCCUGAAUAGAUGUCUUGUUGAAAGAUAUAUCAGUGCAUUAGUUCAUCCUUGUCUGUCAAUGUGUUUUUAAUGGUUUUUCCAAUUGUUUAUUGCUAUAGAUUGAUUGUAAAUUGAUGUGAACUUAAUGUUGAAAUAUUUUCUCUUUAGUGAAAUGAAAGUUAAACAUUCAAUAUUAGAUUAUUCAAGGUCCACAUAGUAUGUGUUCCGUUGUGUUGUCUGUAAUUUUGCAUUUAAAUAAAUUUGAGUGCUGCCGUUUCGCUCCCACAAUCUCUCGCCUUUUUUUAAUUUUAAAAAUUAAAAUAUUAAUAAAAAACAAUAAAGAAAAUCGAAUCCUUUAUGUCAUUCCAUCUUUACAACUCUCUCUCACAAACUCCAUCUAACAGACUUCUCUCUUACUAUCUCGGUCGAACAAGACCAGUGACAAUGAUGACACGACCGCCGACGAUGAGAUGGUCAUCGCUAAAGAAUCGGGCCGUGUAUUUUACAAUUUCUUGGUUUGUGUUGGUGUAAGGAUUUGCAGGAGCAAUUACUGCCUAGCCAAGCCCUUGAAACUUUGGUCAAAAUUAUUGUUAUUAUUACUUUUAGAGGAAAAACUUUUAUUAAAACCUCAUUAACACAAUUCUUAAUUAAAAUUAUAAGUUUGUGUUGGUGUAAGGAUUUGCAGGAGCAAUUACUGCCUAGCCAAGUGUCAAAAGCACAAAAUAAAUCAAGAGAAAGUAGACAUGAAUUAGGAUCCAAUGAAAUUUAAAUCCCGGACAAAAGAAAUAAUCAUGCAGAUUAUCAAGAUUUCAAUAAGGGAUAUUGAUAUCCUAUUUUGAUUAAUAAUAUCCUUUUACUGUGUUAACUCAAAAAAUAUGUAUAUUCUAAUAUUUUACAAUAAAUAGAAAUCUAAUAUUAAAAUAAAUGUGAUAUAUAUAUAUAUAUAUAUAUAUAUAUAUAUAUAUAUAUAUAUAUAUAUAUAUAUAUAUAUAUAUAUAUAUAUAUUAAAUAAUUUAAAUAUAAAAAAUAUUUUAAUGUUUUACAAUCUACUACACAUAUUUUAUUAAGUUAAUAUAAUUUUUCAAAUAAAUAGGGACAUAAUAUUAAAAUAAAUUUAUAAAAAUUUAAAUUAUUUUGAAUUUAAAAUAAUUUUAAUAUUAUUAAUAUGUUAGAUAUGUUUGAUUAAUUAUAAAAAUUAUUUAAGCAAAUUUUUUUAAUAUUUUCAGUAGAUAUAAAUAUAUUACUUACAUUUUGAUUAUUUAACUAUUAUUAUUCUACAAUUAUUUAUAUAAUGUUUGCACUUAUUAGAAUAUAUUUAAAGUCAAAUCUUUUGCACUUCUACCUAGCUAGAAUUAUUGCACGCAGAGAAAUAAGCAUAUAUGCUUUAUAACUUUAGAAAUCGAAUUAUCUAUACAAAUUGAUUUUAGCUGGAAAAAAAGUGAGCUGAAUGAUAUAGGCGAUUAGUGUGGUAAUAUUUCAUAGAGUUAGACUAUUGAAUUUGGCACCCCUCCAAUCUUCUCAUGAUUACCUUUUUGAGUUAUUAAUACACUUCUAAUUUUUCGUUUAAUUUUUUUUAUUGUUAUACUCAAAGUAGUAUUGUGAUAUUUUAUAUUUCUUUUGCAAUCUUAUUAUUAUUUUACACAAAAAUUAAAAAGUUUUCUAGGUGAUGAACUUUUGAGUUUUGAACAUUAAUCAUUGGCUUAAAUUUCAUAUAUUUUACAUUAUAAUUUGAAAUUAAGUACGAAAAUAUUUAAUAAAUUAUGAAAAGAUUAACAUAUUAUUCUAAAUUGAUACAACUUAUUUUAGUUAAAUAAAAAGUAACAGGUAAAAAAAAAAAGGAUUGGUUAUGAAAUUUGUUGGAAAAAAAUAUGUGUGUGUUUAAUUUUUAUUUGUCCUUAAUUGUAAUUUAUUUGAAGUGAGGUUUUAUAAGGAUAAUGAAGGGGUGCCAUAGUUUCACUCUAUUUCAUAUGGAGAGAGAAGUAAAAGGUACACCUGAGGUUAAUGGAAAGGACUUCGAAAGUUUCUUUUGAUUAUAAUACUGUUUGUUCUAAUUAACUUAAAAAAUUUUACUUUAAUAUUUUAUAAUAAAUUAAAUUUUAAUCUUAAAAUAAGUAUAAUCAUAUAUUUUAAAAUAAUCUUAAAAUAAAUACAAUCAUAUAUUUUAAAAUAAUCUUAAAAUAAAUACAAUCAUAUAUUUUAAAAUAAUCUUUAUAUUUAAAAUUUAUUUAUUUGUACAUAUUUUAUAUAAAUUUUAUAAUAAAUAUAACACAUACUAUUAAAAUAAUAUAUAAAAAAUUAAAGUAUUUUGAAUAUUAUAUAAAAUAACUUUAAGAUUCUUAAUAUGUAAGAUAUAUUUUAUUAAUUUAAAAUUCUAUUUAAAAUUUUAUUAAUUUAAAAUUCUAUUUAACCCAAAGAUUUAUUUAAGAUAAAUUAAUAAUCAUAUUUUUUAAAUCAUUUCAAAUAUUAAAAAAUAUUUUGAUAUUACUAGUCUAUUAAAUAGAUUAAAUAUUUUUAUUAUUUUGUACUAAUCAAAAGUUACAGCUCGAAUGAUAUUAUGAGAAAACAGAAUUUUUAUGUCUUUAUUAAAAAUUUGGGUUUGUAUAAUUAUUUUUUCAAAUGUUAGGGGCAUAGCUGUCUUUUUACUUUUAUAUAUGUGAACCGCGGUGGUGAAAAAGUGUGAUUUAAUAUUUGUUAUUUAAAUAAUAUCUGAAUUAAAGAUGUACAGAGAAGAAAUUUCGGUGGGCAUUUUAGUCUUUUAACGAUUAUCAUGAUUAGGGAUUAGGUCCUGCUCUUGAAACGUUGGUCAGAAAAGUUCUAAAAUGCGUACAUUAUCUUUACUUUAAAAAAGUUAUUUUAUUUUAUUACAAAUUAAUGCCGACAAGAAAAAGCAAGAUCUUUAAAAUUCCACAAACGUAAUAUUCCGCAAAAGAUUAUUGCACACAGAGAAAUAAACAUAUAUACUUUAUAACUUUAGCAAUCGAUUCUUUUAGAGCUGGAAACAGAGAUGAUGAUUAUCAUAAAGAUGAAGAAAAGGGCAAAAAAAUAUUAAUGAUUAACGAAAUCUCUAUCCAAAUUGAUUUUAGCAGGAAAAAAGUGAGCUAAAUGAUGUAGACGAUUAGUGGUAAUAUUUCAUAGAGUUAGACUAUUGGCACCCUUCCAAUCUUCUCACGAAUCCUCUUUUUGAGUUAUAUUUAUUUUAUUUUUAAAAUAUCUUUUUUCUCUUUUACUACACUUCUAAUUUUUCAUUUAAUUUUUUUAUUGUUAAACUCAAAGUAGUAUUGUGAUAUUUUUAAUUUCUUUUGCAAUCUUAUUAUUACUCUGCAUAUAAAUUAAAAAGUUUUUUAGGUGAUGAAUUUUUGAAUGUUAAUCAUUAGCUUAAAUUUCACAUAUUUUACAUUACAAUUUGAAAUUUAAUAUGAAAAUAUUUAAUCAAUAAGAAUUAUGAAAAGAUUAAUAAAUUAUUCUAAAUUUAUACAACUUAUUUUAGUUAGAUCAGAAGUAGCAGGUUAACAAAAGAAAGGAUUGGUUAUGAAAUUUGUUGGAAAAAAAUCUAUGUGUGUUUAAUUUUUAUUCGCUGUUAACUCUAAUUAAGUAGGUUAAAUAUUUUUGUUAUUUUUUACUUAUCAAAAAAUUUAAGAUCAAUAUUUUUAGUUACCAUUCGAAGGAUAUUAUGACAAAAACAGAAUUUUCACGUCUUUGUUAAAAAUUUGGGGGUUUGUAUAACUAUUUUUUCAAAUGUUAGGGGCAUAUCUGUCUUUUUACUCUAUAUAUAUAAACCAUGGUGGUGAAAAAGCGUGAUUUAAUGUUAUUUAUUUAAAUAAUAUCUCAAUUAAAAAUGUAAGGAGAAGAAAUUUCGGUGGGCAUUUUAGUCUUUUAACGAUUAUCAUGUUUAGGCCCUGGUCUUGAAACGUUGGUCAGAAAAGUUCUAAAAUGCGUUCAUUUGUCUUUACGCCAACAAUAAAAAGCAAGAUCUUAAUGUUCCACAAAAGCAAAUCGUAAUAUUCCGCAAUGGAGUUAGAUCCGCAAAAGCAAACAAAUUCUUUUAUUAAACUACAAAUUAAAGUGGAAUCGUUUACUAAACAUCAAAUUAAAGUUCAAAUAUUUAAAUAGUAGUGCGUUAGACGAUUAGAGACUCUUAUUAAAGGCAAGUAUAAAGUAGUGAAGAAUCGAAUAUUUCUAUUGUCUAGUCUUUUUUUUUUUAAAUUUUUCUUCUAUUACUUUUCAAAAUAGUUUUUGGUGAUUAUAAUCGGGUUAUUAUUCAGAGUUAUUGUUAUCUUCCGGGGCAGUUUCUGUUCAUCGAAUUCGUUAAUAAAAUUUUAAAACUCUUAUUGAAAGAAUGUUUUUCCGUUAUCUUUUUUAUAAUCUAAUUUUAAGUGUAAGAAGUAGUCAUUUUAGAAUUUGGGUCUUGAAUCGAAUUUCAAUGCAUGAAUUAAUAUUUAAAAAAAAUUUACUACAUGCAGUUUAGGUUACAAACUAUUUUUUGCAAAGUUGACUAUGAAAUUGGAGAAAUUAAGUAAUUUAUAAUGUUUGCAAAGAAAGAGACUAACAUACUUCCAAUUACACUAUAUCUCAAUUAUCAUAAUGUUAAGAUUAAACUAACUUAAAAUAAAAUUUAUUUAAAAAGUUUAUCAAACGCAGUCUAAUUUUAUUAACUUGAAGAGAUAAUAGUUAUAGAAAUUAUUAUUCUAACUUGAUUAGUACAAGUGGUAUAAAGGUUAAGUGUGCACUAAAUCUAUUUAAAUUUUUUUCCAGUAUAACUAACAGAGGUCAUUACUAGAAUUAUAUUACUAGUCUAUUAGAUAGAAAAAAUUAUUUAUAUUGUUUUAUAUUUAUUAAAAAAAUUUAAAGUCAAUCUUUUUAAUUACUAUUUAAAGGAUAUUAUAAUUAAAAAAAUUUUAAUGUCUUCAUUAAAAAUUUAAAAAUUUAUAUGACCGUUAUCUAAAUAUUUAAAGUGUAACUGUCAUUUUCUCAUAUAUAUAUAAUUUCAUCUAACCCCUUAUACUUUAUGUUAUUUAUAUUUUAUUCAUGAAUAUUAUAAAUUUUUUGAAAUAUAAAAUUUCAUUUAACCCCUUAUACUCAAUUUUAUUUUAUUAAAACCCUAGAGUAUGAAUUCGCCCCUAUAAUAUUAAAUUCUCAAAAUAACCUCUAUUUAAUUAAAAAAUAUAAUUAUUGUUAAAUGAAUUAUAAUUAUUAUUAUUAUGUUAUUAUAAUCAUAAAAAGCGAGAUCAUAUUCCACAAAAGCAUAAGUGACAAAACAACCAACUGGAUUCUUUUAUUAAUCAACAAAUUGUAUAGUCUUUUUCAAAUUGUUAUAAAUUGGUGGCCCCUACAAUCCUCAAUAAUUGUACCGAUAUUCACAAGUUGGUGGCCCCUACAAUUCUGUUCCGAUAAUUUAACUGUGCAAGUGCUCAUUCACAAUCUUCCAGGUCAUGCUCUUAAUAAUUGUUUUUUCUUUUCUGCACUCCCUUUCAUGCUCUUAAUAAUUGAAGAGCAUACUUUUCAAAUGUGAAGCCGCAUCUAAUGUCGCUAAUUUAAUUUGGGAUUAAAUUACGGGACUAUUAUAUUGCAGUGUGCACUAAUUUUUAUGUUUAUCUAAACUCUUCAAAUUUAAAACAUAUUAUGGCAUAAAUAAGAAUGUAACAAUAACAAAAGAGUAAGAAAGUGUAGAGAAAAUCUUGCAGAAAUAUAAAUAAUAUUUAUUUUUAAAAUAAUAUUAAUAUUUAAAAUAAUUUUUAAUAUUUUAUGGUCCAUUAGAUAUAUUUUAUUAUAUUAAAAUAAAUUUUAUAAUAAAUAAAAACAUACUAUUAAAAUGAAUAUAUAGAAAAUUUAGAGUAUUUUAAGUAUUAUAUAAAAUAAUUUUAAUAAAAUAUGUGAGAUAUUCAUAUUUUAUUAAUUUAAGAUACCAUUUAACCUAAAGAUUUAUUUAUGAUAAAUUAAUAAUUAUAUUUUUGAAAUUACUUCAAAUAUUAAAAAAAAUUAAUAUUACUAAUAUAUUAGAUAGAUUAAAUUAUAUAUAUUAUUUUUACUUAUUAAAAAAAUUUUAAAAUUAUUUUUAAUUACUAUUCAAAAAACAUAUUCAAAAAACAUAAUGAUAAAAAAAUCUUAACAUCUUUAUUAAAAAAUUAAAAACUUAUAUGAUAAAUUCUCUAAAUAUUUACGGUAUAUGUGAACCACGGUGGAGAAGCUUUAUUUAAUAUUAUUGAUUUAAAUAAUAUGUCAAUUAAAAAUGUACAGAGAAGAAAUUUCGGUGGGUAUUUUAGUCUUUUAAGCAAUUAUCAUGAUCAGAUCAGCCUUUAGCCUUCAAACGUCGGUCAUAAAAGUUUUAAAAUUAAUGCUAAAUUGUUUUUCACUUUUAACGUUGGUGGCCUUGAAAUUGCUUGUAUUUUAUUAAAAAUUAAUGCUAACAAGAAAAAGCUAGGUCAUAUUCCACAAAAUCAAAAGUGACAAAACAACCAGCUGGUUUCUUUUACUAAACUACAAAUUAAAAUAAAUUUUUUCGAUAAAUUACAAAUUAAAGUGGAUUCUUUUGAAUACAAAUAGGACAGACGAUUAGGCUCUUUUUAUUAGAGGCAAGUAAAAACUAGUCAAGAAUCGAACAGUCUUUUUCCAAUUCUUGUUUUAUUAUUUUUCAAAACUAGUUUUUGGUAAUUACAACCGGGUCAUUAAUCAUUAUUCAGAGUUACUGUUAGUCUAUUAUCUUCGGGGGCAGUGGGUAAAAGAUAAUUACUAACUGUUUUUCCUUCAAAAGUUAGCGGCUCAUGUUUGCAAGUGUGAAUGUGCGAUGCUCUUUUCUUAAAGGCCAUUACAGUGGGGCCCGAAUCAGACGUGCCUAAAUCUUUUUAAAAUUUUUGCCGUAUAACGAACAGAGGUCAUUACUAAAAUUUCUCUUCCACAGCCUACAGCAGCUUCAGUUUAUCAAACUCCAUCAAUUUUCUUUCUUAACAAAAUUCCAAAGAUGUGUAGCAUUUUUCAGAUCACAUGCGACGGUGCUCUUUUCAAUCGUUGCUUGGAUUGCUUUCUUGGAAAAGCAGCAUACAUACGUAACCUCCAAGAUAAUCUUGUAGCCUUGGAGACUGAAUUGGGAAAUCUAAUCGCAAUAAAGAACGAUCUGAUGAGGAGGGUUGACGAUGAUGAACGGAAACAAAUGAUAAGGCUGGAAAGAGUGCAACGGUGGAUUUCGAGGGUGGAUGCUGUUAAAACUGAAGCUGAUCAAUUUAUAGGAGACCGCUCUCAAGAAAUUGAAAAAUUAUGUGUUGGAGGCUACUGUUCCAAGAACUGCAGGUCAAGCUACAAGUUCGGAAAACAAGUGGCUAAAAAGCUACAAGAUGUGAAGACUUUAAUCGCCGAGGGAGUUUUUGAGGCGGUGGCUACUGAGGUGGUGGCUGAGAGAGCUCCGGAACCUGUAGCAGAUAAAAGACCCAUUGAGCCAACAAUAGUAGGCUUGCAAUCACAGCUUGAACAAGUUUGGAGAUGUCUUGUAGAAGAAUCAGUGGGAAUCAUUGGCCUAUAUGGUAUGGGUGGUGUUGGUAAAACCACACUAUUGACCCGUAUCAACAAUAAAUUUCUUGAGAGUCAAAACAACUUUGAUUGUGUGAUUUGGGUCGUAGUUUCAAAAGACCUGCGGCUUGAAAAAAUUCAAGACGAUAUUGGGAAGAAGAUAGGUCUGUCUGAUGAUUCAUGGAAGAAUAAAAGUUUUGAAGAGAAAGCUGUGGACAUCCUGCGGAGAUUAGGAGAGAAGAGAUUUGUAUUGUUGUUAGAUGAUUUAUGGGAGCGGGUUGAUUUAACAAAAGUGGGCGUUCCACUUCCCAGCGCACAAAAUACUACCUCAAAAGUCGUAUUCACAACCCGUUCCAUUGGUGUUUGUGGCAGCAUGAGAGCUAGGCCGGUUAAAGUGGCAUGCCUAUCAGAAAAGCAAGCUUGGGAACUGUUCCGCGAAAAUGUUGGGGAAGAAACUCUUGAGAGUGAUCAUGAGAUCGUUGAGCUAGCCCAAACUGUGGCCAAAGAGUGUGGUGGUUUGCCACUCGCACUUAUUACUAUUGGUCGAGCUAUGGCCUUCAAAAAGACAGCCGAGGAGUGGAGUCAUGCAAUUGAUGUGCUAAGAACAUCAGCUUCUGAGUUUGCAGGUUUGGGAGAGAAGGUGUAUCGUCUUUUAAAGUUUAGCUAUGAUAGUUUGCAGAAUGAGACCAUUAGAUCUUGUUUCUUAUAUUGUUGUUUAUAUCCCGAGGAUUAUGGCAUUCUUAAAUGGGACUUGAUUGAUUGUUGGAUUGGUGAGGGAUUCUUGGAGGAAUCUGACAGGUUUAGUGCAGAAAACCAAGGAUACUACAUUGUGGGCACUCUUGUUCAUGCGUGUUUGCUAGAAGAGAUGGAAGAUGAUAAAGUAAAAAUGCAUGACGUUGUUCGUGAUAUGGCUUUAUGGAUAGCUUGUGAAAUUGAGAAGGAGAAGAGAAACUUUUUGGUUUGUGCAGGUGCUCGAUUAGAAGAGGCACCGGGUGUUAAAGAAUGGGAAAAUGUGAGAAGAUUGUCAUUGAUGCAAAACCAAAUUGAAACUGUGUCAGAGAUUCCCGCAUGCCCUCAUCUCCAUACUCUAUUUCUUGCCUCUAAUAGGAAUUUCAGGAUGAUCACGGAUGGCUUCUUUCAAUUUAUGCCUUCUCUCAAAGUUUUGAAGAUGUCACGCUGUGGGCAAUUCGAAGGUUUUCAAUUACCUGUUGGGAUGUCAGAGUUGGGUUCAUCACUAGAACUUCUUGAUAUUUCACAUACCACCAUAAGAGAGUUACCCGAAGAGUUAAAGUUGCUGGUAAAUCUGAAAUGUUUGAAUUUGAGGUGGACAGGUGCGUUAAUUAGAAUUCCACGGGGACUAAUAUCAAAAUUUUCAAGGUUACGUGUGUUGAGAAUGUUGGGUACUGGCGGGUUCAUUUUUUAUGAAGCACCAGAAGACAGCGUUUUAUUUGGUGGGGGUGAAGUUUUGAUACAGGAAUUGCUCGGUUUGAAAUAUUUAGAGGUAUUGGAGUUGACCUUGGGAAGUUAUCAUGCUCUCCAAAUUGUUUUGAGCUCAAAUAAGUUAAAAAGUUGUAUUCGAUCUCUUUACCUCUAUUUGACCGGAGAUAAAAAGUCGAUUAUUGAUGCUACGGCUUUCACAGACCUAAACCACCUCAAUGAAUUAUGGAUUGAUAAUGGAAUUGAGUUGGAAGAAUUGAAGAUUGAUUAUACGGAGAUAGUACGAAAAAGGCGGGAACCUUUUGUUUUCCACAGCCUUCACCUUGUUACGAUAUAUAGUUGCCAUAAAUUGAAAGAUUCGACAUUCCUCGCUUUUGCUCCAAACCUCAAGUCUCUUUCGCUAUUCAAAUGCCGUGCUAUGGAAGAAAUAAUCAGCGUCGGAAAAAUUGCUGAGAAUCCUGAGAUGAUGGGACAUAUAAGCCCUUUUGAAAAUCUCAAAAGUCUUGAUCUAUCAUAUUUGCCGGAGUUGAAGAGCAUUUUCUGGAAGCCAUUGCCUUUCACUCAUCUCAAAGAAAUGGGGGUAAGAGCAUGUGAUCAGCUUAGAAAGCUUCCACUCGAUUCCAACAGUGCAAAAGAGCGUAAAUUUGUAAUUCGUGGAGAAGAAGACUGGUGGAACCGACUUCAAUGGGAGGAUGAAGCCACUCAAAUUGCUUUUCGUUCCUGUUUCCAACCUGAUUCCUGAGCGGUGGUCGCAAAAUUUGAUUUCUGGUGAGUGCGUUUGUCUUUUAAAAGAAGAAUUUAAAAGAAAUUUAUUCUUGACGUUUUCUUCACUGUUUUUAUUUCAGUCUCUCUCUCUCUCUUUUUGUCUUCUGCUAAUCACAAUUAAAUGUUGAAUUAAUGGAAUUAAUGCUUCAUAAAUUUGCCGGCACUGCCAUUACUUUUUUUUUUUUAAUACAAAUUGAUACUUUAUUUAUAUCUUCUUAGCGAUUUAAUUUCCUGUCAAUUGACGAACGAGAAGAACAUAUGACUUAAACCAAUGCUCGCAUAAACUUGCUGUAAAAAGAUAUAAUCUCACUGAAAUGCACACGCCUAGAAUGAAAAGAAUUAAAAUAGGGAAAAUAUUAAGUAUAUUAGCCCUCUUUACCGAAAAUCAAAUGACAAUAAAUUUUUUGAAGUUUUGAUUUUCUAUGGUCAAUUCCACCUUUUGCAAUUUCUUCUGUUCUAACAAAAACCAAUUUCUUCUGUUCUAACAAAAACCAAUUUCUUUGUUCAAGUAUUUUCGUUUGGGUAUUAAUAAUUCUCCACCGAAAGAGUGAACUCUUGCUCAAGGGAUCUCUAAUCAAUAGCCGGAAGGGCGCCGAGACCUGAUCGGACCUAGGCCCAAGUUUGGUCUUAAACCCUGGGCUUGAGCCUGGCAAUUAAAUUAAAACAUUAAUUGAUUUCUUGAUUGAAUUGUCGUGUAAUUGAUUUAUGGGGGAUGACACAUCAACAUACUUGAAAAUACACUAAUCUCAGCAUCAUCGGUUAAUAACUUUUAGAUUUAUGGGUAAUCAAUAGUUAAGAUUAGUUAUCAUUAAUACUAAAUAAUUUUUACUUUUUUUUGUCUCUUCUAGAGGAUCUUCUAGAAAAAUGCAUCCACAAUUAAAUUUAAUACUUUACAUAAUAAACAAAGCAUAAAUGUUAAAUUUAAGAAACUGCAUUGUAUUUCAGCUGAAGUUGACUUUAAUAUUUAGGGUAGAAAAAAUUAAAUCCUUAAUGUGUUUAAUUUGUAUCACUUGUGUCAUUAAGAUUUUCUAGUCACCCUAACCAAUUACAUCUCAACCCACUUUUUUUUGGAUGAUUUUAUUUUUACACUAUUAUUUUCAACAUUUUUUUUCCUUUUAACACCAACAUUAGUGUAUGUUACGUAACAUAAUUCAUAUUUGGAUAAUUUGAAAUUUGUUUGUGUUUUAUCUCAAAAUAGAGCUUCAAUCAAUUUGUACCUCAUAAAUUCACAAUAUCUAUGAGGGCUAAUAAGACCAAACUCUGGCAUAUUGUCAAAUGUGCUUAUCCUUUUGCUUGACAUGUCAUUUUAAAAUUGUCAUUCAAUGCCAAAAAAUCACAUCAACUAAUGGCCGACUACUUUAAUUUGAAAGCAUGCAUGCGAUCGCCAAUAAUUAUAACUUAAUUGUUAUUUUGAAAUUUUUUUCUUUAUAAUUUUUAAGUUUAAUACUACUACAUGUGCAGCACAUAAGUUGGAAAAUAUAACAUAAAAUUUGAAAAAUGUGUAGCUUUCGUUCCUUUUUUUUCUUAAAAAUGGGAAAAAAGAAUGUAGUUUUGUUUAAAUUACUGUUGUGAUUACAAUUAUUAUUUUAUUGAUUAAUUGGCAGAGAAUCGUAAUGGUUUUGCAUGGUUGUUAAAACAUUGGAAAAUCCACUACAUCAUCCGUUAAUAACUUUCAGAUUUAUGAUUAAUCAAUAGUUGAGAUUUGUUAUCAUUAAUGCUAAAUAUUUUUUUAAUAUUUUCUCUCUCUCUUAGAGGAUCAUCCAAAGUAAAAAUUUAAUAUUAUAAAUAGUAAACAAAGUAUCAACGUUAAAUCGAAGAAACUGCAUUGCAUUUCAACUGAAGCUAACUUUAAUAUUUAAUGGAGAAAAGUAAUUAAGUCCUUAAUGUGCUUUAUUUACCCAUAUAUAUGGCUAAUUUUUUAAGAUAAAGGGGAAGGAUGAUGCUCAAAAAUAUAAAUUAUAGAAUUAGUUGAACUCUCAAGUAAGUUUAAAGUUCAUUAUUUUUAAUUACAUAUUUAUAAUUUAUUUUAUUUCGUAUUAAUCUAUAGAUCUAAAUCCACUUUGGAUUCAUAUACAUAUAUAGACAUAAUGUGUAUGUUAAUCUAUAGGUCUAAAUUCACUUUAGGUCUAUAUGGGUAUUUUGACAAAUGUACUCCAAUCAUGCAUAUUGGUAAAUUCUAACUACUAUAUUGGUAUGUCAAUAUUAUCUCUAAUUGCCCUAUACAUUCAGAAAUAAUCUAGAUAUACAAAUUAACAUAAAAUAAAAAUAAUUGGUAGAAAAUACAAAUUAUAAACAUGUAAUUAAAAAUGAUAAACUUUAAAUUUACUUAAGAGAGUAAUUAAUUUCAUAGUUAAAAUCUUUAAAUUUUACCCCUCAUCUUAACUUAAGAAAAUUAAUCACUUAUUUUAUUUAACAAAGAAGAGAAUUUUUUUUCCCCCUAUAUUUUCCAAUUAUUUCUCUCCCUCUCGCUCCCGUAAGUUAUACAACUUGAAGUGAAAUAUGAGUGGUCUGAUUCUAGCUUAAAUAAUUUAUUGUGACAUGCUAUCUAAGGACAAUACAUUACCUAGCUCUACAUAUUUUAUUUAACCUCUGGCUCACCCUGUGCAAACUUGCCUUUCCCCUGCAAGACAAGAUUAAUCAAUGUAUCAAGUCUCAAAUUCAAUUUGGAAUAUGACCAUCGUACGCUCUUGUUCUUCCCUCUUUACGAGUGCAUUCCCCCAACCUCAAGCUCCCUCUCUCGUCUUCAAUGUCACUGCUUAUAUCCUUAUGUUGUUCUAGUUUGAAAUAGUGGCUUCCACUAUUUCAGGGCCCCCAAAAAUCCAGAAACAUACUAUUCAUCACGAUGACAAAAUUUUUGGCAGGCAGGUGCUUCCUGACUUUCACACGGUAAUUCUCAAAUUCUGAUUUCACCAUAUUUUAAUUACUGAUUAGCAUAUAUUCAAGUGCUCUCCAUUAUAAUAGAAGCCGCCGCCUCACUCGUGAUUCCAAACUUUAUCUUUUUGCCUUUUUUAAAUUAAUGCAAGUAGCCGCUGUCCUUUUUAUUAAUUAAUUAGUUCGGCCGCCCACAUUUCUUUUCCUAAUGUCUUCUACUGUCGAUUUUCUUUUAUUUUCUCUUUAUUCUUAAAAUAUACUUAUAAUAAUAAAAUAUAAAAAUAAAAAUUAACAUAUCAAAAUAUAAUUUAAUAGAAAAUUAAGAUAAAAAAUAAAAAAAUUAUGAGCAUAUCAAUCAAUAAAUGAAAAAUAAUAAUUUUUAUUUUUAUUAAAUAUAUAUUUUUUAAAAUUAAUCAAUUAUCUGAAUAAAUAAAAUCAUUUAAAAAUAAAUAAAUAAAUUAUUCUUAAAAAAAAAAAAAGAAACUUUUUAUAACACUCACUAUGCUGGUUGUAGGGUAGACGCUUUGGGGACUGAAGCUGGUAACUUCUACAAGUAGUCUUAAGUUGACUGGCAACAACUAUAUUGGCAUUUAGACAUAAUGUACUGCAACCAUAUUGGUAUGUUCAAAUGUUCUUACUAUUGUAUUGGUGUGUCAAUAUUAUCUCUAACUGCCUUAUAGAUUAAAAAAAAUCUAAAUUUACAAUUUAACAUAAAUAAAAUAAUUGGUAAAAAAACAAUUAUGGUUUAUUUACUUAUCAGUAAUCAGAAUAGACUGAAAUCGAAAUGAGCUGUAUUACCGUUAAUGUGUUUAUGUUGUCCUUGAAUCGGAAUGAAUUAUUUUAAGUUACUAAAAUAUCAUUGGUUUGUUAUUCUAAUUAUUAUUAUUUAAUAUUUAUUAUAAUAUUUGUCAUAUCAUUAAAAAGAAAUAAUAAUGAUGAUAAUAUUAUCAUUAUUGUUUGUUACAUUAUUAUUAUUCAAAAAAAUUAUUGUUAAUAACAAUAAUUACUUUAUUUCAAUAAUAAUAAUGAUGAAAUUAAUAAUAACAAACAUGACAACAACAAUAAUUAUUUAUUAUGCCAAAAAUAACAAUAAUAAUAAGAAUAAUAAUCAUCAUCAUUUUUUUCCCAAAGAAGCAUUAUCAUCAUCAUUUAAAAAAAAAAUCAUCAUCAUCAUUUUUGUAGUUACUGUUUCAAUUUAGGAAGAAGCUGUUUCGUUGUGCUAACGAUGGGAGAUGUUGUGGCUGCGAUUCGGGGAGCUACUAGUUUAUUGCACUAAUGACGACAGGUGCGGCUGCUUGAUGCGAGGUCCAUGGCCAGUUGUCAGCAGUUCGACUUUGGUAUGGGCGUUGCUGGUUCGAUUUUAGGUGUUGUCUAAUUUCAUUUUCAGGAUUUUAAUUUUAAUUUUUUUUUAUAUUUUCAUUAAUUAAUCAGUGCAAAGUUUGAUUUUAGAAUUUGGAAUGAAGGUAAUUUUGUUAAUCAUGGAAAUGAGAUUCUGAUUGUCGAGAAUGAACUUACAAAAUUAGCUGCAAAUUAAGUGAAAACAAAACGCUUUUUCUCUUUGUGUGAUUAAAACAUGAAAUGUACCAUAAAUAAAUAGGUAAAAAAUAAAUCAACACAAUUCAAAAUAGAAAACCAAUUACAAGAGGCACAAAUUUUUAUGUGAAAUACCGAAAAUGAAAAAAAACUAUAGCAUCCUAGUCUAAUAUAAUCUUCUACUAUAUUAAUGGGAUUACAGCACAAAUUCUUCCCUAUCUAACACUAGAGAUUAACAAUAUCAAAAAUCUCAAUAAUCUUAACUUACAAUACAACCUAAUAUAUGUCUCUCUAAUAAGUAGAUAUCUAAAAUAACAGUCUCUAAUAAGUAGGUAUCUCAAAUAAUAGUUAAUAAGAGGAUAAAACAAAAAUUAAGAUUAGUAGAAUGUGUAUAAGGCGAUGCUAUCAACUUAUCUUCUAAAUUUGAGAAAAAUAGUUAAAUUCACUUUUUCGAUUGUACGACCAAAGAUGGAAACCCUUGCCCCAAAACCAAAGGAAUCACCAUUGUGUUUUUUUUCUCUCUUUCUCUUUCUCGUUCUUCUCUUCUACUUUUCUUAAUGUUAGCCGCCACUUGCUUUUAUUCUUUAUAGCAUUUAAAAAGCUACUUUUAAUGGUAAAUUCAUCUAAGUCCAAAACUUAGUGAUAAUUGCACACCAAACAAUCCUUUUUGGACUAUGGACUUUUGGGCCUCCAAAUGAGAUGAAUACAACAAAUCUCCCCCUUCAGAUUAUGUGGGGGGCACCACAAGCCCGCUCUCUGCAUAUAGCUUUUCAGCUUCUCCUUGAAUAAUGACUUUGUCAUCAUACAUAACCCAUUCUUCGUUGUGUAAAUCUUCUCAAGCUAUAACUGUUCUUUCUCAAGCACGUCUCAUAUCUAAUGAUAUCUCACAUCAAUUUACUUAGAUUUCGAAUGGUAUAUCAAAUUCUUUGAACGGCACUCUGACUGUCGCAGUACAUAACAUAGUUGUCUCAUUUUAUAUCCAGCUCUUGUAGGAAAUUCUUCGUCCACAAUAUUUUUUUGCAACCUUCAAUAAUUGUAAUAUCAUUUGCUUUAGUGGUAGAAAAGGCAACUUAUUACUAAAGUUUAGAUUGCGAUGAGCUCCCCCUGCAAAAGUGAGCAAACAUCCUAGUACGAAUUUUUCGGAAUCAACAUCUCCUGCCAUAUCUAUACACUUGUAACACAGGUUUGUCACCACCAAAAUAUAAACAUGCUCUGGAAAUGCCUUUAAGAUAUCUGAGAAAUUUUCACUGUUGUCCAGUGCUCUUUACCGGGAUUGAAGAGAAACCACUGACUACACUAGCUGUAUAAGCAAUAUCUGGUCUUGUACAAAUUAUGGCAUACAAUAAACUGCCAACUGCUGAAGCAUAAGGAACUCCUCUCAUGGAGAAAUGGGUUUUGCUCUUGAGAAUUUUGGGAACAUAAAGAAUAAAGAUGUAAUUUCUUGGACUGCCAUUGUUUCGAGGUAUAUAAACAGAAGACAAGUCGAUAUAGCUUGACAAUGUUUUGAUCAGAUGCCAGAACGAGAUUAUGUCUUAUGGACUGCCAUGAUUGAUGGGUACCUUCGAGUGAAUAGGUUCAAAGAGGCUUUGACGCUUUUUCAGGAGAUGCAAACUUCAAAUAUAAUGGGAGACAAGUUUACCAUUGUUAGCAUUCUUACAGCUCGUGCCAAUCUGGGGGCACUAGAUCUGGGAGAAUGGAUAAAGACUUAUAUUGACAAAAACAAAGUCAAGAAUGAUAUAUUUGCGGGGAAUGCUUUGAUAGACAUGUACUGUAAAAGAGGAGAUGUUGAGAAAGCUCAAAAGGUAUUCAGGAAGAUGCUUUGAAAGGACAAAUUCUCAUGGACGACCAUGACUGUUGGCCUUGCCAUCAGUGGCAAUGGUGAUAAAGCUCUUGAUAUGUUUUCCCAAAUGCUUAGGGCUUCGAUCAAACCGGAUGAGGUAGCUUAUGUUGGUGUUCUGUCUGCCUGUUCUCACAAUGGUAACGAAACUUUUGUGAUAAAUAGUUGCAACUUAAGGUGAGAAUUGGAGGAAAGGAAAUAGACUGAAGUUGUUCAAUCAUCAGUGGUUGCUAUUUGGUUUUAAGUUGUUCAAUUAUCGGUCGUCUCUAUUUGGUUUUCUCCAAUAUCUCAUCUUCAGUUUUGACUCAGAUUCUAUCUUACCACUAUUGUUCUGUUCAUUCUAUUUGUUUCCUACAAAAUAUUUCUCCUGCCUAAAAUUUUUUGAAUCAGUAAGUUUUUAUCUUAUGCAAGAAUUGUGCUGAGAGUAAUUCCAUUUCUCAGUCUCGUUAUGUUUCAAUGAAGACGUAAAACUUGUGUUCUAGUGCACCAAUGUUUAUGCUUCUUACAAUUUGACUUUAAUUUACUUUGUAAAACUUUUGUCAAAAAGUACUAAAAAGUAGUGCACCAAACACCAACUUUAUUAUAGAGAGGACUUUAGUUAAAUUUUAAGAAAACACUCAAAAGAAAGAGUUAUAAUUUAUUAUAGAAAUAUUUCACAUAAAUAAAAGCCAUCCCAUGCUGCAAAGAUCUUGCUAUAAUCACCAAAAACUAUCGGGAGCUUUUAGGGUUUCCAUAAAAAUGUCAUUUCGUUCCAAAAGUCAAUGGUGGGUAGAAAGUGGUGCAAAUGAGACUCAUUCUUAAUGGUAUAAGUUUUUGCUUAAUUAUGUCUUCCCCAAGAUGAUGAUUUAAUUUCCAUUCUCAAUUAAUUUUCAAGUUUCAACACUUUUCUAUGUAGCAUGACAUUGGAAAGAUCUUGUACAGUUGUACUACUAAAAGCUAGCAUCACACGUUAGUUAUUGUUAAGUUCUGUUUCAACGUGAAAUAAAGGAAGUAGUCCUUCAUUAAAACCAUUAUAGCCAAAUUUCACCUAAUUGGACACUUACAGACUUUCAUUUCAAGUUGGAUUUGGGUCCAACGUUUCAAAGUUUGGCCCAAUUAUUUUUGUCCGGUCAAGUCCUACGCAGCUAAGCCUCUCAAUGAAUGAGGGUGAGAUUGCUAAAAAUUACGACAGGUGAUAUUUUAUUAUUAUUAUUAUUAUUAUUUUUGGGGGAUAAAUCCUCACCAAAGUGAGGAGAUUUUAUCAAAAUCAAAAUAAAAAUAUAACAAGAACUGAAAGUCGGGCAGCCUAAAAGCUAGAUGAACUAAAAGUCAGGCGCCUAAAAACAACCUUAUGCAAAAGAGAAGCAAUAUGAGACCGAUCAAGUAAAAGAAUCCACCGCAACACCUAAAUUGGCCAAAUUAUCUGUUGGUAUUACAAGUUUCUUGUUAUAAAAGUGUAGAAUGAAGUAGGUGACGUAGUUUUAAGUUACAGCUGCAUGCCCAAUCGCAAUAUCAAAUAAUGCUUAAAUAUCAAAUAAUGCUUAAAGUAGUUGCCUAGGCCCGCCACAACUUAUAUUAACUCUUAAAUUUAUAAAUAAUUAAAUUUUUAAAAGUUUGGAUUUAUAUUAAAAAAUCUUCAUAUAAAUAAAUAAUAUAUGCACUUUUACAACAGUCUUUAAAUUUAAAUUUUUCAAAAAAAAUCUUCUGUAUAUCUUUUCUAUUAAAAAAAUUUCCAUAUAAAUAAAUAAUAUACCUAAUUUAAUUGGACCGAGCACAACGCACAUGCAUAGAACACAUUCCGAAAAGCCAUGCUAUUCAGAAAUUGACGAAUGAAAAGUGAGGAGGCAGCAGUCAAUGCUAUUUCGGCUUGGCCCAAAAUUGAUUUAUCAGUUUGACGUGUGCCAGGAAUGAAGAACUGGAAUAUCACCGUCAAGCAGCACCCUGUGGAGCAAUACCAUAGAAUGCACAAUCUGGCUUUGCCAGGUGACACUGGAGGCUUUUUGAAAAGUGCUUCAAAAAGCCUUUUCUGAUCGAGUCUGAGCACUCAAAUUUUGGUCCUCAGAUGGAGCUACAGCUUUCUCUCCAAUAACCAACAAUUUUCUAAACUCAGCUCCUAGUGUGAUGAGAGUUGUUGAUAUUUGUAAAUGGAGAUCCCCGUAUUUGCAAAUGGAGACAUUUACCAAAUCACCAACAUGCUUCAUCCAGUCUAUGAAAUUCUGCAGCUGAUUCAAAUCCGGAACCUGAACCAGAGUCGGAGGUAAAUCUUGAGCCAUAUCUAAAGCGGUCUGAAGUUCAAGUACUUGAGCCCUUGACAAUGGUUUUGAAAUUGGAACAUCUUGGAUUACUGCAGACUUGUACCUCUUGGUUUCAAAGGUAAGGAAAGGCAUUGCUUGAGUACAAUUUGGAGGCAGCUUCUUCACCAAUUUUAUUUGGAGGCAAUUGGCAGCGGAUCCAGCUGCACCAAUUUCAGAGCAAAUACUGACACUACUUCAAACAGCACGCUGAAGAAGAGAUAUGUCUAUGGCAAAGACAAUGCAGUCCUCAUUUUGACUUGAGAUGCGGUAAUCAUCAAAGAGAGUUUCCUUGUGAAACUGGGCAACACAUUGAAUCCCUUCACCACUGAGAAGGUUGUGGAGGAAGCAAGCUUUCUCUCUAGUAAGGAAGAGGUGGCAUACCUUCCCCAUUUUGUCUAGGACAGGUAGGAAUCUUUUUUCUAAGAGAUUUACUCCAUUCUCUGUGAGAAAUGCUUUGAACUUCAUCCCUCUGUCUCUAUCCUCACUUAUCAGUAAAAUAGUUGAAAGCGCUACAAGGAGAGAAAAGAAGAGUAUUAAGAUAUAUAUAGACAAGAAAAACAUUAGAUGUCGAUCUUACAAGCUAAUACUUCAAACAGUAUCCUAGAAAGCUAAAAACUGCAAAAUGGCUUGAAAUUUGAAAAGAACACAUGCUUUUCCUCCUUAACUUGAGAAAAUGUUUAAUAUAGUGCACCUUACAGAAACAUUUAAGCAAUUAGAACUUUGCACAAAAACAUUCAAGAAGACUAAACAAAUCAGAUGCAGUGUAUUUCUCCAAGCACAAAUGGCAUUGCAUUUUCUCCUCAACUGUAAUAUUUAUUGAUGAAAAUCAGUACAGGUCCCUCAUUUGUUAUGGAAAGCUUUCUUGUAGUCUGACCGGUUAAUUCACGGGUCUAUAAUCAUCUUGCAAAGUUACAGGCAUUUCUUUCGAUUUAAAGUCUUUGCAUCACCACCUCAUCACACACCAAGCCAAUAUUCCGUCUACCUCUACAACAAAAAGUUUUAAGUAAACGAUCCUAAUGCAUGCAGCCAAAUAAAAUGCAGUAAGAAUAUUCAACUUAAAACUCUGAAAGCCAUCUUGGUGAAUUGCCUCCUUAGGGGAAGUUCCAUGCUUUACUAUACUUGACAGGACUGAGCAAAAGCUUCCAUACGACAGAUUUUGACAAUAAUGAUGCCAACAGAUCCUCAUUAAAUCCAUUAAAACUCCAAAGGUUCAUUGUUCAUGGAUGUUUACAGAGUUUUGGUCAUCAAAUAGCUCAGACCACAAUCCCAAACAAAAAAGGAGUGAAAAUUAGAUCACCAGCAGCUAAUUGUAAAUUCUAACUUAACUCUUCAUCUCCUUUGUAAACAGGAGACAAAAUGGAGACACGCAAAAUGAAUAAGGAGAACAUUUGAACUCAAAUGAAAUGAGGGCACGAAAUCAAACAAAUGGCAUGCGCAAACAAACCAAGCCUCAAUCAAAAACUAAAUAACCAUUAAGAAAAAAAAACUGGUCAGAGAAUGAACUCCAAAUUCGGGAGUGAAGCAAGAAGCUUUCAUUAUUUCAGAAGCUCCUGUACAAAUUAAUAAGUUAUGCUCUUUGGAAACAAACCUAAAUUCCAAGAGAAACAGAACUCAAAAAAUUUGCAAUUAUACGCAAAGGAAGCGAAGCACAGCAUUCUAUCACACGUACAAAUUGUAUAACAAGAGAUCGACACAUCGAAUCAGAAGAAUUCAAUUCAAAUUUGUCUCAAAAAUCAAAAUUAGAAGAUUUCACAUUUCGAGAGGAACAAGCGACAGGUCAGAUGCACAAUUUUCAACCACAACAUGCCACAAUUAACGGUUUAUUUCCAUGGAUUUAGAGAGCUGACUGACCUUUUGGCUUUUGGAAUUGAGAAGAACGCGCGCCAAAAUGGAAGAGGGAAAGCGAAAGUGCGGGUUUCAAUAGGGUAUUGGAUUAGCAAAUUUUAUUAGUUUGCGAGGGUAAAAUAGGAAAGAUAUAUCACUAUUAACUUUUUUUUUUAUAAGAAAAAAGAAUAAUAAAGAAUAUUUUAUUGUCAUUUGCAGCAUUUAAUUUUUUUUAAAUGCUAUUAGAAAAAAACGACAAUAAAGAAAUGCUCUUUUUUUAUUUUUUUCUCGAAGGUAAAAUCAAUUAUUUAGCGUCUUAUAUGUAAUCUAACUCCAUUUCUUACUUUAAGUCAUAUCCAACUGACCAAUAAAGUAAUUGUUUUUUUUUUUUCAUUCAUUUUUACAGAAAAUUAAUAUUGAAAGCUAUUGUAAAAAUUUUUAUUAUCAACCUCAUAGUUUAAUUUUUUUGGGGAAGAAUUGAAUUUUUUUUUUAAUUUCCAAGAAUUUCAUUCUCUAGUUUUUCCAUUAAUAUUACUUAUCUUGAUACCCAUCUUAAUUAAAAUCUGUAGUUUUAUUCAAGAGUCAUGCUAUUCAUUCACUCACAGACCAAAGGCUUUCCGCAGCAAUAUUAUUAUUUAAAUUACAACAAAGGGGAAAUCAAAUACGUCAUACAGAAGCUUAAAGCUGAAUCUACAAAAUCUAGAGCUCUCAACUACAAAAAUUACACUUGAUGAUCCUCUACAAGAUGAAGCUUGUUCAAUAUCUCAUCCAAAGCUUGUAAAGUAACCUUGUAACGAUCUUGAGAUUGCCUGCCUUCCUCGACGACCUGCACGAUGCGUUUGUACAAAUCAUCAUACCUGUGCACCGGAUUUUUAAUAUCAACGCCACUGCAGCUGUGAUCAAGAACAUAAGAGCGUUUAACAUCUUUUCUCCAUCGAGAAAGAAUGUAGUGAGGUGGGAUCUCCUGCAUGCCACUCUGGUUUAGAACACAAAGAAUGUGUCUGCAUAAAUAUCCUCUGAAAUUGAACAACCCACAAACACAAAGCACCUCCUGCAUAAAUAUCUUUCUCGUUGCUACCAAUCUCAAAUUCUUCCUUCACUAUCUGUGUUAUAGGUCCAUCAGCACUGACAUGUUUUGUGCUAUAGCAAGAGUACAUAGCCUCCACCUCCGUCUGAAACUUCCUUAACAUUUCAUUUGUGUACAGUUUUGAGAGUUGAAAUUCAUAGUAACAUCUUGGUUUCUGGAUACAACUUGAAUUUCUCGAAUCCAUAUCUGCCAAGGCUUCCAGUUGAUAAUUCGCCUGCAGUGCUUGAUCAUACUUGUCUAAGAAUUCUUUCAAAGGAGUACUCUUAUCAAGAUAUCCUUCAAAGUAUGAAGUAGAAACCUCAUUCUGCAGGAAUGAAAACACUCCUGAUAAAAAUGCUUCCUUCAAAUAAACAGGAGCCCACCUUUUACGAUCUUCAUAUAAAGUUUGAAUCCAUCCAUGAUCCUUUAUUCCAUGACGUUGAAUCGUGUCCUCCCAAGCUGUCUCAAAUUCCUCAGGCCUAAGAGAGUGAUAAAUUGCUCUAUGCAAUGCAGCUCUAACAGCUUCAUAUUCAAACAAUCCUUGGAGUUUCUCUGGAAUUUUUUGCAUGACGCAUGACAAUGAAAAGCAAUGAUAAGCUCUUGGGAAAGCAUUGCUGACGGCAGUUUUCAAGAUUCUACAUUGGUCAGUGAUGAUUGUUUGUGGACAGCGUCCUAACAUACAUGUAAGCCACGCCCUAAACAACCAUGUAUAUGAUUCUAUAGUCUCACUGGCGAGUAAACCACAGCUUCGUUUACACGCUUCGAAAAACACUUUGAAAUUCAAACGAAACAUUCCUUAGGUUGAUAAAUUAGUAGCGCAAAAGAAAUUUUAGUGAGAUAUGGGAUCAGGGUUUUUGCCACGGUGAUGUUAAUUGCGACAUUGGGGUGACUCAGCAGCCUUCGAGGCUGAAACUUUGAUUGACCAAAAGCUUCCCGUUCGUUGAUUAUCUAAUUGCAGAAACGAAACUCGCAGUGUACAGAAGAAGUACGCUGAUUUGAUAAUUCUGUGAAAAUCAUUGUUUUUUUGAGAUUUUUAAUGUGUUCGGUAAAUAUCAAAAUCUCAAAAACUUGUCUUUCAUUUUGGGGGGAAAAACCCAUUGAGAUCCUUAUGUUUUUUCUUAUAUAAUCUGGCUUAAUAAUUUGCAAAGUCUAUUACUUUGCACCCAUGCAUGCUGCGUUUCAAUUUUACAAAAUUGUACGUGAGUGCAUCCAGCUAAAAUUUGUAAAAAGAAAAUAACAAUAACAUGUUAAAAAUGUGAUGAUUAUGAAGAAAUUUUAAUUUAGUUAAAUAGGUGACGAUGGAUAGGUAUAAAAUCUGAGAUCUUUUAUGAGAUUAAUAAGUAUGUUGAGUUUGGAUUAGUUCAAUUUUGACAUAAUACAGAAUAAACACAACCUGCUAAUCUAAGUUAUCAUCUUUUCUCGUCAUCAGGUACCUGUUUGAAAAAUAAUUAUAUACAAUUUUAUUUGCGUUGUCUCUCCAAAAAUUUUGGACUCGAAUGUUAUUUUUAAUUGCUAAAAGUACGAAAAUGCCCCCUUUCUCUUCAGCUAAAGGAGUGCAAAGUCAUCUGUAUAAUUGAAUCUGCAUCAUCAGUUUCUAUUGCUGGCUGGUGUUACUGCAUGCUUACAGUUGCUUGACAAAGUGAGCCAGUUUUUUGUUUAUUAAUUUUUUUUCUUGUCGAGACAGUCACAAAGUAUUACUUGUUCCAUAUGAGAAUGAUGUGAAUCAAUUUUUCAAUUAUGCAUUCUGUGGUAAUUAUUGUGAAUUUAGUUUCAUUUGUCUUGUCUCCUGCAAAUUUUGAAGAAAAUGCAGACAUACAAACUUACAAUAUGGAAGAGUUCACUGGAAAAAACUUUGUGAAAGCUUCCAAGUGAAACAGGGAAUGGGCUUACUAGUAAAGGACAAAUUGGUGGCCAGCUAAUGCAUUCAUUCUAUGUCCAUUCAUCUUUUCGAAUUAUUGAAGACAAGCGUUGGUUAGAUCCAGAUAAUCUCGAUUAUCAAAAUAAUCUCUAUUUUGAAAUAAUAAUAUUCAAAAUAUCUCUUAAAUCAUUAUAAACCUCAAACCUGUUUUAAUUUUAUUUAAAAAGAUAAAAAAAAAAGGUUAUGUUGGUGAUUUUUUAUUUUUUUAAUAAAAAUAAAAUAAAUUGAUGUUUAUAAUUGUUUAAAGUACUUUAAAGAUUGUAAUUUUAUGAGAGAGUAAUAUUUCACCGUUUUUAGUGUGAAAGGCUGAAAAAGGACAAAGCAAGUUUCCCUAGUUUUUAUUUAUUUGAAAUUGGUCAUCUCAUAUGCUUCACCCUUCAACACUACAAUUUUUUUUGUGAUAAUUUUAUUAUUAUUUUUUCUACACAUGCAUGUGAAUUACUUUUCUUUAAGCUCCUGAAUAUUUAAGACGGAUCAUGGAAGAGAUGAGAGUAUAACAAGAUGAUCAAAAUAUGUAACAAAAAAAUUUUAGAAGUGAAAAAUAUGUUAGAGUCAAAGCAAAACUCUGAAAAUAGAGAUAUUCAUUAAUUUAGAAGAGAUGCAAGCAAAAGCUAUUCCAAAAAAAAAAAGCAAUAUGUCCCUUUGGAGGACAAACUUGUCAGUUUCAAAAAAGUACAUGCUUUGGAUUGAUAGUCGUAGGAUAUUUGUUUUGUCACUGUGUAUUAGUUGGAGAAGUCAAGCCUUGUGAAGAAUGUUAUGAAAAAGCAAAGGAUAUUCUUGAUAGAGCUCUAUUUGGUUAUGUAUUCAGUGAAUGGAUGUGUUGUUGGAAGAUAUUUGAGUGCAUUAGUUCAUUUGUGUCUGUCAAUGUGCUUUUAAUGAUUUUUCCACUUGUUUGUUGUAAAAGAUGAUUGUAAAUUGAAAUGAACUUGAUGUUGUAAAAUAUUUUGCUUAGUGGAAUUUCACCUAAGUAUUCACUUUUUAUUAAAUUUCGUUAACACAAUUCUUAAUUAAUGGUGUGUUUACUUCAUGAAAUAGGGAAUGAGAAUAGAGAAAUGAGAAUGAAACUCAUGUUUACUUGGCAAAAUAUAAUUUGAGAAUGAGAAUAAAAUGUGUGGGUCCCACACAAUUUGGGAAUAAGAAAUGAGAAUCUCAUUCCCAUGGGGGGUUAGAAAUGAAAAUAAGAGAAUGAGAAUAGAAUAUAUAUUUACUUUUGUAUCUCUCUACUUUUUCAUAUUUCCCAAAUUACCUUCAUUCAAAUAACAAUUAAUUUAUUAUUUUAAAUGUCAUUAAUAAUAAUUAUUAUUAUUUUUAUUCUUAAAUUUUAUUAACUUUAUUAUUUUAGUUAUUAUUAAUUAUUUUUAUUAAUAUUAUCAUUAUUGUUAAUAAUGAUAAUAUUAAUAAAAAUAAUUAAUGUAUCAUUAUUAACAAUAUUAUCAUUAUUGUUGUUGUUGUUGUUGUUGUUAUUAUUAUUAUUAUUAUUAUUAUUAUUAUUAUUAUUAAUAAAAAUAAUAAUAACAAUAAUUAAUAUUAACUAAAAUAAUAAAGUUAAUAAAAUUUAAUAAUAAUAAUAAUGUAAUUUUCAUUAUCUAGAUACAUGUAUAAAUAUUAUUAUAAAAAUAAUAUUAAUUAAAAUAAUAAUAAUAAUAAUAAUAAAUGUUAAUAAUGAUAAUACUAAUAAAAAUAAUAUUAAUAGUAAUUAAUAAUAACUAAAAUAAUAAAGCUAAUAAAAUAUAAUAAUAUUAAUAAUAAUAAUAAUAAUAAUAAAUGUUAAUAAUGAUAAUAUCAAUAAAAAUAAUAAUAACAAUAAUUAAUAGUAACUAAAAUAAUAAAGUUAAUAAAAUUUAAUAAUAAUAUUAAUAAAUGUUAAUAAUGAUUACUUUAAUAAAAAUAAUAAUAACUAAAAUAAUAAAGUUAAUAAAAUUUAAUAAUAAUUGUUAAUAAUGAUAAUAUUAAUAAAAAUAAAAAUAACAAUAAUUAAUAACAACUAAAAUAAUAAAGUUAAUAAAAUUUAAUAAUAAUAAUAAUAAAUGUUAAUAAUGAUAAUAUUAAUAAAAUUAAUAUUAACAAUAAUUAAUAAUAACUAAAAUAAUAAGUUAAUAAAAUUUAAUUAUAAUAAUAUUGUUAAUAAUGAUUGUUAACUUUAUUAUUUUAGUUAUUAUUAAUUAUUGUUAAUAUUAUUUUUAUAAUAAUAAUAAUAAUAAUAACAACAACAACAACAAUACACGACUUGGAUUAGGAUAGAAGGAAACUUAAAUCCUAGAGAAAAAGAUAGCUAUAUCCCAAGAUUUAAAAAAAUAGUCAUGUAGAUUUUUAAGAUUUCAGUAAGCGAUUGAGAUUUUCUUUUGACAAAUAAUAUCCUUUAUCUCUAUUAACAAAAAACAGAGACUCAAAUAUUUUAUAAUAAAUAAAAAUAUAAUAUUAAAAUAUAUGUGAUAAUAUAGACAUUUUAAAUAAUUUCAAUCCAAAAAAAUAGUUAUUUUUUACAAUCUAUUAAACAUAUUUUAUUGAAUUAAUAUAAGUUUUUCUAUAAAAUAGGAACAUAAUAUUAAAUAAAUUUACAAAACUUUAAAGAAUUUUGAAUGUAAAAUAAUUUUAAUAUAUUAAUACGUGAGACUUUUUAUUAUUGUAAAAAUUAUUUAACCCAAAUAUUUUUUAAAAUCUUUACAAUAAGUAUAAAUAUGUUAUUUACAUUUAAAAAUAUUUAAAUAUUAUUAACCUACAAUUAUAUUUGCAUUUAUUAGAAAUUUUUAAAGUCAAAUAUUUUGCACUUCUACAUUAUUAGAAUUAUUGCACACAAAGAAAGAAACAUAUAAGCUUCAUAAAUUUUUUUCUUUUACAUUUGGAAACAGAGAUGAUGAUUGAUUAUAAGGAUGAAAAAAAGGACAAAAAAUAUUAAUGAUUAACGAAAUCUCUAUGCAAAUUAAUUUUAGUAGGAAAAGAGUGAGAUGAAUGAUUUCUUUUACAGCUAGAAACAGAGAUGAUGAUUAUUAUAAGGUUAAAAAAGAAGAUAAAGAAUAUUAAUUAUUUGUGGAAUCUAUAUGCAAAUUGAUUUUAGUAGGAAAAAAGUGAGUUAAAUGAUUUAGACAUUCAUAGUGUGUUUAUUUUUUGGAUUGAUGAAUAAGAAUUAUUGACAACGCUAACUUCAUCUUCAUUGUUUGUUAUCCAACAACAGCAAUUGUCGCCGAUAAUGAUACCUCCAAUGAUGAUGAUGAUUUUAUUAUUAUUAUUAUUGAUAAAAAGUAUUUUAAUUAAUUAAUAUAUUAAUGUUAAUAUUAUUAUUAUUAAGAUUAAUAAUAAUUACUAAUAAUAAUAAAUUUUUGAAUAAAAAUAAUCACAAUAAUUAAAAUAAAAAUUAAUAAUUAUGACAAUAGUUAAUUAAUGUCUUUUUAGUAAUUUGUAAUAAUGUAAAUAAUUUUGAUUUUGAUUAUUACAAUUCAAGUAAACAAAUUAUUAUGAUUCAUAUUCUCCAUUCCCAUUUCAGCUCAUUUUGAUUUCAGUUCAUUUCGAUUUCUGUUUAAUAAACGCGCCGUUAGUGAUAUAGUAAUAUUUCAUAUAGAGAAAAGUAAAAACUAUACCUAAGGUUAAGGGAAAUGACUUCAAACCUCUCUUUUGACCAUAAUACAUUUUGUCCUAAAUUUAAAGAUUUUGAAUCUAAAAUUUUACAAUAAAUAAAAAUAUAUUCCUAAAAUAAAUAUACUAUCAAUAUUUAAAAUAUGUUUUAAUAUUUUACAAUCUAUCAGACACAUUUUAUUAAAUUAAAGUUAAUUUUAUAAUAAAUACAAACGUACUAUUAAAAUGAAUAUAUAAAAAAUUUAGAGUAUUUUGAAUAUUAUAUAUGCGUAAGAUAUAUUUUAUUAAUUUAAAAAGCUAUUUUACUUAAAAAAUUAUUUAUGAUAAAUUAAUAAUUACAUUUUUAAAAUUAUUUCAAAAUUUUAAAAUUUUUUAAUAUUAUUAAUCUUUUGGAUAGAUUAAAUUAUUUUAAAAUGCCUUAAUUGUUUUUACUUUUAGCGUUACCGGCCUUUCUUAUAUUUUAUUGCAAAUUAAUGCUAACAAGAAAAAGCUAGAUCAUAUUCCACAUAAGCAAAAGUGACAAAACAACCAGCUGGAUUCUUUUAUUAAUCUACAAUUAAAAUGGACUUAUAUAUAUAUAUAUAUAUAUAUAUAUAUAUAUAUAUAUAUAUAUAUAUAUAUAUAUAUAUAUAUAUAUAUAUAUAUAUAUAUAUAUAUAUAUAUAUAUAUAAACUACGUAUGAAAGUGGAAUCUUUUGAAUAUAAGUGGGGUAGGCUCCCUUUCAAAAAAAAAAAAAAAAAGUGGGGUAGGCUCUUUUAUUAAAGACAAGUAUUGAGUAGUCAAGACGAUUAGGGUCUUAACCAAUUAGGCCUUAGCCCGGUGGUCAGAACCUUGCACUCAUAAUUAUGAGCGCAGCGGUUUAAGCCCCGCAAUGUAAGUAGGGGUUUAUUUUCUUCUUUAAUUAUUAAGUGAAUGCAGUCUAUUCUCUUUCGAAAUGUGAAUGGAGUAGACACCCCUCGAAUAUUAGAGAGGGUAAAAUCUAGGCAGUGCUACAUAAGAAUUCAUGUAAAUUAGGCCCAGUAAUUGACUGAUUGUAAAUAUUAAUUGUAAAUCUCAUAUAAUAUAAAUUAUAAUCUGAGUAUUAAUCUCAUGUAAUUAAAAAAAAAAAGAAAAAAAAGACGAUUAUGUUCUUUUAUUAAACUACAAAUUGUAUAGUCUUUUUCAAAUUGUACAGAUAUUUAUAAAUUGGUGGCCCCUUGGAAAUUUAAUGCCAAGCAGAUUCAAGUCAUCAUGCACAAUCCUCAAUAAUUGUUUUCGAUAUUUAUAAAUUGGUGGCCCCUACGUCCUCAAUAAUUGUUCCGAUACUUAUAAAUUGGUGGCCCCUGGGUAAUUUAACAGCAGCUUGCAAGUGCCAACUAGUGAAAAGUCAUCAUUUCAAAUUCUAAAUACAAUAAUACUACACAUCUCAAAUUUUUUAUCUCAAAAAAUUAUCUCAAAUGAUAUGGAAUUUAUUAAUUGGUUGGUGAGAUAAUACAAUUAAUUCACUUGAAUCUUGUAAAGAAUUAUCAACUACUCAAUUAAUGACACAUCAUUUGGGAUAACUUUUUGGGAUAAAAAAUUUGGGAUGUGUAGCAUUAUUGUUCUAAAUAAGGGUCAUUCUAUAAUGCCGUAACUAAAUUUACGGCAUUGAUACCGUAAUGGACGUGGACCGUUAGAUUUGAAUAAAAAAUCUCUACCAUUAAUUCUAAAUAAAUAGGUAACCUGUUACCUAAGUAGUAGGUAAUUAUUAUUUUUUGUUCAAGUUCCAGGUUACAUUUACUAAUUUUAUGUGUGAUUUACAAGUUUUAUAAAACUUUUACAAGUUAAUGUUGAUUUACAAGUUUUAUGCAAUAUUUACAAGUUUUUGUUUUGUUUACAAGUUCUUCUUACAAUUUACAACUCUAACAUUAAUUUACCUAUUUUUCCAUUAAUUUACUAGUUUUAUGUGUGGUUUACACAUUUUUUGUUUUAUUUCACACUUAAUGUCAAUUUACAAGUUCUAUGUCAUUUUUAUAAGUUUUUGUUUUGUUUACAAGUUCUUCUUACAAUUUACAACUCCAACAUUAAUUUACUCAUUUUUCCAUCAAUUUACUAGUUUUUUGUGUGAUUUACAUAUUUUUUGUUUCAUUUCCCACUUAAUGUCAAUUUACAAGUUCUAUGUCAUUUUUCUACAUUUUUGUUUUGUUUACAAGUUCUUCUGGCCAAUUACAACUCCAUCAUUAAUUUACUCAUUUUUCCAUCAAUUUACUAGUAUUAUAUGGAUUUACAUAUUUUGUGUUUCAUUUCAUAAUUAAUGUCAAUUUACUAGUUGUAUGCCAUUUUUCUAAGUUUUUGUUUUGUUUACAACUUCUUUGUGCAAAUUACAACUCCAACAUUAAUUUACCAUUUUUUCCAUUAAUUUAUUAAUUUUAUGUGUGGUUUACAAAUUUAUUGUUUCAUUUCACACUUAAUAUUAAUUUACAAGUUUUAUGUCAUUUUUCUAAAUUUUUGUUUUGUUUACAAGUUCUUCUUGUAAUUUACAACUCCAACAUUAAUUUACCAUUUUUUCCAUUAAUUUAUUAGUUUUAUGUGUGGUUUAUAAAUUUAUUGUUUCAUUUCACACUUAAUGUUAAUUUACAAGUUCUAUGUCAUUUUUCUAAGUUUUUGUUUUGUUUACAAGUUCUUCUUGUAAUUUACAACUCCAACAUUAAUUUACCUUUUUCCAUUAAUUUAUUAGUUUUAUGUGUGGUUUACAAAUUUAUUAUUUCAUUUCACACUUAAUGUCAAUUUACAAGUUCUAUGUCAUUUUUCUAAGUUUUUAUUUUGUUUACAAGUUCUUCUUACAAUUUACAACUCUAAUAUUAAUUUACCAAUUUUUCCAUUAAUUUACUAGUUUUAUGUGUGAUUUACAUAUUUUUUUGUUUUAUUUCACACUUAGUGUCAAUUUACAAGUUCUAUGUCAUUUUUCUAAGUUUUUGUUUUGUUUACAAGUUCUUCUUGUAAUUUACAACUCCAACAUUAAUUUACUCAUUUUUCCAUCAAUUUACUAGUUUUAUGUGGGAUUUACACAUUUUUUGUUUCAUUUCACAAUUAAUGUCAAUUUACUAGUUAUAUGUCAUUUUUCUAAGUUUUUGUUUUGUUUAUAAGUUCUUCGUGCAAAUUACAACUCCAACAUUAGUUUACUCAUUUUUCCAUCAAUUUAGUAGUUUUAUGUGUGAUUUACACAUUUUUUGUUUCAUUUCACACUUAAUGUCAAUUUACAAGUUCUAUGUCAUUUUUCUAAAUUUUUGUUUUGUUUACAAGUUCUUCUGGCCAAUUACAACUCCAUCAUUAAUUUACCCAUUUUCCCAUCAAUUUACUAGUAUUAUGUGCGAUUUACACAUUUUUUUGUUUCAUUUCAUAAUUAAUGUCAAUUUACUAGUUGUAUGCCAUUUUUCUAAGUUUUUGUUUUGUUUACAACUUCUUCGUGCAAAUUACAACUCCAACAUUAAUUUACCAUUUUUUCCAUUAAUUUAUUAAUUUUAUGUGUGGUUUACAAAUUUAUUGUUUAAUUUCACACUUAAUGUCAAUUUAUAAGUUUUAUGUUAUUUUUCUAAGUUUUUAUUUUGUUUACACUUUUUUCUUCUAAUUUACAACUCCAUCAUUAAUUUACGUCUUUUUCCAUCAAUUCACAAGUUUUAUGUGUAAUUUACACAUUUUUUGUUUCAUUUUACACUUAAUGUCAAUUUACAAGUUCUAUGUCAUUUUUUUAAGUUUUCGUUUUGUUUACAAGUUCUUCUUGCAAUUUACAACUCCAACAUUAAUUUAUCCAUUUUUCCAUCAAUUUACUAGUUUUAUUUGUGAUUUACAAAUUUUUUGUUUCAUUUCACACUUAAUAUCAACUUACAAGUUCUAUGUCAUUUUUCUAAGUUUUUAUUUUUUUUACAAUUUCUUCUUGCAAUUUACCACUCCAUCAUUAAUUUACCAAUUUUUCCAUCAAUUUACUAAUUUUUUUUUAUGAUUUACAUAUUUUUUGUUUCAUUUUACACUUAAUGUCAAUUUACAAGUUCUAUGUCAUUUUUCUAAGUUUUUAUUUUAUUUACAAUUUCAUCUUCUAAUUUACAACUCUAACAUUAAUUUACUCUCUUUUCCAUCAAUUUACUAGUUUUAUGUGUGGUUUACCUAUUUUUUAUUUUAUUUCACACUUAAUGUCAAUUUACGAGUUCUAUGUCAUUUUUUUAAGUUUUUGUUUUGUUUACAAUUUCUUCUUGUAAUUUACAACUCCAACAUUAAUUUACUCUCUUUUCCAUCAAUUUACUAGUUUUAUGUGUGGUUUACGUAUUUUUUGUUUUAUUUCACACUUAAUGUCAAUUUACUAGUUCUAUGUCAUUUGUCUAAGUUUUUGUUUUGUUUACAAUUUCUUCUUGUAAUUUACAACUCCAACAUUAAUUUACUCUCUUUUCCAUCAAUUUACUAAUUUUAUGUGUAGUUUACGUAUUUUUUAUUUUAUUUCACACUUAAUGUCAAUUUACGAGUUCUAUGUCAUUUUUCCAACUUUUUGUAUAUAAUUUAUAACUUCAUCAUUAAUUUACCUCUUUUUCCAUCAAUUUACUAGUUUUAUGUAUAAUUUACACAUUUUUUGUUUCAUUUUACAUUUAAUGUCAAUUUACAAGUUCUAUGUCAUUUUUCUAAGUUUUUAUUUUGUUUUAUUUACAAUGUCAUUUUUCUAACUUUUUGUUUUGUUUACAAUUUCUUCUUGUAAUUUACAACUCCAUCAUUAAUUUACCUUUUUUUUUCCAUCAAUUUACUAGUUUUAUGUCUUAUUUACAUAUUUUUUGUUUCAUUUGACACUUAUGGUGUGUUUACUUCUUGGAAUAAGGAAUGGGAAUGGAAGAAUGAGAAUCAAAGCUAUGUUUACUUGACAAAAUUGAAUUUAGGAAUGGGAAUAAAUUGUGUGGGUCCCACAUAAUUUGAGAAUAAAGAAUGGGAAUCUCAUUCCCAUGGGGGGUUGGGAAUGAAAAUGUGGGAAUGAGAAUGAAAUAUAAAUUUACUUUUCUAUCCCUCUAAUUUUUUCAUAUUUCCUAAAUUACCCUUGUUCAAAUCACAAUGUAAUUUUGUUAUUUUAAAGGGAAAUUUACACUCGUCCACCUGUUUGUUUUGCCUUUUUCAAAAAUACACAAACACUUUUUUUUUUUCAGCGCGCCACCUGAUGUUUGUUUUUUGUUGCAUUCAUCCACUUCCGUCUAAUUUCCGUUAGUGGAUUUAACGGAAUGUUAAUGAAAUGACCUUUUUACCCCUCAAAAUUACAAUUUAACCCAAAAUAAAUAGAAAUUGGAGAUAAAUUGGAUGAAUUUAAUUUUUUUCAAAGGUGGAUGCUAGAAAUUGGAGGAAAAUAGUGUUUUUUGCUUGCUAAAUUUAGAAAAUUUGUAUUUAUUUUUUUGAAAGAUAAAAAAAUAAAUACACAAAAAAAUAAUACAAAUUUUCUAAAUUUAGCAAGCAAUAAACACUAUUUUUCUCCAAAAAAAUAAAUAAAAAUUUUCUAAAUUUAGUAACAAACAAACACUAUUUUCCUCCAAUUUCUAGCAUCCACCUUUGAAAAAAAUUAAAUCCAUCCAAUUUAUCUCUAAUUUCUAUUUAUUUUGGGUUAAAUUGUAAUUUUGAGGGGUAAAAAGGUCAUUCCGUUAAAUUCACUAACGGAAAUUAGACGGAAGUGGACAAAUGCAACAAAAAGUAAACUUCAAGUGGCGCGCUGAAAAAAAAAAGUGUUUGUGUAUUUUUGAAAAAUGCAAAACAAAUAGGUGGACGGUUGUAAAUUCCCCUAUUUUAAAUGUCAUUAAUAAUAAUAAUAAUAAUAAUAAUUAUUAUUAUUAAAGUUUAUUAAAUUUAUUAUUUUAGUUAUUAUUAAUUAUUUUUAUUUUUAUUAAUAUGAUCAUUAUUAACAAUAAAAAUAAUGAUAAAAAUAAUAAUUAAUAAAAAUAAUUAAUUUAUCAUUAUUAACAAUAUUAUCAUUAUUAUUAUUGUUGUUGUCAUUAUUAUUAUUAUUAUAUUAUUAAUAAAAAUAAUAAUAACAAUAAUUAAUAAUAACUAAAAUAAUAAAAUAAAUAAAAUUUAAUAAUAAUAAUAAUAAUAUAAUUUUCAUUAUGUACAUACAUAUAUAAAUAUUAUUAUAAAAAUGAUAUUAAUUAAAAUAAUAAUAAUAAUAAAUGUUAAUAAUGAUAAUAUUAAUAAAAAUAAUAUUAAUAGUAAUUAAUAAUAACUAAAAUAAUAAAGUUAAUAAAAUAUAAUACUAAUAAUAUUAAUAAUAAUAAUAAAUGUUAAUAAUGAUAAUAUUAAUAAAAAUAAUAAUAACAAUAAUUAAUAGUAACUAAAAUAAUAAAUUUAAUAAAAUUUAAUAAUAAUAAUAAUAAAUGUUAACUAAAAUAAUAAAGUUAAUAAAAUAUAAUAAUAAUAAUAAUAAUAAUAAUAAUAAAUGUUAAUAAUGAUAAUAUUAAUAAAAAUAAUAAUAACAAUAAUUAAUAGUAACUAAAAUAAUAAAGUUAAUAAAAUUUAAUAAUAAUAAUAAUAAAUGUUAAUAAUGAUAAUGUUAAUAAAAAUAAUAUUAACAGUAAUUAAUAAUAACUAAAAUAAUAAAGUUAAUAAAAUUUAAUCGAGCUCUAAUAUUUAGUCCCGAGCCUAACUAUUAAAUUCGAGUCAAAUGCCAGAAAGUUCAGGUCAAGUCAAUUAAACUAAAAGUCGAGCCGAGUCUUCCUUACAUGUAUAUAUGUUUGCAUCUUGAUUUUUAUUUUUAUUUAUCAUAUAAACUCUUCUAUAAAUUUAUUAUUAUUAUUAUUAUUAUUAUUAUUAUUAUUAUUAUUAUUAUAUAUAUAUAUAUAUAUAUAUAUUGUCAUUAAUCGGAAUGGGGAAUGAGAAUCAGAAUAAAUUGUUUACUUAACUUACAAGAAUCGAAAUCGAAAUGGAUUGGAAUCUCAUUAAUGUGUUUAUUUUAUCUUGGAAUUGGCUUUGGAAUGAGUUAGAUUGUAACAAAUUACUCAAAAGUACUUAAUGAAUUAUUAUCAUAAUUAUUUUAUAUUUUAAUUAUAGUGAUUAUUUAUUCAAAAAUUAUUAUUAUUAAUUAUAAUAUAUUAAUAAAAUCAUAAAUCUAUCAUUUUUUCUUUAAAUUAGUUUAUAAAAAUCGACCAUGUCCCUUUCCCGAAUGAGAAAUUGAGUAUAAAAUCAUAAAUUUAAAAUUUAACUAAAAAUCAUAAAUCUAAACUCAAAAAAAAAAUCAUAAGUGGUUCUAUAUACAUUUUAGGUAUAUAUAUAAAUGUUUGUUUGUGUGUGUAUAUAUAUACUAUCAAUUUUAUCCUUAACUUAUUUUAAAAAAUAAUGUUAUAUAAUUAAGAUUAUUAAGAUAUAAAAAACAACAAAAAAUUAUAAAAUUUAAAAUUCACUAAAACUAUGUCAUUUCCAUAUAAUAUUCAUUUUCUUUUUUAAGUGAAAGCGGUAAAAAAAAGGCUCGGCUCUCAAGUCUCAACGACACCAUAGAAUACGAGAACGACAAAAUGAAAAAUUAAAAUUAUAGUGAUUAUGAAUUUACAGUGAGAUUUGAAUGAUAGUAACACAUUUACAAUGAUUAUGAAUUUAACUGAUGAGUUCGUAAUGGAUCAAUAGUAUUUUCGCAAGGAUGGCAAUGGGUCGAGUCGGGCCUGUGCUUAGCCAUUUCCGAGCCCAACUCUAUAACUGAAAUAAAAUUUUCAAGCCUAAAAAGGCUCGAUUAUUUGAAAGCCUGUGCUCAAUCACACUUUCAUUUAAAGUUUUUUUUUUUAAUUUUUAGUUAAUUUAAAAUUUAAAAAUUGGACAUAGCCUCCCCAUAUACAUUAAAAUAUAAAAGCUUCAAAAAUUGUUUAAUGUAACAUAAAAAUAAAAAUUACUCAAGGUCAUAACCAUAUUAUUACGUAAAUAAUAAACAUAAAAUAAACAUUUUUUUUUUUAAGUUUCAGGGUCAAGUCAGGUCGAGUCCAGCAUGUAGGUCAUGAACCCUGAUCUGAAUUUAAUCGGGCUCUAAUAUUUAGGCCCAAGCCUGACCAUUAAAUUCGAGUAAAAGGCCAAAAAAUUCAGGUCAAGUCAAUUAGACUAAAAGUCGAGCCGAGUCUUCCUUGCAUGUAUAUAUGAUCAUAUAAACUCUUCUAUAAAUUAUAUAUAUAUAUUUUUACUUGUAAUUAAUCAAAAUGGGGAACGAGAAUCAGAAUAAGUGGUUUACUUGACCUACAAGAAUCAGAAUCGGAAUGGACUGGAAUCCCAUUGAUGUGUUUAUUUUAUCUUGGAAUUGGCUUCGAAAUGAGUUAGAUUGUAAAAAAUUACUAAAAAGUAAUUAAUGAAUUAUUAUCAUAAUUAUUAUUUUAUAUUUUAAUUAUAGUGAUUAUUUAUUAAAUUAUUAUUAUUAAUUAUAAUAUAUAUUAUUAUAUUAAUAAAAUCAUAAAUUUAAAAUUUAACUAAAAACCAUAAAUCUGAACCCAAAAAAAAAAUCAUAACAUAAGUGGUUCUAUAUAGAUUUUAGGUAUAUAUGUAAAUGUUUGUGUGUGUCUAUAUAUAUAUAUAUAUAUAUAUAUAUAUAUAUAUGAAUCUAUCAAUUUUAUCUUUAACUUAUUUAAAAUAUAUAAUGUUAUAUAAUUAAGAUAUAAACAACAACAAAAAAUUAUAAAAUUUACUAAAACUACAUUGUUUCCAUAUAAUAUUCAUAUAAUAUAAUAACUUGAAGGCUCUAGUUAGAAAAUUUCCAUCAAAACAUUAGCAUUGACCACCAAUGUGUAGGAUCCAAGUACGAAUUUAACACAUAGGCAAAUCACUCAAAAAAUAAAUUAAUUAAAAUAGAACCAUGAACAAAUAAAUUUUUCAAAGUGGGUUGGUAAAAAAGGAAACUAUGGUUGCAUUGACACUUACAAUGAUACACAAAAGGCAAAACGAAAUUAAGGCUGAUUUUAUUCUUUUGGGACUGGAUGCGUAUGUUCAAAAUAAUUGUUUAUUUUGAACAAUUAUUUGAUCUUCUCUACUGCAUAGCCAAUAUUUCAUUACAGAUGUAACAUCUGUAUAAUUCUCGUUUGUCUCUUACUUAGAAACAAUAAAAAGAUCAAAUUAAAGUCCAAUGCAUACUCUAUAUAUAUAUAAUUUUUUUUUUUGUGUUAACCAUUAACAAACUCAAUUCAUAAUAUAGUCAACAAAAAACAUUAAAUAUUGUCAAUCGCCACCACAAGAAUGAAAGCAUCCAAUAUAACCAGGAUUGGUCUCAAUUUAUCUCAAAACUUCAUAACAGUUCACCAACAAGGAGUAACCAUAAAUAAGGUAAUAGGGAUAAGUCUAACUGCUGGAACAAUUAGGUUUCUCAACCAAACAUUAGUUUACUCAUAGAUCCAAGGGUGAAGGCUGCUCUGCCAGUUAAUAGGGCCAUCUGGGAACCACAAGGCAAUUUCUUUCUGGGCACUCGCAACUGAGUCACUUCCAUGGAUGAUAUUCCUGCCCAUCACAAUAGCGAAAUCACCAUGGAUGGUUCCAGGAGCAGACUGCGCAGGGUUGGUGGCUCUAAUAAUAGUGCGGCCAGUCUUAACAACGCCUUCACCCUCCCAAAUCAUAGCAAUGACAGGACCAGAGGUUAUGUACCCAAUAAGAGCACCAAAGAAAGGCUUUGACAACAAAUCCUCAUAGUGCUUCUCAGCAAAAGGGCGGUCCACAGUCAUAAGCUUCAAACCCUUCAAAGAGAAACCUUUCUUCUCAAAUCUGCUGAUGAUUUCACCAACAAGGCCUCUUUGGACCCCAUCGGGCUUGAUCAUGAUGAAAGUUUGUUCCAUUUCAUUGAGAUUCAAAGAAACCAACUUGUUUGAGAAUUCAGUGAAAUAGCACAACACAUAGGUGAGAGAAUAAUGCAUGCUCUAUAUAUAUACAUAUUUGCUAUGUCUUGGUCAAAACAAUGCAAAUGCGGUAGAGGAGAAUCAGUAAAGAAUGACGAACCUAGCCCGGUUCUCCUCUUGACUCCCGACGCCGAGUCGUUAUCGUCGGACCGAAACCACUUCACGAACACGAACCCAGCCCCUUCACCAACACGAACCGUUGUAGAGCUUCUACUUUCUCACUCCUUUUUGGCUUCAAACAGUUUUCAAAGCGAAGAUUGCAGUAAAAGAGGAAGGAUCGAGGAAACAAAAUUCGGGUUAGCCAGCAAACCCAAUUGCUUCGAAAAUACAAAAUCUGGCGUGCUACGAUUUUUAGAUUCGAUUCCGGGACCUUCGAAUUAUGACCAGACUUUGAUUCUAUUUGGACUUUCGUAGAAUUCAAUUUUAAAAUCUAUAAUUUUGAAAUUUUAACCAGUUAAUUUUUUUAAAUAAAUGUUUAACCGGUUGUAAACCUGUUAAUGAAAUUUUUUUAAAUAUUUUUAUUAUAUUAUAAUUAUUAGGUACCGUUGAUCUAAUCCAAUGGUCCACGUUUAUUACAGUAUCAAUGCCUUAAAUUUACUUACAACAUUAUAGAAUUUUCCUAAUUAAAAUACAAAUUAAUAAUUAUAACAAUAGUUAAUUAAAGUCUUUUUAGCAAUUUGUAAUAAUCUAACUCAUUAUGAUUUUGAUUAUUACAGUUUAAGUAAACAACUUAUUAUGAUUCUUAUUCUCCAUUCCCACUUCAGUUCAUUCCGAUUUCAAUUCAUUCCGAUUUUCGUUUAAUAAAUGCACCAUUAGUGCUAUAGUAAUAUUUCAAAUAGAGAAAAGUAAAAGCUACACCUAAGGUUGAGGGAAAAGAUUUCAAAACUCUCUUUUGAUCAUAAAACCUUUUGUCUUAAUUAACUUAAAGAUUUUGAAUCUAAUAUUUUAUAAUAAAUAAAAAUAUAUUCCUAAAAUAAAUAUAAUAAUAUCUAUUUUAAAAUUACUAACUGUUUUUAUUAAAGGCAAGUAAUAUCAAUUGUAAACUACAAAUUAAAAUAGAUUUUUUUUCGAUAAAUUACAAAUUAAAGUGGAUUCUUUUGAAUACAAGUGGGACAGACGAUUAGGCUCUUUUUAUUAAAGGCAAGUAAAUUACAAAUUACUAACUGUUUUUCCUUCAAAAGUUAGCGGCUCAUGUUUGCAAGUGUGAAUGUGCGAUGCUCUUUUCUUAAAGGCAAUUACAGUGGGGCCCGAAUCAGACGUGCCUAAAUCUUUUUAAAAUUUUUGCCGUAUAACGAACAGAGGUCAUUACUAAAAUUUCUCUUCCAUAGCCUACAGCAGCUUCAGUUUAUCAAACUCCAUCAAUUUUCUUUCUUAACAAAAUUCCAAAGAUGUGUAGCAUUUUUCAGAUCACAUGCGAUGGUGCUCUUUUCAAUCGUUGCUUGGAUUGCUUUCUUGGAAAAGCAGCAUACAUACGUAACCUCCAAGAUAAUCUUGAUGCCUUGGACACUGAACUGGGAAGACUAAUCGCUAAAAAGAACGAUGUGAUGAGGAGGGUUGUCGACGCUGAACGACAACAAAUGAGAAGGCUGGACGGAGUGCAAGUGUGGGUUUCGAGGGUGGAUGCUGUUAAAACUGGAGCCGAUGAACUUAUCACAGACGGCUCUGAAGAAAUUGGCAAAUUAUGUGUUGGAGGCUACUGUUCCAAGAACUGCAGGUCAAGCUACAAAUUCGGAAAACAAGUGGCUAAAAAGCUACAAGAUGUAAAGACUUUAAUCGCCGAGGGAGUUUUUGAGGCGGUGGCCACUGAGGUGGUGCCCGAGAGAGCUCCGGAACCUGUAGCAGAUAAAAGACCCACUGAGCCAACAAUAGUAGGCUUGCAAUCACAGCUUGAACAAGUUUGGAGAUGUCUUGUAGAAGAAUCAGUGGGAAUCAUUGGCCUAUAUGGUAUGGGCGGUGUUGGUAAAACCACACUAUUGACCCAUAUCAACAAUAAAUUUCUUGAGAGUCCCACAAACUUUGAUUGUGUGAUUUGGGUCGUAGUUUCAAAAGACCUGCGACUUGAAAAAAUUCAAGAAGAUAUUGGGAAGAAGAUAGGUCUCUCUGAUGAUUCAUGGAAGAAUAAAAGUUUUGAAGAGAAAGCUGUGGACAUCCUGCGGAGAUUAGGAGAGAAGAGAUUUGUAUUGUUGUUAGAUGAUUUAUGGGAGCGGGUUGAUUUAACAGAAGUGGGCGUUCCACUUCCCAGCGCACAAAAUACUACCUCAAAAGUCGUAUUCACAACCCGUUCCAUUGGUGUUUGUGGCAGCAUGAGAGCUAGGCCGGUUAAAGUGGCAUGCCUAUCAGAAAAGCAAGCUUGGGAAUUGUUCCGCGAAAAUGUUGGGGAAGAAACUCUUGAGAGUGAUCAUGAGAUCGUUGAGCUAGCCCAAACUGUGGCCAAAGAGUGUGGUGGUUUGCCACUCGCACUUAUUACUAUUGGUCGAGCUAUGGCCUACAGAAAGAAAGCGGAGCAGUGGAGACGUGCAAUUGAAGAGUUAAGAAGAUCAGCUUCAGAGUUUGCAGGUUUGGGAAAAGAGGUGUAUCCUCUUUUAAAGUUUAGCUAUGAUAGUUUGCAGAAUGAUACAAUUAGAUCUUGUUUCUUGUAUUGUUGUUUAUAUCCUGAAGAUUAUGGCAUUCUUAAAUGGGACUUGAUUGAUUGUUGGAUUGGCGAGGGAUUUUUUGGGGAAUCUGACAGGUCUGGUGCAGAAAACCAAGGCUAUGACAUUUUGGACACUCUUGUUCGUGCACGUUUAUUAGAAGAGGUGGAAGAUGAUAAAGUAAAAAUGCAUGACGUUAUUCGUGAUAUGGCUCUAUGGAUAGCUUGUGAAAUUGAGAAGGAGAAGAGAAACUUUUUGGUUUGUGCAGGUGCUGGAUUAAAAGAGGCACCGGAUGUUAAAGGAUGGGAAAAUGUGAGAAGAUUGUCAUUGAUGCAAAACCAAAUUAAAACUCUGUCAGAGGUUCCCACAUGCCCUCAUCUCCAUACUUUAUUUCUUGCCUCUAAUAUGGAGUUGGAGAUGAUCGCGGAUGGCUUCUUCCAAUUUAUGCCUUCUCUCAAAGUUUUGAAGAUGUCACGCUGCUGGAAUUUUCAAUUACCUGUUGGGAUGUCAGAUUUGGGUUCGUCACUAGAACUUCUUGAUAUUUCACGUACCAAAAUAAGAGAGUUACCAGAAGAGUUAAAGUUGUUGGUAAAUCUGAAAUGUUUGAAUUUGGGGUGGACAAGGGAGUUAAAUAAAAUUCCACGGCAACUAAUAUCAAAUUCUUCAAGGUUACGUGUGUUGAGAAUGUUCGCUACUGGCUAUGGGGGUCUUCAUGGAGCAUCAGAAGAUAGCGUUUUUUUUGGCGGGGGUGAAGUUUUGAUACAGGAAUUGCUCGGUUUGAAAUAUUUAGAGGUAUUGGAGUUGACCUUGGGAAGUUAUCAUGCUCUCCAAAUUGUUUUGAGCUCAAAUAAGUUGAAAAGUUGUAUUCGAUCUCUUUUCCUCCAGUUGUUCAGAGAUACAACGUCGAUUAUUGAUGCUACGGCUUUCGCAGAUCUAAACCACCUCAAUGAAUUACAUAUUUAUAUAGGUAUUGAGUUGGAAGAGUUGAAGAUUGAUUAUACAGAGAUAGUACGAAAAAGGCGGGAACCUUUUGUUUUCCGCAGCCUUCACCUUGUUACUAUACAUAGCUGCCCUAAAUUGAAAUAUGUGACAUUCCUCGUUUUUGCUCCAAACCUCAAGUCUCUUGAGCUAUGGAAUUGCCAUGCUAUGGAAGAAAUAAUCAGCGUCGGAAAAUUUGCUGAGACUCCUGAGAUGAUGGGACAUAUAAGCCCUUUUGAAAAUCUCCAAAGGCUUAAUUUAGAAGAUUUGCCAAAUUUGGAGAGCAUCUACUGGAAGCCAUUGCCUUUUACUCGUCUGAAAGAAAUGGCGGUACUUGGGUGCGAUCAGCUUGAAAAGCUUCCGGUCGAUUCCAAUAGUGCAAAAGAGCGUAAAUUUGUAAUUCGUGGAGAAGAAGACUGGUGGAACCGACUUCAAUGGGAGGAUGAAUCCACUCAAAUUGCUUUUCGUUCCUGUUUCCAACCUGAUUCCUGAGCGGUGGUCGCAAAAUUUGAUUUCUGGUGAGUGCGUUUGUCUUUUAAAAGAAGAAUUUAAAAGAAAUUAUUCUUGUCGUUUGUUUUCUUCUGUGUUUUUAUUUCAGUUUCUUUCUCUCUCUCUCUCUCUCUCUUUUUGGUCUUCUGCAAAUCACAAUUAAAUGUUGAAUUAAUGGAAUUAAUGCUUCAUAAAUUUGCCGGCACUGCCAUUACUGUUUUUUGGGGGGGUCGAAUUGAUGCUCUGGUUUUUUACUUUUUGUUGUCAAAUUUUGCCCUGUUCUAUCUUCUUAGCGAUUUAAUUUCCUGUCAAAAGACGAGCGAGAAGAACAUAUAUAUGACUUAAACCAAUUGAUACUUUAUUUAUGUGCAUUGUAUGUAAUAAAUAUUAAGUAUACUUUAUUUUGCCCUGUUCUCUGUUUUUAUUUCAGUCUCUCUCUCUCUCUCUUUCCUGUCUUCUGCAAGUCAUAAUUAAAUGGUGAAUUAUAUGGAAUUAAUGCUUUACAAAUCUGCCUGCACUGGCUUUUUUUUUUUUUUUUUUGUGGGGUCGAAUUGAUGCUCUGGUUUUUUUUUGUUGUCAAAAUUUUCUCUGUUUUUUCAAAUUGAUGCUUUAUUUAUAUCUUCUUCGUGAAAAGUGAUUUAAUUUCCUGCCAAAAGACGAACGAGAAGAACAUUAGAGUCAAACUAAUGCUCACAUAAAUUUCCCGUCAGAAUAUAUAAUUAGACUGGAAUAGUAGCACUCUUUACAGAAAAUGACGUGAAAGUUAAUUUAGAAAGAUAUAUUCUUGACGUGAAAGUUAAUAGUAUACAUGCCAUCACCAUUACCAAGAAUCAAGCAUGGAAUUGGAAGUCAUUCUAUAGAGUGCAGAACAUGACUCUAUGCGGUAGUCAAUUUGACACACGACGAACACCAUAUGCUGCAUAACAUACAAAUUAAUUUCCCAUAUGUGAUGCAAUUUGCUCCUCAACAUAUGCGCAAUUCUUUCCAUUCCGGCCGUUGAUUGAACCCUUUGGCAACAAGACGAGCUUUAAACUUGUCAACAGAACCGUUGGAAUGUCUUUUAAUACAAAAAUCCUUUUGCAGCCAACAAUAUUGGAAGGGAUGGGAGGUGGAACAAGCUUCCAUGUCCCGUUACGAACAAGAGCAUCAUACUCUUCUGACAUAGCUUGACGCCAGUGAGGAUUUUUGAUAGCUUGUGUCACAGUUGUAGGUUCACAAUCAGAAAAAGGGCUAAAAUGAGCACGGAGGUUAAGUUUUUGUAACGGCUUGUGAAUCUUAUUUUUAGCUCGGGUAGUCAUAUCAUGAUGAUUUGUGGGGCAAUGAUCUAGUGGAAGUUUGGGAAGAUGAUUGAACAGGAAGUGAAGAAGUGCUUUGUGUAGAGGUAGAAGUAGGUUGGGAGGAUUGCUGCGGCGAUGUUACCGGUAGAAAAGAAGGAGCAGUACACGGUGCAACUCCAGAGGGCCCACAGUAGAUGGAGUAGGUGCCGACGAUGGAGUACUAGGAAAUGAAACAGUAAGAAUUGGUGGAACACUUGCGUAAUUAGGAGUGGUUGAUGAGCUUGUAAUGAUUUGUAUGGAAAAACAAACUCUACAAAUUUAACGUGACGUGAAAAAAAAAUUUGAAAGGUGGAUGGGUCAAAACAUAAAUAAGCACUUUGAGAUAAAGGAAUAUCCUAGAAAAACACAAGGCUUAGAGGGUGGUUCGAGUUUAUGUGAUGAAACACAAACAUUCAAAAAUUUUUAAGUUUAUAUUAAUUAGGAGUGGUACCAAAAAUUAAUUAGCUAUGGGGUUGUUGGAUGUGUUUUGGAUAUUUACAGUUAAGUUUGAGUAUCUCAACUUAAAAUUUGUAGUUUUCACUUGAAAAAAUUCAGUUAAAUUUUGCAAUGCAGACUGAUUGAUUUAUCAGUUUAACGUGUGCCAGGAAUGAAGAACUGGAAUAUCACCGUCAAGCAAGCACCCUGUGGAGCAAUACCAAAGAAUGCACAAUCCGGCUUUGCUAGGUGACACUGGAGGCUUUUUGAAAAGUGCUUCACGCUCACUUGCACAGAUUGAGCAUCCCCUCUGGAUAUUGCCCUCUCUGAUCGAGUCUGAGCACUCAAAUUUCGGUCCUCAGAUGGAGCUACAGCUUUCUCUCCAAUAACCAACAAUUUUCUAAACUCAGCACCUAGUGUGAUCAGAGUUGUUGAUAUUUGUAAAUGGAGAUCCCCAUAUUUGUAAAUGGAGACAUUUAACAAAUCACCAACAUGCUUCAUCCGGUGUACAAAAUUCUGCAGCUGAUUCAAAUCCGGAACCUGAACCAGAGUCGGAGGUAUAUCUUGAGCCAUAUCUAAAGCAGUUUGAAGUUCAAGACCUUGAGCCCUUGACAAUGGUUUUGAAAUUGGAACAUCUUGGAUUACUGCAGACUUGUACCCCUUGGUUUCAAAGGUAAGGAAAGGCAUUGCUUGAGUACAAUUUGGAGGCAGCUUCUUCACCAAUUUUAUUUGGAGGCGAUUGGCAGCGGAUCCAGCUGCACCAAUUUCAGAGCAACUACUGACACUACUUCGAACAGCACACUGAAGAAGUGAUAUGUCUACAGCAAAGGCAAUGCAGUCCUCAUUUUGGCUUGAGAUGCGGUAAUCAUCGAAGAGAGUUUCCUUGUGAAACUGGGCAACACAUUGAAUCCCUUUGGCACUGAGAAGGUUGUGGAGGAAGUAAGCUUUCUCUCUAGUAAGGAAGAGGUGGCAUACAUUCCCCAUUUUGUCUAGGGCAGGUAGGAAUCUUUUUUCUAAGAGAUUUACUUCAUUCUCUGUGAGAAAUGCUUUGAACUUCAUCCCUCUGUCUCUAUCCUCACUUAUCAGUAAAAUAGUUGAAAGCGCUACAAGGAGAGAAAAGAAGAGUAUUAAGAUAUAUAUAGACAAGAAAAACAUUAGAUGUCGAUCUUACAAGCUAAUACUUCAAACAGUAUCCUAGAAAGCUAAAAACUGCAAAAUGGCUUGAAAUUUGAAAAGAACACAUGCUUUUCCUCCAUAACUUGAGAAAAUGUUUAAUAUAGUGCACCUUACAGAAACAUUUAAGCAAUUAGAACUUUGCACAAAAACAUUCAAGAAGACUAAACAAAUCAGAUGCAGUGUAUUUCUCCAAGCACAAAUGGCAUUGCAUUUCUUCCUCAACUGUAAUAUUUAUUGAUGAAAAUCAGUACAGGUCCCUCAUUUGUUAUGGAAAGCUUUCUUGUAGUCUGACCGGUUAAUUCACGGGUCUAUAAUCAUCUUGCAAAGUUACAGGCAUUUCUUUCGAUUUAAAGUCUUUGCAUCACCACCUCAUCACACACCAAGCCAAUAUUCCGUCUACCUCUACAACAAAAAGUUUUAAGUAAACGAUCCUAAUGCAUGCAGCCAAAUAAAAUGCAGUAAGAAUAUUCAACUUAAAACUCUGAAAGCCAUCUUGGUGAAUUGCCUCCUUAGGGGAAGUUCCAUGAUUUACUAUAGUUGACAGAACUCAGCAAAAGCUUCCAUACAACAGAUUUUGAAAAUGAUGAUGCCAAUAGAUACUCAUUCAAUCCAUUGAAAAUCCAAAGGUUCAUUGUUAGAUCACGAGCAAGAAACAAAAUGGAGACACGCAAUAUGAAUAUGGAGAAAAUUUGAACUCAAAUGAAAUGAGGGCACGAAAGCAAACACAUGGCAUGCGCAAACAAACCAAGCCUCAAUCAAAAACUAAUUAACCAUUAAGAAAAAAAAACUGGUCAGAGAAUGAACUCCAAAUUCGGGAGUGAAGCAAGAAGCUUUCAUUAUUUCAGAAGCUCCUGUACAAAUUAAUAAGUUAUGCUCUUUGGAAACAAACCUAAAUUCCAAGAGAAACAGAACUCAAAAAAUUUGCAAUUAUACGCAAAGGAAGUGAAGCACAGCAUUCUAUCACACGUACGAAUUGUACAACAAGAGAUCGACACAUCGAAUCAGAAGAACUCAAUUCAAAUUUGUCUCAAAAAUCAAAAUUAGAAGAUUUCACAUUUCGAGAGGAACAAGCGACAGGUCAGAUGCAAAAUUUUCAGCCACAACAUGGCACAAUUAACGGUUUAUUUCCAUGGAUUUAGAGAGAUCGCGCGCCAAAAUGGAAGAGGGAAAGCGAAAGUGCGGGUUUUAAUAGGGUAUUGGAUUAGCAAAUUUUAUUAGUUUGCGAGGGUAAAAUAGGAAAGAUAUAUCACUAUUAAGCUUUUUUUUUAAUAAAAAAAAGAAUAAUAAAGAAUAUUUUAUUGUCAUUUGCAGCAUUUAAUUUUUUUUUUAAAUGCUAUUAGAAAAAUACGACAAUAAAGAAAUGCUCUUUUUUUUUUUUUUUUUUCUGGAAGGUAAAAUCAAUUAUUUAGCUCCUUAUAUGUAAUCAAACUCCAUUUCUUACUUUAAGUCAUAUCCAACGGACCAACAAAGUAAUUUUUUUUUUUUCAUUCAUUUUUGCAGAAAAUUAAUAACUUAAAAAUAUUGAAAGCUAUUCUAAAAUUUUUUAUUAUCAACCUCAUAGUUUAAUUUUUUUGGGGAAGAAUUGAAUUUUUUUUUUUAAUUUCCAAGAAUUUCAUUCUCUAGUUUUUCCAUUAAUAUUAUUUAUCUUGAUACCCAUCUUAAUUAAAAUCUGUAGUUUUAUUCAAGAGUCAUGCUAUUCAUUCACUCACAGGCAAAAGGCUUUCCGCAGCAAUAUUAUUAUUUAAAUUACAACAAAGGGGAAAUCAAAUACGUCAUACAGAAGCAUAAAGCUGAAUCUACAAAAUCUAGAGCUCUCAACUACAUAAAUUACACUUGAUGACCCUCUACAAGAUGAAGCUUGUUCAAUAUCUCAUCCAAAGCUUGUAAAGUAACCCUGUAACGAUCUUGAGAUUGCCUGCCUUCCUCGACGACCUGCACGAUGCGUUUGUACAAAUCAUCAUACCUGUGCACCGGAUUUUUAAUAUCAAUGGCACUGCAGCUGUGAUCAAGAACAUAAGAGCGUUUAACGUCUUUUCUCCAUCGAGAAAGAAUGUACUGAGAUGGGAUCUCCUCCAUGCCACUCUGGUUUAAAACACAAAGAAUGUGUCUGCAUAAAUAUCCUCUGAAAUUGAACAACCCACAAACACAAAGCACCUCCAAGUCAGAGGCAUUGUACAAAACAUCGAAAGCCCUUGAAUCUUUCUCGUUGCUACCAACCUCAAAUUCUUCUUUCACUAUGUAUGUUAUAGGUCCAUCAGCACUGACAUGUUUUGUGCUAUAGCAAGAGUACAUAGCCUCCACCUCCGUCUGAAACUUCCUUAACAUUUCAUUUGUGUACAGUUGUGAGAGUUGAAAUUCAUAGUAACAUCUUGGUUUCUGGAUACAACUUGAAUUUCUUGGAUCCAUAUCUGCCAAGGCUUCCAGUUGAUAAUUCGCCUGCAGUGCUUGAUCAUACUUGUCUAAGAAUUCUUUCAAAGGAGUAUUCUUAUGAAGAUAUCCUUCAAAGUAUGAAGUAGAAACCUCAUUCUGCAGGAACGAAAACACUCCUGAUAAAAAAGCUUCCUUCAAAUAAAUAGGAGCCCACCUUUUACGAUCUUCAUAUAACGUUUGAAUCCAUCCGUGAUCCUUUAUUCCAUGACGUUGAAUCAUGUCUUCCCAAGCUGCUUCAAAUUUCUCAGGCCAGAGAGAGUGAUAAAUUGCUCUAUGUAAUGCAGCUUUAAUAGCUUCAUAUUCAAACAAUCCUUGGAGUUUCUCUGGAAUUUUUUGCAUGAUGCAUGACAAUGAAAAGCAAUGAUAAGCUCUUGGGAAAACAUCGCCAGCAGCAAUUUGCAAGAUUCUACAUUGGUCAGUGAUGAUUGUUUGUGGAGAGCGCCCUAACAUACAUGUAAGCCACGCCCUAAACAACCAUGUCUAUGAUUCUAUGGUCUCACUGGCAAGUAAACCACAACCCAACAACACUGAUUGUCCAUGAUGAUUCACCCCAAUGAAUGAAACCAGUGGUACAUCAUAUCUUUCAGUCAAGCACGUAGUAUCAAUUAAGACUACAUCACCAAAGUACCUAUAUGCAACUCUUGACCUGAUAUCAGUCCAGAACAGGUUUCUCAAGCAUCCCUUUUCAUUUAGUCCACUACAUUAAAAAAGUUUGGAUCUGUCAACUGCAAACGACAAAAGAAACUCUGGAUAGCUUGUGCAUCUCCUGGUUUAAGCUUCAAUUGAUUUGAGCUAUUAACAUUAUUUCCAAAUACUCCAUUAACAUCUACAUUACCAUUUCCCUCGGUAUCAAUGAUAAGAGUUCGAAACAGUUUAAUUUUUUGAACUUCUUCAGCACUAUCUAAAUGCAAUGUUCUUUUGGUUCCAAUACCUAUGUGCUUAUGUGACUUGUAAAACUUUCCACUUCUUGGGCUUAACAAGUGGUUAUGCUCAAGCUCGACUUCAAUGAUUCUCCACCUUUUGGUUUCCAUCAACCUAAACUUUAUCAUUGCUGGACAGCCAGUUCUUGUUUCUGGUCUUGGGCGGUUUGCCUCGCUUUUCUUCUUGAAGCCUGCACUACUACAGCUCAGCUUUCCUCUAUACUUUACUCUUUUGGUACCAUGUAUUGCUAACUCUAACACCAAAACCAUGUUCCUUGGCAUAGCAAUUGUAAAAGUAAAAUACAUCAUCAUACAUCUCAAACUCCAUUCCAACAGCAGGAGGCAAGGGAUUUUGGAUUAUCCCAGUUUGUCCAACAUAUUCAGUCAUCGCACAAUCUCCUACGACCUCAAAAUCAUCAGUGUCAUCAUCACCUACUGGUUCGGUGUUGAGAGAAACUUCAUCCAUCUACAAUGGAUGUUCAAUGAAGUGAGCUUUAAGGAGAAAAAGCAAAAUCAGUUCAAGGAAUGAUAAUAUAAUCAUAUAGUUACUUUCACAAAGCUUCAUAUUUCAUCACUGCUUUACCAACAUGCAACUGCCAGAGAACAAACAGACAUGUCAUAGACGCUUGAAUUAAGUAUUUGUACAAAUGAGCACACAUCAUGUGGGACAAAAUUUCAGUCACUAAACCCAAUACCACUUUUUACAUCAUACCAAGGAACAGAUUAAACCCGACACCUUCUUUUAAACCAUACCAAGGAACAGAUUAAAUCAUCAAUGAAAAAUUAAUCACAUAAUAACUUAACCAGACAAAUGAAGAGCCUGAAACAGCACAAAACUUGAAUAUGAUUAUGAUAAUUGUUGAGUCCUUGUAUCUACAGCUUUCCUUCAAUGAUAAGACAAUGAACAUAAACGAGAUGCAAAAAAUUUAUUUUAAGCUGACAGCCCAUGAUAUAAAUCAAACAAAAUCAACUCCUUUUUUUACACAUCACAUCUCAUAUUCAUUUACAUUGAAACACAAAAAGGAAGCAGGAGUGGGAAAAAAACAACAGCAGAGGAACUUAUUUCCAUAAGGUUUACGAAAUAAGGAAUCUAUUAAAACCCAAAACUUGAGGUCACCACUAAGAAUUUCGUUCUCAUUAUUUUUUUCUUCAUUUUUCACCAAUGAUGAACUUAAAAUACAAUCAUAAAUGAUAAAACCCCAUCUCCAUCUUUUUGAACUAGAGCUAAAGCAAAGCAUUUUAAGAUGUUUCAUCAUUUUUUUUAAAAAAAAAAACCUCAAUAGUACAAUGUUUUUCAAUGUUAAAUGCACAAUUCAAUCUUCUCCUAAUUUACUCUAAUAAUCUCUUAAUUAAGGAAGAUUAAGCUUCAGUUGUAAGCUAAAACAAAUUUCUUAAAUCAAGCCCCAAUGCUUUAUGCUAUUCAACAAGGGCUCAUAAAUGAUAAAACUACUUCUACAAAGAUACCCAUUUUCUAAAUUAAUUUCACAAACUGAAAUCAAACUCCUGAAACGUAACGAGCAUUAAUAUAAUCAAACCCGAACAAGAAUUGAAAAACGACACAUAAACUCGUUUACACAUUUUGACAGACACUUUGCAAUCAAUGAGCAAAAAAUUAAUGGAGAAGAUAAAAUUCAAACGAAACAUGCCUUACAUUGAUAAAUUAGAAGGGCAAAAGAAAUUUUAGUAAGAUAUGGGAUCAGGGUCUUGCCACGGUGAUGUUAUUUGUGAUGUUCGAGCGACUCAGCAGCCUUCGAGGUUGAAAAUUUGAUUGACCAAAAGCUUCCCGUUCGUUGAUUCUCUAAUAGCAGAAACGAGACUGGCAGUAUACACAACAAGUUCGCUGAUUUUAAAUUCCGUUGUUUGAGAUGGAAAUUUUUUUUGAAAAAAUUAAUGUGUUCGAUGAAUAUCAAAAUCUAAAAAACUUUUUGUUUUUCAUUUUUUUGGAAAAAGCCAUUGAGAUCCUUACUAUUUUUUCUUAUAUCAUCUUGCUUAAUAAUUUGCAAAGUCUAUCGCAUAGCACCCAUGCAUGAUGUAUGCUGCGUUGUAAUUUACAAAAUUGCACAUGAAUAAAUCCAGCUAAAAUUUGUUAAAAGAAAAUAAUAAUAACAUGUUAAAACUUAAAAAUUUGAUUAUUCGAAGAAAUUUUAAUUUAGUUAAGUAGGUGACAUGAUAAUAAAUAGAUACGUAUAAUGUCCGAGAUUUUUAUAAGAUUAAUAAAUAUGAUAAAAUUAAACAUGCAAAUAUACACACUAAUUUAGAUGUGUGAAUAACAAAUAUGGAACGACACAUGCAAAGUCAUCUGUAUAAUUGAAACGCCAUGCACUAGUAGUAGGUAAGAGAAACCAAGGUUGAAGUUGCUCCAAUGGUUACUGUUCAUUUAUUUUUAUUUAUGAUUUUUAUGUAAAAUGUAAGAAAUAUGUAGAAAUGUUGCCAGCAAUGAUUUUGGAACUUUGCAUAAAAUUUUUAUCAUUAUUGUUUUUGGUAUUAAGAAAUCCGAGGCGGUGAUUAGACGUAUGUUGCAACAAUUAAGAAAUUUCUUAUUGGAGAUAAUUUGGUAGGUUGCAGCAAUUAGAGAAUAAUUUUCCUGCCGGUUAAUCAAUCAAUAAUAAAUUUCAAAUUGCAGAAAAUAAAAUAAUACUGUCGCACUUAGAAUCAUAUUUUCUAUCUCUUUCAAUUGUGGCAAUCAUUUGUAACAAAUAAAUCAAUUUGAUGCACAUCAUUUCCCCAAUUCAAAGUUCAAGUCACUGCUCAAUUGCAGAGUAGUUAGUAGACAUGCAUGCAUGUUUAAUUAAGUACUGCAUUGUAGUAUCGAAAAUCAUAACAUCUCACCAAGCCCAGAAACUAUGGGAAACAUGAUCUCACUCUCAGUGUCACUUGAUUCCAUUUUCUGUUCUUGCCUUGAUUUCGAUGUUGGGAAUGUGACGUCUGAGUCUAAGGUUGAAGAUAAUCUCGAUGCCUUGCGGACUGCAAUGGAAAAAUAAGCGGAAACGAGAAAUGAUGUGAUAAUAUUUACAAAAGAAUGGAUCGAGUGCAGGGCUGGCUUUCAAGGGUAAAAGCUGUGGAAAAUAAAGCUGAUGAUUUGAUGAGACACAGCUCUCAAGAGAUUGAGAAGUUAUGCCUUGGAGGCUUCUGUUCCAAGAACUGCAAAUGAAGCCACAGCCGUGGGAUAGAAGCUGCUACAAUGCUACGAGUUGUGGAGACUUUAAUGGGUGAAGGAUCAUUUGAAUUGGUGGCUGAGAGGGUGCCAGAAGAUGCAGCAGAGGAGAUAAAUUGUGAGUCAACAAUAAUGGGCAUGGUGUCGACUUUUGAGAAAGCCUGGAGAUGCCUUGAAGAAGAAUAAGUUGGAAUUAUUGGCCUAUAUGUCAAUGGGAGAGUUGGAAAUAUUUACUCAAAUCAACAAGAAGUUCCUUGAUAGUCCAAAUAAUUUUGAUGUUGCAAUCUGGGUAGUGGUCUGCCAAGAUUUGCAACCCCAGAAGUUUCGGGAAAAGAUUGGGAAAAAGAAAGGCUUGUUCGAUGAGUCAUGGAAGAACUGAAGUUUUGAAGAGAAAGCACUCGAUAUAUUCAAGAAUUUAAGCAAGAUGAAGUUUGUAUUACUGCUGGAUGAUAUAUGGGAGCAGGUUGAUUUAAUUAAAAUUGGUGUCCCUCUUCCAAGCACAAAAAUUACAUUCAAGAUAGUCUUCACAGCUCCUUCUAUUACAUUUGUGGCCUCAUGGAAGCUCACGACAAGAUUAAAGUGGAGUGUUUAAAUGACGAAGAAGCAUGGGAAUUAUUCUGCAAGAAGGUUGGAGAAGAUGUGGCGACUCUGUCCAAGUGCUAAGGAGCUCAGCCUCAGAAUUUCUAGGUACGGAAAAAUAAGUAUAUCCUCUUUUGAAAUUCAGUUAUGAUAAUUUACCUAGUGAUAAAAUUAGAUCGAGUCUGUUAUACUGUAGUUUGUUUCCAGAAGACUUUCCAAUUAGCAAAAUGGAAUUGAUACUGAGAUAUGAAAUCAAGGAUACUACAUUAUUGGUGUUCUUGUUCCUUUAUGUUUAUUGGAAGAAGAGGCUCCACUAUAUGUAAAAGUGCAUGAUGUGAUACGCGAUAUGCUUCUGUGGAUCGCAUGUGAAUUUUUUUUUUUUUUUUUGAUAGGGAUAGUAUGUGAAGUUGAGAAGGAGAAAGAGAAUUUUUUGGUUCGUGCAGGUGCAAGGAUUAACUGAAGUACCAGACAUUUGGAAAUGGGAAGGGUUGAGAAGGGUGUCUUUGAUGAGCAACAAAACUGAGAAGUUAUCAGAAAUUCCUUCAGAUCCCCAUCUACUGACUUUGUUGCUUCAACGUAAUUAUUUAGAGAUGAUCAAUAAUGACUUCUUCCAAUCUAUGCAUUCCCUUAGAGUUUUGAACUUAUCAUGUAAUCGUUCUCUAACUGAUAAUUUCAAAGUUAGUUUCCCUACAACAUCUUAAUUUAUCAAUGACUAACAUACGAGAGUUGCCGAUUGAGUUAAAGUUUGUAGUGAAUCUUAAGUUUUUGAAUGUGGAGUAUGCACGGUUUCUUCAUUCAAUUCCAGGGCAAGUGAUAUCCAGUUUUACGAUGUUACAAGUUUUGAAGAUGUUUGGUUGUGGCAGGUCAUCUUCUGAUCGUGAGCCACACCAGAAGAUAGCGUUUUAUUUGGAGGCAGUAAACUUUUGAUUGCGGAGUUGUUUGGUUUGAGAGACAUUUAGAUUUGUUGACCAUCAUCCUAAGAAGCUCCCAUGCUCUGAAAGAUUUUUGAGCUCCAACAAACUUCAAAGUUGUACUCAAUCUCUCUAUCCUAAAUGCUUUGAUUCGAAGUCAGUUGAUGUUUUUGGCCUGGCUGAUCUGAAGCAUCUCAAUAGGCUAUAGAUAUUGCGAGUUGUAAGCUUUUGGAAGAAGUGAAGAUUGACUUUGUUGGGAAAGCACAAUGAACCCAUGGUUUUCACAGCCUUAUGUCACAGAAGUUGUGUAAAUACUGCACGGGUUGCUGCCAUCCCAUGACAUUGAGCCAUGUUGAAAUAUCAUUUUGCUGUAAACUGAGGGAUCUGACAUAGCUUGCUUUUGCUCCAGGCCUUCUUGUUGUUUCCAGAAAACAUUGCCAUGAUAUAGAAGAAAUACUCGGUGUUGGAAAAUUAGGUAAAGAGAUGAUGUCAAACCUGGAACCUCCUACAAAACUCCAAGGUUACGUUUGUCAUGUGGGAUUGGAUUGAACUAAAUUAUUAAGAUUGAAUUAAAUUGAAUUAUAUUUAUAUUCUUAUGUUUAGUACCGGAUUGAACUAUAUUAGAUUAUAUUUAAAUAAUAUUAAAUAGUAUUUAAGUUGGUAUUUUAAUAUAAAUAUCAAUUAUCCAUGAAAUUUUAUAAUCAUAAUUAAAAUAAAUUUAAAAAGUAAUUACUAGGAAAAUUAAAUAUAUUGCAAAAAGUUAUUGGGUAGUCAUAAUAUAAUAAGCAAAUAAAAUUAAAUAAAACAAAUUAAAUAUUUAAUUAAUUUUUAUCAAAUAUUUAAAAAUAUUAUAUAAAAUCAAUUAAUUAAUGGUUUUAUUAAUUUUCAUGAUUAUUUUUAAUAUUACAUUAGUGAUUAUUAAAUUUAAUACAAUCAAAUAAUGCAAUAAAUAAUUAAACGUUUAAUUUUAUCGAUUAAUUAUUAAAUAUACAAGUAAUAAAAAUUUAAUCUCAGGAGUUGGUAGAAGCAAAAGUACUAAUUUAAUUACAUCAUAGAUAAUAAAUAAAAAUAAAUUCUAAGUAAAUCAUAAUAAAAAAAUUAAUUAAUUGAUUCAAUCAAUCAAUAUUAGGUGUAAAUAAAAAAAGAGUAAUGAUAUAGCCACAAACUCUUGCACAAACUUAUUUUGUACAAACUCAUGUGUCAUGAUAAGAUUAAUUAAAUUAAAUAUCACUUGACCUACAUGAUUUAUUUUUAUUAUUUUAUAUUUUCAUUCAACCAAUGAAUUAACGCCACGUCAGUUUGUAUAAGAUAGGUUUGUACAAGAGUUUGUGGCUGUAUCGUCGCUUAUAAAAAAAAAUAUAAAUAAAAAUAUCAUAAAUAGACAACUUUUAUCUUUAAUCUUAUUCCAACUAAACACAUGUGUAAAUUAGAAUUAUUAAUCCCAUGAUUUUAAGAUUAAAUUCAAAUUUAUUCCCCCUUAAUCCAAUCCAACUAAACUUGUCAAACAUGGGAUAAAAAUUUAAUUCUAAAAUUAGUACAAUUCCAUAUUUAAUCCUAACAUCCAAAUAUAGCCCAAGUUGUUUGCUUAAAGAAGCUACCAAAUUUGAAGAGCGUUUACGGGAAGGCCUUGCGUUUCCCAGAUGUAUGCAGAAUUUUUGUAUCUAAAUGCCCAGAACUUAAGAAGCUGACGCUGGAUUUGAAAGGGCGGGCCAAGGUAAAAUUCUUAUCAAGUGAAAGGAAAAUCGGUGGGAACAACUUCAAUGGGAGGAUCAAGCAACUCAGGAUGCAUUGCUUCUGUUUUUCAAAUCAACUGACAAGUGAUUGAAGGGGCCAUCAUCAGCCUGGAUGGGGAGAUCCUGGAGCAGAUCAGCAGGGUUUGAAUCUGCAUCAUCAACAUCAUCAGGAUCUCUAUUUCUAUUGCUGGUCGUAAUGCCUGCCUACUGUUGCUUGAAAAAGUGAUUAAGUGAGCCAGUUUUUUGUUUAUUAAAUUUUGUCUUGUGGAGACAGUCACAAAGUAUUUUUCAAUUAUGAUAUUCUGUGGGAAAUUGCAAGUAUUUUCAAAUAUGAUCGUUACUAAAGGAAACAAAGGAAUCAACACAGCAUACUGAACCUCAGCAGUAUGAAGCUAAUGAUUAAACUCCUCACACAAUUCAUGACAUGCAAAACCAUUCACAAAAUCAUCCACAGCAACCAUAAUUGGCGUUUACAAGAAUUACUUUUCUGUUCAUGCAAUCGGCGUCUGAACGCGGCUGAUCGGUCACCAGUGUUGGCGUUUACUGUGAUUAGACAAAUUGUAGGACUUCAAAAAUAACUUCUAUAGAGGUAAUUUCGAUUUCACAUAAUUAAUUUUAGGGAAAUUUACACUCGUCCACCUGUUUGUUUUGCCUUUUUCAAAAAUACACAAACACUUUUUUUUUUUUGCAGCGCGUCACCUGAAGUUUAUUUUUUGUUGCAUUCAUUCACUUCCGUCUAAUUUCCGUUAGUGGAUUUAACGGAAUGUUAACGAAAUGACCUUUUUACCCCUCAAAAUUAUAAUUUAACCCAAAAUAAAUGGAAAUUAGAGAUAAAUUAGGUGGAUUUAAUUUUUUUUAAAGGUGGAUACUAGAAAUUGGAGGAAAAUAGUGUUUGUUGCUUGCUAAAUUUAGAAAAUUUGUAUUUAUUUUUUUGAAAGACAAAAAAAUAAAUACACAAAAAAAAUAAAUACACAAAAAAUAAAUACAAAUUUUCUAAAUUUAGCAAGCAAUAAACACUAUUUUUCUCUAAAAAAAUAAAUAUAAAUUUUUUAAAUUUAGCGGGCAACAAAUAUUAUUUUCCUCCAAUUUCUAGCAUCCACCUUUGAAAAAAAUUAAAUCCAUCCAAUUUAUUUCUAAUUUCUAUUUAUUUUGGGUUAAAUUGUAAUUUUGAAGGGUAAAAAGGUCAUUCCGUUAAAUUCACUAAUGAAAAUUAAACGGAAGUGGACGAAUGCAACAAAAAGUAAACUUCAGGUGGCGCACUGAAAAAAAAAAGUGUUUGUGUAUUUUUAAAAAAGACAAAACAAACGGUGGACGGUUAUAAAUUUCCCUUAAUUUUAUUUACAAUAUUUUAUGCCUGCUAGGUCAAUUGAGAUUCUUUCCACCGGGCACACUCUUCAUGUUCUUUUAUUUUCUGUCUUUUAUUAGACGUUGGAUUUUACUACUCUUUUAUCCAACGGCUUGCCACAACAAGACAAAUGAGGUGGUACAUUCAUUUUAUGUCCUUUCAUGUUUUUGAAUUACUGAAGACAAGUGGCUCGUCGCUUUUACUGUAGGUAAGAUCCAAAUUAUCUCGAUUAUCAAAAUAAUUAUUUUAAAAUACCUUAAUUGUUUUUAUUUUUAUGUUGCCGGAAUCAGAAUGAGCUGAAAUCAGAAUGAGUAAGAAUAAAAAUUGACUGAAAUGUAAAUAAUGAAUGAGAAUUAAAAUAAAUUGUUUACUUAAACUAUAAGAAUCCAAAUCAAAAUGAUUGCCAUUAAUGUGUUUCCUUUGUCUUGAAAUCGGAAUCAUAAUGAAUUAAAUUGUAACAAAUUAUUAAAAAGUACUUAAUAAAUUAUUAUCAUAAUUAUUAUUAAUUAAUUGUAAAAUUUUUUAAUUAAUUAUAAUAAUUAUAAUGAUAUUCGGCCACCACGAGACCAUAACGAAGCCAGAAACACAUGCUUCUUCUGCCGUUUCGAAGUUUUAAAUUUAAAAAUUAAAAACACAAUUUUCCAUUGAAAAAUAUCAAAAUUAAAUCUAAAGAAUUUGAAAAAUCCAAAAUCCUUACCCGUCCCUCUCACUGUCCCUCUUAUUCGCUUAUUCUCUCUCUCUCUCUCUCACUCACCCGAUCUAGGGAUGGGCACGGUUCGGUUCGGUUCGAAAUUAAGUAGAACCGAUUUAAAUCGGUUAUUUUAUAAAAAGAACCGAACUCAAUAAGAACCGAACUCAAACGGUUCUUUUCGGAUCGGUUCGAUUUGGUUCGGUUUUUUCGGUUUUGGGCCUAUUUUGAAUUUUUAAAAUUUUAGUCCAUUGGGCCUCAUGAAUGUAAUAAUUUUUUUCAAUAAUUAAUUUAUCCUAAUUUUAUUACAAAUAUUAACAAUAAAUACAAAGUAUUCAAAACACAGUUUAUCACUAAUAUCUUACUAACUAUUAAUAAGAUACUCCCAAAUAUAUGAAAUAUUAAAAUUUCAAAAUACAUAACCAAACUCCAAUACUCCAUCUAUAUAAACAUAAUCAUAAUGUUAUAAAGAGAAAUAACACAUGUUUGAUUUGAAUAAAAUCAAAAAAUAAUUUGGUUUUUCGGUUCGGUUUUUCGGUUCAGCUAAGUGAAUCGAAUACCGAACCGACAUUUCGGUUUUUUUUACAAACGGUAUAUUCGGUUUUUUUUAAAAAUAAAAAUCGAACCGAAUUAGAAAAAACCGUCGGUUCGGUUCGGUUUUUUUAAGACUACGGUUUUUUUGCCCACCCCUAACCCGAUCUGCCUCUUUUACUCACCCACUAGCAGGCUGUCACUCACCCACAAAACUUGUCACGCCACGGCCAUUGUUGACCAGCCAUCAUCGCUGUCACGCCACGCCCAUUGCCGACCAGCCCAUCACUGAUCACAUCGCCGUUGACGGUGUGCUUGACGAUUUUGGACCUUUUUCACCUACGUAGGUAAUUAAAUUUAGCAUGUUGAGGAAAGUUUUGAUUUAUUGUAUUUAUAUUUUAAAAUUAUUAGAAAUAAGUUAUUGGAAAUGUAGAUUUUGUUUGAAUUAUAUAUGAUUAAUACAAUUUAUUUUUCAUGGUAUAAAAAUGAAGGAUUUGGAAAAAAAACUACAAAGUCGAAGAUUUUGAAGAAUUAGAUUAACAACAAUUUAAAUGGAAAUAAUGAAAAAACUGAUAAUGAUGUGGAUGUGAAACCAAAAAAGUAUGAGCCAAAGUUUGGGAUGUUGUUUGAUAAACACCAUUAUCUUCUUAUGAGCCAAAAAAGGAAGAAUUAGAUGACAACAAUUAAGGUAAGAUUAAACUACUUACUUAAUUAUUCUACAAUUAAUUUAAUUUUAAUUUUAAUGUAUCUUUUUAUGGAUUUGCAGGAUUCAAAUGUACAAACACCAUUAUCUUCUGAGGUGGAUAUUGUAGUCCCAACGCAUGAGAGCAAUAAGGAUCCUGUAAGUUUUAUGUUCUUUGAUGUAAUACUAUUUAAUUAUUUUAAUUUUUAAUGGUCACUAAAUAAUGGUCAUUAUUUAAGAACCUGUGAUCGCAUACCAAUUACAAGGAUGUGAUAUUUAUCCAUGGUUUCCUUUUGAUUCUUACAUUGUAAGUUAUAAUCCAAUUUCUAUAUUUAUGCCUAGUUAAUUUUGCAUUUUCUGGAAUGUAAUAUGGUUCUUAUUUUGUACAAACUAGCAAUCCCCAUCACUCCCAUCUAUGUUGCCUUAUUCUUCAUCUUGGAUAUCGUAUAAAGGUUCUCAACAAAGGAGUUUUCAGUAAUCGCUACUUCAACAGAAUGAUAAUAACAAAGAAGUUUGAAGCAGACUUAACAGAUUGAUCAUUGACUUAUUCUUUUGUUGUGUUUUGUGUAUUAGUUGGUUGGAUGAUAUUACUCUAGUGCUCAAUGAUUGAACGUGGAAAUAUUUUGAAGGGUUUUUAUCCAUAUAUUCAAAGGGUUAAGUGUGUCAAUAACCAUUACAACAAUAAGAGUAGUUCAUAUAGAAAUGUCAAAUUAACCACACACAAAAGAAAAAGGUACAAAUAACUUAUUUCUAGUAAUUUUAAAAUAUAAAUACAAAAAAAAACCAAAUACUUUUCUAAUCAAAGUAUCACAUACAAGGUUUCGUAAAGGCCGUGUCAAAAGAAUUUCUUUAACUGAUUAAAUAUACUAAUUUUAGGUGACAAUAAUCUAAUAAUUUUAAACUAAAUUAACUUAAUUUCGCGAAAAAAAAUUCAAAAAACGCAUAGAAUUACGGAUCAAGUCUAAUUAACAAUCAAACGUAGUAACUCAGAUGCAUUUAUGCCAAAAAGAAUGUUCAUAAGACUACACAAAACCACCCAAAAAAAAUUAUAAAAUAAUAAAAGCAGCAGCUGCAAUAGAUUUUGCCUGAACAAGAAACACAACAAAACAAAGAGAAUAAAUCAAUCAAGGGCAUAAAUAGAUUGAACAAAAAAGGGCAAGAUCAGAGAAGAAACUGACCCACGACACUGGAUCCUCCUAAGCCUAGCGUCAUGGUUGCGGUUUUGAUGAUGCGUUAGCUGAGGUCUGACCAAAAUAUUGACAGUGACCUUGUGGGUGAGUGAGAGGUGAACGAGCUUCGUGGGUGAGAGUGAGAGCCGAGAGGGACAGAGCGGGUGAGAGAGAGAGAGGGUGAGUGAGGGGAGCGAUAAGAAUUUAGAUUUUUUUAGUUUGUUUUGAUUAGCUUUUAUUAUUUUUUAAUGGUAAAAUUUGUUUUUAAUUCUCAAAUCUAAAAUUUCAAAACGGCACAUACGCGUGUCGUUUCUGGCUUCCCUCUGUAACGAGGGCGGCCGAAUAUCAUUUUUUAAAUCAUUAUUUUAAAAUGGGUCUACAUUGCAACAGUAGUACGAUCCCAUUAUUAUUUUCAGUCAUUAAAUUUUAUUAAUAUAAUUAUAUAAUUAUAAAUUUAAUAAUUAAAAACAACAAUAAUAAUAUACUGUUGCAAUAUAAUUUUGACCUUUAAAAUGCCUUAAUUGUUUUUACUUUUAAUGUUACCGGCCUUUCUUAUAUUUUAUUAUAAAUUAAUACUAACAAGAAAAAGCUAGAUCAUUUUCCACAAAAAUAAAAGUGACAAAACAAUCAGCUAGAUUCUUUUAUUAAACUAUAAAUUAAAACGGAUUUUUUUUUAAUAAACUACAUAUGAAAGUGGAAUCUUUUGAAUAUAAGUGAGUAGGCUCUCUUUUUUUAAAAAAAAAAAACGGGGUAGGUUCUUUUAAUAAAGACAAGUCAUAAGUAUUAAGUAGUCACGACCAUUAGACUCUUUUAUUAGGACCUGUCUAUGGUACAGAUUCUGUAACAAACAUCUCCCGUCAUACCACCAUCCGAUCUUCUAUUGUUUAGUUUCUCACUUCACAUCCAACGGCUGAUGCUGCAGUCUGUAGCUUACAGAUUCUGUAAGCUAGUCAAGUCCCUUUUAUUAAAUUACAAAUUGUAGGAGGUUGCUACGUUACAGAAUCUGUAACAUACACAUUCAAUGGGAAGCAGCACACGUGUCCUGAAGAGAGAGAAAAAUCGGGCAAAUGCAGGCAAUGGCGGGUAAUGGGAGUUGGCUAAAAGUUGGAUAUGCAAAUUUACAAAAGAGUACUGCUAUUUACUCCGAAUGCUAACUCUGAAUUUACGCCCCGAGAGAUAAAACGACGUCGUUUUUUUUUUUUGCUUUGUAAUUUCAGCCAAAAAAGGUGGGCAGCACGUGGGUGAGCAUAUGCUUCAAUUAAUUUGGAACCAAAACGACGUCGUCUGUUCCUGCUUAAUCCUUCGUUUUGCUUUUCUUUCCAACCACAACGCUCGGCACCCAAAACUUCCACAAACUGCAAACUGCAAAACAUUUCCAUAUGCUAGCUCUUUAUGCAUGUGACCAAACACAACUUUCAUGUGUCUGUCUGCUUGUGUAUAUAGGAUGGAAACUUAUAUGGGUUUCUCCAAUCACCUGAAUGAUUGUAUUCUCAAAUGUUGCUUGUGGAUUCAUGGGAUUUGCUGUUCCAAAUGAUUAUGUUGAAGUCUUGACACUGAUUUGGGAAGGCUGUUGGUUUUAAUUUUGUUAACUAUUAGAGAUGUAGUACUUCUUGCAUGUCUAUUUCUUUUUCUUUUUUUGUCUUCCCUCUAAUUUAAUCAAUUUUAAAUGCACUAGAUGCCACAUGCUUUGUCUGCAUAUUUGUCUCUGGGCAUAGUCUGAAGAUGCUUUUGCCAACACAGAGCUGAUUUAGGGAAUGCCCAUGGAGCACUUGUAAGUGCCUGCUUUUCCAUAAAUCACAAAAUUUUAACAUGUCAAAACUUAAUGAUUCGUGAAAGUUGAAUGCUGAAUUUGAACGCCAACUUGUACAUGGGCUUUGGCAUACAGCAGCCAACAACGGUUCCUCAACGUAAGCACUUGUUUGAAACGCGUUUUUAUUUGCAGGCGCAAGAACUAUUGCUGCUGUUUGCAAAACAAAAAGUGAUUGCAAAACAAAAAGUAAAACGAAAGGAAAAGGUGUUUCGAUUGUAGUUCGUCAAAAUGAGUCCAAAAGAAAAGAAAAAAUGCGUCGAAACGGUGCGUUUCCUUUUAAUUUCAAAACGGCACGUUUCAUUCGGGGUGUUAGUCGAGGCGCAAGUCGGGACAAGCAGCUUCUUCCUUUAUAAAAUCUGUAACUUAAGUCAGCUCCCAAAUUGUAUAGUCUUUUUUCAAAUUGUACAGACAUUUAUAAAUUGGUGGCCCCUUGGAAAUUUAAUGCCAAGCAGACAAAAGUCAUCAUGCACAAUCCUCAAUAAUUAUUUCGCGUAUAUUUAUAAAUUGGUGGCCCCUACGUCCUCAAUAAUUGUUCAGAUACUUAUAAAUUGGCGGCCCUUGAUAAUUUAACAGCAGCUUGCAAGUGCCAACUAGUGAAAAGUCAUCAUUCACAAUCUUCCAAAUGAACCAAGGGACAUACAAAGAUUAAGACAUGUCAUUCUUUUUUCAUUCCCUUUCAUGUAACUUACAUCUAAAUACAUAAAUAAUAUAAAAUGAAUGGAGAGAUGCCGGAGCAUAUCAGCAGGGUUUGAAUAUGACCUUUGGCGCUUGUCUUUUUUUGUGAUUUUUUUUUUCAUUUUUUCCUUCCUGUCAUUUUAUCAUUUCUUUGGCUUUGUCUCUAUUGCGGGCGUUACUGCAUGCUUACUGUUGCUUGACAAAGUUUGCUAGCUUUUCCUUUUGUUUAUUAAAUUUUUUUAUCGUCGCAAAGUAUUACUCGUUCUAUUUGACAGUGAUGUGAAUCAAUUUUUCAAUUUUAUAUUUUAUCGUCAAUGUGAAUUCAAUUUCAUUUGUCAUCAUGCAUAAUCCUCAAUAAUUGUUUCGAUAUUUAUAAAUUGGUGGCCCCUGCGUCCUCAAUAAUUGUUCCGAUACUUAUAAAUUGGUGGCCCCUUAAUAAUUUAACAGCAGCCUGCAAGUGCCGACUAGUGAAAAGUCAUCAUUCACAAUUUUCCAAAUGAACCAGGGGAUAUACAAAUAUUAAGACAUGUCAUUCUUUCUUUUUUUUUGAGUGAAACAGAAAUUUACAAGAAUUACUUUUCUGUUCAAGAAAUCGGCGUCUAAACGCGGCUGAUCGGCCACCGGUGUUGGCGUUUACUGUGAUUAGACAAAUUGUAGGAAUUCAAAAAUAACUUCUAUAGGGGUAAUUUCGAUUUCACAUAAUUAAUUUUAUUUACAAUAUUUUAUUCCUGCUAGGUCAAUUGAGAUUCUUUCCACCGAAAACACCCCUCAUGUUCUUUUAUUUCCUGUCUUUUAUUAGCCGUUGGAUUUUACUACUCUUAUAUCCAACGGCUUGCCACAACAAGACAAAUGAGGUGGUACCUUCCAACCGGUGAAAGGUAGUUUUGGCCCCAAGUGGAACAAGGGAUGCACUUACUAUUAAGGACAGUUGGCGGCCAGCCAAUGCAUUCAUUUUAUGUCCGUUCAUCUUUUCAAUUGUUAAAGACAAGUGGCUCAUCGCUUUUACUACAGGUAAAAUUCAGAUAAUCUCUAUUAUGAAAUAAUAAUAUUCAAAAUAUCUCAUAAAUUAUUAUAAACCUCAAAUUUAUCUUAAUUUUAUUUAAAAAAUAAAAGAAAAAUAGGUUAUGUUGGUGAAUUUUUUUUAAUCUUUUUAAUAAAAAUAAAAUAAAUUGAUGUUUUAUAAUAGUUUAAAGUACUUUAAAGAUUGUAAUUUUAUGAGAGAGUAAUAUUUCACUUUUUUAGUGUAAAAAGUUGAAAAAGGACAAAGCAAGUUUCUCUGAUUUUUAUUUUAUUUGAAAUUAGUCAUCUCAUAUACUUCACCCUUCAACACUACAAUUUUUUUGGUUAUUUUUUUAUUUUUUUAUUUUUUACAUAUGCACGUGAAUUUCUUUUCUUUAAGCUCCUGAAUAUUUAAGACAAAUCAUAGAAGAGAUGAAAGUAUAAUAAGAUGAUCAAAAUACGUAACAAAAAUUUUUAGAAGUGAAACAUACGUUAGAGUUGAAGCAAAACUCCAAAAAUAGAGAUACUGAUUAAUUUAGAAGAGAUGCGAGCAAAAGAUAUUCCCAAACAAAAAAGGGCAACUUGUCCCUUUGGAGGGCAAACUUGUCAGUUUGAAAAAAGUACAUGCUUUGGAUUGAUAGUUGCUGGAUAUUUGUUUUGUCACUGUGUAUUAGUUGAAGAAGUCAAGCCUAGUCAAGAAUGUUGUGAAAGAGCAAAGGAUAUUCCCGAUAGAGCUCUAUUUCAUUAUGUAUCCAGUGAAUAGAUGUGUUGUUGGAAGAUAAGUGAGUGCAUUAGUUCAUUUGUGUCUAUCAAUUUGCUUUUAAUGAUUUUUCCACUUGUUUUGUUGUAAAAGAUUAUUGUAAAAUUAAAUGAAUUUGAUGUUGUAAUAUUUUGUCUUUAGUGGAAUUUCACUUGGUAUGUGUUCAAUUGUGUUGUCUAUAAUUUUGCAUUCAAAUAAGUUUCCACCUAAAAUAUUAGCACGAGUAGUAGCCCUUGAAACUUUAGUCAAAAUUAUUGUUAUAAUUUCUUAUUAGGGGUAAACUUUUUAUUAAACCUCGUUAACAUAAUUCUUAAUUAAUUGUGUGUUUACAUGGAAUAGGGAAUGAGAAUGGAGGAAUGAGAAUGAAACUCAUGUUUACUUGGUAAAAUGUAAUUUGGGAAUGAGAAUAAAAUGUGUGGGUUUUACAUAAUUUGGGAAUAAGGAAUGAGAAUCUCAUUCCCAUGAAGGAUUGAGAAUGAAAUAUAUGUUUACUUUUGUAUCCCUAUACUUUUUUUAUAUUUCCCAAAUUACCCUCAUUCAAAUCACAAUUAAUUUAUUAUUUUAAAUGUCAUUAAUAAUAAUAAUAAUAAUAAUAAUAAUAAUAAUAAUAAUAAUAAUAGUAAUUUUUAAAUUUUAUUAACUUUAUUAUCUUUGUGAUGUUGAACCAUAUACAUAUAUAUAGAGAAAAGUAAAAGCUAUACCUAAGGUUGAGGGAAAAGACUUCAAAACUCUCUUUUGAUUAUAAAACCUUUUGUCUUAAUUAACUUAAAGAUUUUGAAUCUAAUAUUUUAUAAUAAAUAAAAAUAUAUUCCUAAAAUAAAUAUAAUAAUAUCUAUUUUAAAAUAAUAUCAAUAUUUAAAAUAUGUUUUAAUAUUUUAUGCUCUAUCAGACAUAUUUUAUUAUAUUAAAGUAAAUUUAAUAAUAAAUACAAACAUAAUGAAUUUAUAAAACAUUUAAAGUAUUUUGAAUAUUAUAUAAAAUAAUUUUAAUAUAAUGCAUGAGAUAUAUUUUAUUAAUUUAAAAUGCUAUUUAACCUAAGAUUUAUUUAAGAUAAAUUAAUAAUUAAAUUUUUUAAAAUUAUUUCAAAUAUUAAAAAUUUGUAAUAUUAUUAGUCUAUUAGAUAGAUUAAAUUAUUUAUAUUAUUUUGUAUCUAUUAAAAAAUUUUAAAGUCAAUCUUUUUAAUUACUAUUGGAAGGAUAUAAUGAUUAAAAAAAUCUUAGUAUUUUUUUAUUAAAAAUUUAAAAAUUUACAUGACAAUUUCUAUAAAUAUUUAGGUCUCGUUUGGUAUGUCGGAUUGGAUUGAAUUGGAUCUGAUCGGAUUAGAUAAGAUAGGAUUUGAUUGGAUAAUACUGGAUUAUAUAUAAUAUUAUGUUGUGUUUGUUAUGCCAUGAGAUUAGCUAGUAACUAAUAAUAUGUCUUAUAUAUUAAUUUAUUAAAAUCAUCGUAGAUUUUGAAAUACUAACUAGGCAAUCCAAGAGGGGGGGUGAAUUGAGAUUUUAAAAAUUAAGCUAAGCAAACCACACACAAAUUCAAUCUAAUGCCUUAAUAAAUUCGAAAACAAUAAAUUCAAUGAAAGCACAAUAAUAAAUGAGCAAUGGAAGAGAAAGCAAACUCAAGGAUUUUUACAUGGUUCGGUAAUCCCCGCCUACGUCCACGCCUCCAAGCUCACCGGACUUGAGGAUUUCACUAAGCUAGCCUCCCAAGGCUUCAAACGCUUACAAUUGACUUCCAAGGUGUCAAUGAACCUUUACAACAAGAGAUUAUCCCCAAUCUCUUAACCCAAGUGUAUCCCAACACUUACAAUCACUCAAAGUAAAAGAUUACAAAUUGUUUUGCCUCUCACAAUAUAUAAGAUUACACAAUGAUGCUUAUAUAUAUGAAUAGAUGAAGCAAGAAUGUGUUCUAAUUAAGCUCUAUGAAGAUUGUAUUCUCGAAUAUUAGCUCAAUGGUCGUGUUGUGAUCAACCUUCUUUGAUUUUGAAUGAGCUUAUUUAUAUCUGGAGCUGAAAAACUAGCCGUUACAAACUGUCGGUCCGAAAACGGUUCGCCGUUAAUCAUUAACGGUUAACCGUUUAGGCUGGUCAAAAGUUACCGUUGGGCCAAAUUUCAAAUAAACGGUUUGCCGUUUAGGCUUACCCUUUCGUCGUUAAAUUUCAGAGACCUACAAAACAAAUUUAAUUUAACCGUUCUUACUAAACGGUUCAAGGUUAGCAAUCUGGAAAUAACCGGUUAACCGUUUUCAGUAAACGGUUCACCGUUAUUUUCCAAAAUCAUCAUUUUAACAAUACUUUGCAGAACAUGCUUUCUGUAAAUUAUCGGUUAGCCGUUUUAAAUAAACGGUUAGCCGUUUUAUACAGUGAUUGCUACAGUAAAAUUAUUUUUUAAAUUUAUAGUUUGACCUCAAAAUUUUAUAAAACUGUAUUACGGCCCAAAACGUUAUGAAACUUUGCACAUAUGUCCAAUUUCAGAAUUUUUAAAUAAUUCUUUGUCAAUCCCAAAACUUUUUGAAAUUAUGAUUUCACCCAAACUAUGUGAAAUUAUAGAAUGACCCAAAAUAUUUAAAUAGUUUCAAAUAUGUCCAAAUCUGAAAUUUUAAAACAAUAUCAAAGGUUUUAAAAUACUUUCAUUUUAGUUCAAAAUACUUUAAUUCCUUAACAUAAUUUUCUUAUUAUAUAUGAAACCUUUAUACUGUGAAAAGAAUGAUUUAUUUAAAAUAUAAAAAAAUAAUUUGAGCUUAAAAGAUUUAUCAUUCUUAAUCUUGUUUGUUGUCAUCAAAAUCAACAUUAUGAAAACAUAUAUGUUAACAGAUUUACUUUAAAAUGACAUAUAAUAUAAUAUAACUUAAAUCAAUAAUUAUUGGUAAAUUUAUUAAAAAAAUACAAAAUCUUUGCUUAAUUUUUUUUUAAUAUUUAACAUGUUAUAGUUUCUAAUCCCAUGAAUAGUAAAAGAUAAAGUUUUAUCUUAGAAAAUGUAAUCUCAAGGGUCCCAUUGGGAUGAAAUUUUGCCUCUAUUGAAAUUAAGUGGUGGGCCUAUUAUUGUUACCUUUAUUUUUUUUACACCAAACAUAAUAUAAGGAUUAUUUUACACUAAAAUUAUCGAAUCCCAUAAUAUAUAACUAAAACCAAACAGGCACUUAGGGUAUAUAUGAGCCACGGUGGAGAAGCUUUAUUUAAUAUUAUUGAUUUAAAUAAUAUCUCAUUAAAAAUGUACUGAGAAGAAAUUUCGGUGGGUAUUUUAGUCUUUUCAGCAAUCACAUGAUCAGCCUUUGGCCUUGAAACUUCGGUCGGAAUGAUUUAUUCUAACAAGAAAAAACUAGGUAACAUUCCACAAAAGCAAAAGUGACAAAACAACCAGCUGGAUUCUUUUAGUAAACUACAAAUUAAAAUAGAUUUUUUCGAUAAACUACAAAUUAAAGUGGAUUCUUUUGAAUGCAAGUGGGACAGACGAUUAGGCUAAAAAUUAGUCAAGAAUCUAAUAGUCUUUUUCAAAUUCUUGUUUUAUUAUUUUUCAAAACCAGUUUUUGGUAAUUACAAUCGGGUCAUUAAUCAUUAUUCAGAGUUAUUGUUUCCUUCAAAAGUUAGUGGCUCAUGUUUGCAAGUGUGAAUGUGCGAUGCUUUUUUUCCAAAGCGCAAUGACAGUGGGUCCCGAAUCGGACGUGCCUGAAUCUUUUCAAAAUUUUAGGGAAUUAUCAUUUGUAUACCUUUAAUUUAUUUCAUUAUCAAAAAUACUACAAUACUUUAAGGGUGUAUCAAUCGUCCACCCUAAGUUGACAAAAUAUAUCAGCUGACCACUAAAUCGUUAGUUGUCGUUUAAGUAUGAUGACGUCAGAAGGAUAAUUUAGUCUUUUUAUAUAAUACAAGUGAUAAUUUAAGAGUAUAUAAGUGAUAAUUUUUAAGGGUAAAAUUAUCAAUUCACUGUAACUCUGUUAACUUUCAAACGGCAACUAACGGUUUGGUGGUCGGCUGAUACAUUUUGUCAAUUAAGGGUGGACGAUUGAUACACCCUUAAAAUAUUAUAGUAUUUUUAAUAACAGAACAAAUAUAAGGUAUAUGAAUGAUAAUUUUCCUAAAAUUUUUGCCGUAUAAGGAACAGAGGUCAUUACUAAAAUUUCUCUUCCACAGCCUACAGCAGCUUCAGUUUAUCAAACUCAAUCAAUUUUCUUUCUUAACAAAAUUCCAAAGAUGUGUAGCAUUUUUCAGAUCACAUGCGACGGUGCUCUUUUCAAUCGUUGCUUGGAUUGCUUUCUUGGAAAAGCAGCAUACAUACGUAACCUCCAAGAUAAUCUUGUAGCCUUGGAGACUGAAUUGGGAAAUCUAAUCGCAAUAAAGAACGAUCUGAUGAGGAGGGUUGACGAUGAUGAACGACAACAAAUGAGAAGGCUGGACGGAUUGCAAGUGUGGGUUUCGAGGGUGGAUGCUGUUAAAACUGGAGCCGAUGAACUUAUCACAGACGGCUCUGAAGAAAUUGGCAAAUUAUGUGUUGGAGGCUACUGUUCCAAGAACUGCAGGUCAAGCUACAAGUUCGGAAAACAAGUGGCUAAAAAGCUACAAGAUGUGAAGACUUUAAUCGCCGAGGGAGUUUUUGAGGCGGUGGCUACUGAGGUGGUGGCUGAGAGAGCUCCGGAACCUGUAGCAGAUAAAAGACCCAUUGAGCCAACAAUAGUAGGCUUGCAAUCACAGCUUGAACAAGUUUGGAGAUGUCUUGUAGAAGAAUCAGUGGGAAUCAUUGGCCUAUAUGGUAUGGGUGGUGUUGGUAAAACCACACUAUUGACCCAUAUCAACAACAAAUUUCUUGAGAGUCAAAACAACUUUGAUUGUGUGAUUUGGGUCGUAGUUUCAAAAGACCUGCGACUUGAAAAAAUUCAAGAAGAUAUUGGGAAGAAGAUAGGUCUAUCUGAUGAUUCAUGGAAGAAUAAAAGUUUUGAAGAGAAAGCUGUGGACAUCCUGCGGAGAUUAGGAGAGAAGAGAUUUGUAUUGUUGUUAGAUGAUUUAUGGGAGCGGGUUGAUUUAACAAAAGUGGGCGUUCCACUUCCCAGCGCACAAAAUACUACCUCAAAAGUCGUAUUCACAACCCGUUCCAUUGGUGUUUGUGGCAGCAUGAGAGCUAGGCCGGUUAAAGUGGCAUGCCUAUCAGAAAAGCAAGCUUGGGAACUGUUCCGCGAAAAUGUUGGGGAAGAAACUAUUGAGAGUGAUCAUGAGAUCGUUGAGCUAGCCCAAACUGUGGCCAAAGAGUGUGGUGGUUUGCCACUCGCACUUAUUACUAUUGGUCGAGCUAUGGCCUACAGAAAGAAAGCGGAGCAUUGGAGACGUGCAAUUGAAGAGUUAAGAAGAUCAGCUUCAGAGUUUGCAGGUUUGGGAAAAGAGGUGUAUCCUCUUUUAAAGUUUAGCUAUGAUAGUUUGCAGAAUGAGACAAUUAGAUCUUGUUUCUUGUAUUGUUGUUUAUAUCCUGAAGAUUAUGGCAUUCUUAAAUGGGACUUGAUUGAUUGUUGGAUUGGUGAGGGAUUUUUAGGGGAAUCUGACAGGUUUGGUGCAGAAAACCAAGGAUAUGACAUUUUGGACACACUUGUUCGUGCAUGUUUAUUAGAAGAGGUGGAAGAUGAUGAAGUAAAAAUGCAUGACGUUGUUCGUGAUAUGGCUCUAUGGAUAACUUGUGAAAUUGAGAAGGAGAAGAGAAACUUUUUGGUUUGUGCAGGUGAGGGACUAAAGGAGGCACCGGAUGUUAAAAGAUGGGAAAAUGUGAGAAGAUUGUCACUGAUGCAAAACCAAAUUGAAACUUUGUCAGAGGUUCCUACAUGCCCUCAUCUCCUCACUUUAUUUCUUGACUUCAAUGAAAAUUUGAAUAUGAUCGCGGAUGGCUUCUUCCAACUUAUGCCUUCUCUCAAAGUUUUGAAGAUGUCAAACUGCGUGAAUUUAACUUUGAAAUUACCUUUGGGGAUGUCAAAGUUAGGUUCACUAGAACUUCUUGAUGUUUCGCAUACUGGCAUAAGAGAGUUACCAGAAGAGUUAAAGUUGUUGGUAAAUCUGAAAUGUUUGACUUUGAGGUGGACAUUUGAGUUAAAUAAAAUUCCACGGCAACUAAUAUCAAAUUCUUCAAGGUUACGUGUGUUGAGAAUGUUGGGUACUGGCCUUUUGAAUUUUCAUCAAGCGUCAGAAGACAGCGUUUUAUUUGGUGGGGGUGAAGUUUUGAUACAGGAAUUGCUCGGUUUGAAAUAUUUAGAGGUAUUGGAGUUGACCUUGGGAAGUUAUCAUGCUCUCCAAAUUCUUUUGAGCUCAAAUAAGUUAAAAAGUUGUAUUCGAUCUCUUUUCCUCCAGUUGGCCGGAGAUGCAACGUCGAUUGUUGAUGCUACGGCUUUCACAGAUCUAAACCACCUCAAUGAAUUAUAUAUUAAUAAAGGUUUUGAGUUGGAAGAAUUGAAGAUUGAUUAUACGGAGAUAGUACGAAAAAGGCGGGAACCUUUUGUUUUCCGCAGCCUUCACCAUGUUACUAUAUGGCGGUGCGCUAAAUUGAAAGAUUCGACAUUCCUCGUUUUUGCUCCAAACCUCAAGUCUCUUGUGCUACGUAAUUGCCAUGCUAUGGAAGAAAUAAUCAGCGUUGGAAAAUUUUCCGAGGUUCCUGAGAUGAUGCGACAUAUGAGCCCUUUUGAAAAUCUCCAAAGGCUUCAUGUAGAAGAUUUGCCAGAUUUGAAGAGCAUCCACUGGAAGCCAUUGCCUUUCACUCAUCUGAAAGAAAUGGGGGUAAGAGCAUGUGAUCAGCUUGAAAAGCUUCCACUCGAUUCCAGCAGUGCAAAAGAGCAUAAAUUUGUUAUUCGUGGAGAAGCAGACUGGUGGAACCGACUUCAAUGGGAGGAUGAAGCCACUCAAAUUGCUUUUCGUUCCUGUUUCCAACCUUAUUCCUGAGCCGUGGUCGCAAAAUUUGAUUUCUGGUGAGUGCGUUUUUGUUAACGCUUAUGUUUUAUUCCAGUGUAUUUUUCUUCUGUCUUCUGCAAAUCACAAUUAAAUGUGUGAUACAUGUUACGGGUAAUAUACAUGCAGUAUUUUUGGUACACUGCAAAUCACAAUUAAAUGUGUGAUACAUGUUACGGGAAAUUUAUAUACAUGCAGUAUUUUUGGUGGGGUCGAAUUGAUGCUCUGGUUUUCGACUACUUUUUGCUGUCAAAAUUUUCUCUGUUUUUUCAAAUUGAUGCUUUAUUUAUAUCUUCUUCGUGAAAAGUGAUUUAAUUUCCUGCCAAAAGACGAACGAGAAGAACAUUAGAGUCAAACUAAUGCUCACAUAAAUUUCCCGUAAGAAUAUAUAUAUAAUUAGACUGGAAUAGUAGCACUCUUUACAGAAAAUGACGCGAAAGUUAAUUUAGAAAGAUAUAUUCUUGAUUAAUCCAUUUUCUGAAGCUUUUAUUUUGUAUGGUCAAUUAUACCUUCAUACUAAAAAUUUCUGAAGUUAUAAAUUAGUGCAACUUGACAAUUUUUACUGAUGAUAUCUUCUAUUUUUCCUUUCUUUUUUUUUUUACUCUCAUUGAAUGUUACUGUCAUUUUACUUACAAAUAGGUUUGAAUUUUAUUUAGUUUUCUCAUAGUAUUUGUGCAAGUACUAGAAGGUCAAACCCCGCAUACUUUGAUUGCCAAACCACCGUCCAAUUUAAAAAAAGAAAAAAAGAAAAAAAAUGUGUAAUCCAUGAAUCUGGUUAAUUUUGUUUGUUUGUUUUUUUUUUUUAAAUAUCAUUCUUUUUCGGCCACCCAAAAUAUCAUUGAUGACUUUUCUGGUCUAAUGCUAUGUAAAUAGUAUGUUAAGUAAAACAUAAUCAAUUAUUUGUGUUUUAUCUCUAAUUAGAACAUCAAUCAGUUCAGUACCUCACAAAUAAUUCGCAAUAUCUACAAAAUACUAUAAUGGCUACAAAACAAAUCCUGCUUGCAAAUUGUCAAGGAUACCUAUCCGUUCGCUUGACAAGUCAUUUGAAUAAAUAUUGUUCACAUUCCUUACUCUGUCAAUUAUCCAAAGCACCAUCAACUUUAGUUUGAAUAGUAUACAUGCCAUCACCAUUACCAAGAAUCAAGCAUGGAAUUGGAAGUCAUUCUAUAGAGUGCAGAACAUGACUGUACGGUAUAUAUAGCCCGGUGACUUUAUUGUUUUGUUAAAUUUUUUGUUUAAUAUUCUAAAUCUUUGUUUACAAAUUUUAAGUGUUAAUUCUUCGGAAAGCUGACCUCGAAGAAAGGCGUUAUUGAUAUCCAAUUGACGAAAAGGCCGGCCAUGACUAACAUCAAUACUAAGAACAAGUAUAGCCCGGUGACUUUAUUCUUUCUUGUAGUCUUUGCAUCACCACCUCAUUACACGCCAAGCCAAUAUUCCAUUUACCUCUACAACAAAAAGUUUUUAAGUAAACAAUCCUAAUGCACGCAGCCAAAUAAAAUGCAGUAAGAAUAUUCAACUUAAAAAUCUGAAAGCCAACUUGGUGAAUUGCCUCCUUAGGUGAAGUUCCAUGCUUUACUAUAGUUGACACAACUCAGCAAAAGCUUCCAUACAACAGAUUUCGAAAAUGAUGAUGCCAAUAGAUACUCAUUCAAUCCAUUGAAACUCCAAAGGUUCAUUGUUCAUAGAAGUUUACAGAGUUUUGGUCAUCAAAUAGCUCAGACCUAAUCCCAAACAAAAAACGAGUGAAAAUUAGAUCACGAGCAGCUAAUUGUAAAUUCUAACUUAACUCUUCAUCUCCUUUGUAAACAAGAAACAAAAUGGAGACACGCAAAAUGAAUAUGGAGAAAAUUUGAACUCAAAUGAAAUGAGGCACGAAAGCAAACAAAUGGCAUGCACAAAAAAACCAAGCCUCGAUAAAAAACUAAUUAACCAUUAAGAAAAAAAUUGGUCAGAGAAUGAACUCCAAAUUCAGGAGUCAAGCAAGAAGCUUUCAUUAUUUCAGAAGCUCCUGUACAAAUUAAUAAGUUAUGCUCUUUGGAUGCAAACCUAAAUUCCAAGAGAAACAGAACCCAAAAAAUUUGCAAUUAUACGCAAAGGAAGUGAAGCACAGGAUUCUAUCACACAUAGGAAUUGUAUAACAAGAGAUCGAUAUAUCGAAUUAGAAAACUCAAUUCGAAUUUGUGUCAAAAAUCAAAAUUAGAAGAUUUCACAUUUCGAGAGGAACAAGCAACAGAUGAAGUUGAAAAUUUUCAGCCAUAACAUGCUAAAAAUGCUACACUUAACGGUUCAUUUUCAUGGAUUUUCUCGGGAAACAAACAGAAAAUUACGGUUUAGAGAGUUGAAUGACCUUUUGGCUUUUGAAAUUGAGAAGAUCGCGCGCCAAAUUGGAAGAGGGAAAGUGAGAGUGCGAGUUUUAAUAUCAUUGUUUUAUUAUCGAUAAUUAUUAAAUGUUUUUCCAAAAAAAAGAACAAGCAAGGAUAUUUUAUUGUCAUUUGCAACCUUUAAUUUUUUAAAUGCUAUUAGAAACACAAGACAACAAAGAAAUACUUAUUUUUUUUCUAAAACUAAAAUCAAUUCUUUAACUUCUUAUUUCAUAAUCCAACUCCAUUACUAAGUUAAAAAAAAUUGUUUAAAAAUUACUUGAGUCAUAUCCAAUGGACCAACAAAGUAAUCGUUUUUAUUUUUAUUGAUUUUUGCAGGAAAUUAAUAAGUUAAAAAUACUGAAAGCUAUUGUAAAAAAUUAAAUUUCCCUGAUACUGAAAGCUAUCGAUAAUUAUUAAAUUUUAUUUUUAUUGAUUUUCGCUGAUUUUAAAUUUCGUUGUUUGUGAUGGAAAUUUUUUUGAAAAAAUUAAUGUGUUCGAUGAAUGUCAAAAUCUCAAAAACUUUUUGUUUUUCAUUUUUUUGGAAAAAACCACCGAGGUCCUUACUAUUUUUCUUAUAUCAUCUUGCUUAAUAAUUUGCAAAGUCUAUCACAUAGCACCCAUGCAUGAUGUAUGCUGGUUGUAAUUUACAAUAUUGUACAUGAAUAAAUCCAGCUAAAAUUUGUUAAAAGAAAAUAAUAAUAACAUAUUAAAACUUUAAAAUUUGAUUAUUCGAAGAAAUUUUAAUUUAGUUAAGUAGGUGACAUGAUAAUAAAUAGAUACGUAUAAUGUCCGAGAUUUUUUAUAAGAUUAAUAAAUAUAAUAAAUUUGGAUUAGUUCAAUUUUGACAUAAUUCAGAAUAAACACAUCUUGCUAAUCUAAAUUGCCACCGUUACUCAUCAUCAGGUACCUGUUUGAAAAAUAAUUACAAACAACUUAAUUUGUGUUGUUUCUCUAAAAGUUUGAGACACAAAUGUUAUUUCAAAUUGAAACGCCAUGCACUAGUAGUAGGUAAGAGAAACCAAGGUUGAAGUUACUGUUCAUUUAUUUUUAUUUAUGAUUUUUUGUAAAAUGUAAGAAAUAUGUAGAAAUGUUGCCAACAAUGAUUUUGGAACUUUGCAUAAAAUUUUUAUCAUUAUUGUUUUUGGUAUUAAGAAAUCCGAGGCGGUGAUUAGUCGUAUGUUGCAACAAUUAAGAAAUUUCUUAUUGGAGAUAAUUUGGUAGGUUGCAACAAUUAGAGAAUAAUUUUCCGGUCAGUUAAUCAAUCAAUAAUAAAUUUCAAAUUGCAGAAAAUAAAAUAAUACUGUCGCACUUAGAAUCAUCUUUUCUAUCUCUUUCAAUUGUGACAAUCAUUUGUAACUAAUAAAUCAAUUCAAAGUUCAAGUCACUGCUCAAUUGCAGAGUAGUUAGUAGACAUGCAUGCAUGUUUAAUUAAGUACUGCAUUGUAGUAUCGAAAAUCAUAACAUCUCACCAAGCCCGGAAGCAUAGCUCUUUAUCUUGUAAAUGUUGAAAUCUUAUGCAACCUAUGGGAAACAUGAUCUCACUCUCAGUGUCACUUGAUUCCAUUUUCUGUUCUUGCCUUGAUUUCAUUGUUGGGAAUGUGACGUCUGAGUCUAAGGUUGAAGAUAAUCUCGAUGCCUUGCGGACUGCAUUGGAAAAAUAAGCGGAAACGAGAAAUGAUGUGAUAAAUUGUGAGCCAACAAUAGUGGGCAUGGUGUCGACUUUUGAGAAAGCCUGGAGAUGCCUUGAAGAAGAAUCAGUUGGAAUUAUUGGCCUGUAUGUUAAUGGGGGAGUUGGAAAAUAUUUACUCAAAUCAACAACAAGUUCCUUGAUAGUCCAAAUAAUUUUGAUGUUGCGAUCUGGGUAGUGGUCUGCCAAGAUUUACAACCCCAGAAGUUUCGGGAAAAGAUUGGGAAAAAGAAAGGCUUGUUCGAUGAGUCAUGGAAGAACUGAAGUUUUGAAGAGAAAGCACUCGACAUAUUCAAGAAUUUAAGCAAGAUGAAGUUUGUAUUACUGCUGGAUGAUAUAUGGGAGCAGGUUGAUUUAAUUAAAAUUGGUGUCCCUCUUCCAAGCACAAAAAUUACAUUCAAGAUAGUCUUCACAACUCGUUUUAUUGACAUUUGUGGCCUCAUGGAAGCUCACAACAAGAUUAAAGUGGAGUGUUUAAAUGACGAAGAAGCAUGGGAAUUAUUCUGCAAGAAGGUUGGAGAAGAUGUGGCGAUAAAAUGAGUAUAUAUAUCCACUUUUGAAAUUCAGUUAUGAUAAUUUACCUAGCGAUAAAAUUAGAUCGAGUCUGUUAUACUGUAGUUUGUUUCUGGAAAACUUUCCAAUUAGCAAAACGGAAUUGAUACAUUGUUGGAUAAGCGAGGGCCUUUUGGAUGAAACUAAUAGUUCUGAGAUAUGAAAUCAAGGAUACUACAUUAUUGGUGUUCUUGUUCCUUUAUGUUUAUUGGAAGAAGAGGCUCCACUAUAUGUAAAAGUGCAUGAUGUGAUACGCGAUAUGCUUCUGUGGAUCGCAUGUGAAUUUUUUUUUUUUUUUUUUUGAUAGGGAUAGUAUGUGAAGUUGAGAAGGAGAAAGAGAAUUUUUUGGUUCGUGCAGGUGCAAGGAUUAACUGAAGUACCAGACAUUUGGAAAUGGGAAGGGUUGAGAAGGGUGUCUUUGAUGAGCAACAAAACUGAGAAGUUAUCAGAAAUUCCUUCAGAUCCCCAUCUACUGACUUUGUUGCUUCAACGUAAUUAUUUAGAGAUGAUCAAUAAUGACUUCUUCCAAUCUAUGCAUUCCCUUAGAGUUUUGAACUUAUCAUGUAAUCGUUCUCUAACUGAUAAUUUCAAAGUUAGUUUCCCUACAACAUCUUAAUUUAUCAAUGACUAACAUACGAGAGUUGCCGAUUGAGUUAAAGUUUGUAGUGAAUCUUAAGUUUUUGAAUGUGGAGUAUGCACGGUUUCUUCAUUCAAUUCCAGGGCAAGUGAUAUCCAGUUUUACGAUGUUACAAGUUUUGAAGAUGUUUGGUUGUGGCAGGUCAUCUUCUGAUCGUGAGCCACACCAGAAGAUAGCGUUUUAUUUGGAGGCAGUAAACUUUUGAUUGCGGAGUUGUUUGGUUUGAGAGACAUUUAGAUUUGUUGACCAUCAUCCUAAGAAGCUCCCAUGCUCUGAAAGAUUUUUGAGCUCCAACAAACUUCAAAGUUGUACUCAAUCUCUCUAUCCUAAAUGCUUUGAUUCGAAGUCAGUUGAUGUUUUUGGCCUGGCUGAUCUGAAGCAUCUCAAUAGGCUAUAGAUAUUGCGAGUUGUAAGCUUUUGGAAGAAGUGAAGAUUGACUUUGUUGGGAAAGCACAAUGAACCCAUGGUUUUCACAGCCUUAUGUCACGGAAGUUGUGUAAAUACUGCACGGGUUGCUGCCAUCCCAUGACAUUGAGCCAUGUUGAAAUAUCAUUUUGCUGUAAACUGAGGGAUCUGACAUAGCUUGCUUUUGCUCCAGGCCUUCUUGUUGUUUCCAGAAAACAUUGCCAUGAUAUAGAAGAAAUACUCGGUGUUGGAAAAUUAGGUAAAGAGAUGAUGUCAAACCUGGAACCUCCUACAAAACUCCAAGGUUACGUUUGUCAUGUGGGAUUGGAUUGAACUAAAUUAUUAAGAUUGAAUUAAAUUGAAUUAUAUUUAUAUUCUUAUGUUUAGUACCGGAUUGAACUAUAUUAGAUUAUAUUUAAAUAAUAUUAAAUAGUAUUUAAGUUGGUAUUUUAAUAUAAAUAUCAAUUAUCCAUGAAAUUUUAUAAUCAUAAUUAAAAUAAAUUUAAAAAGUAAUUACUAGGAAAAUUAAAUAUAUUGCAAAAAGUUAUUGGGUAGUCAUAAUAUAAUAAGCAAAUAAAAUUAAAUAAAACAAAUUAAAUAUUUAAUUAAUUUUUAUCAAAUAUUUAAAAAUAUUAUAUAAAAUCAAUUAAUUAAUGGUUUUAUUAAUUUUCAUGAUUAUUUUUAAUAUUACAUUAGUGAUUAUUAAAUUUAAUACAAUCAAAUAAUGCAAUAAAUAAUUAAACGUUUAAUUUUAUCGAUUAAUUAUUAAAUAUACAAGUAAUAAAAAUUUAAUCUCAGGAGUUGGUAGAAGCAAAAGUACUAAUUUAAUUACAUCAUAGAUAAUAAAUAAAAAUAAAUUCUAAGUAAAUCAUAAUAAAAAAAUUAAUUAAUUGAUUCAAUCAAUCAAUAUUAGGUGUAAAUAAAAAAAGAGUAAUGAUAUAGCCACAAACUCUUGCACAAACUUAUUUUGUACAAACUCAUGUGUCAUGAUAAGAUUAAUUAAAUUAAAUAUCACUUGACCUACAUGAUUUAUUUUUAUUAUUUUAUAUUUUCAUUCAACCAAUGAAUUAACGCCACGUCAGUUUGUAUAAGAUAGGUUUGUACAAGAGUUUGUGGCUGUAUCAUCGCUUAUAAAAAAAAAUAUAAAUAAAAAUAUCAUAAAUAGACAACUUUUAUCUUUAAUCUUAUUCCAACUAAACACAUGUGUAAAUUAGAAUUAUUAAUCCCAUGAUUUUAAGAUUAAAUUCAAAUUUAUUCCCCCUUAAUCCAAUCCAACUAAACUUGUCAAACAUGGGAUAAAAAUUUAAUUCUAAAAUUAGUACAAUUCCAUAUUUAAUCCUAACAUCCAAAUAUAGCCCAAGUUGUUUGCUUAAAGAAGCUACCAAAUUUGAAGAGCGUUUACGGGAAGGCCUUGCGUUUCCCAGAUGUAUGCAGAAUUUUUGUAUCUAAAUGCCCAGAACUUAAGAAGCUGACGCUGGAUUUGAAAGGGCGGGCCAAGGUAAAAUUCUUAUCAAGUGAAAGGAAAAUCGGUGGGAACAACUUCAAUGGGAGGAUCAAGCAACUCAGGAUGCAUUGCUUCUGUUUUUCAAAUCAACUGACAAGUGAUUGAAGGGGGCAUCAUCAGCCUGGAUGGGGAGAUCCUGGAGCAGAUCAGCAGGGUUUGAAUCUGCAUCAUCAACAUCAUCAGGAUCUCUAUUUCUAUUGCUGGUCGUAAUGCCUGCCUACUGUUGCUUGAAAAAGUGAUUAAGUGAGCCAGUUUUUUGUUCAUUAAAUUUUGUCUUGUAGAGACAGUCACAAAGUAUUUUUCUUAGUUGUUCUAUAUGAGAGUGAUGUGAAUCAAUUUUUCAAUUAUAUAUUCUGUGGUCAUUGUGAAUUUUGUUUAGAGCUGCAGACUAAGAAUAUGGAAAAGUUCACCGGCCAAAACUUUGUAAAAGCUUCCAAGUGAAGGGCCCGGGUGGGACUUGGGAGGCACACCAUGUUUUGUCUUCUAGCGUUGUGGCCGUUAGAUAUUUGGUCCCAUGAUCUAACGGCGCAUGAAAUUGAAAGGAAAUCGGCAACCGUUUAAGAGUGCUCAAGUGAGGUAGGUUAGGGUUUUACGAAAUCUCAAAAGACCAAGAUACUCCAAACUGCCCAUGAAAUUGAAAGGAAAUCGGCAACCGUUUAAGAGUGCUCAAGUGAGGGAGAUAUUUGGAGAAUAGGGUAGACAUCUCCACCCCCACUCCGCCCCAUUGCCAUCCCUAAAGGCAAAUGAGGUGGUACCUUCCAACCGCUGAAAGGUAGUUUUGGUCCCAAGUGAAACAGGGGAUGCACUUACUAUUAAGGACAGUUGGUGGCCAGCUAAUGCACUCAUUUUAUGUCCUUUCAUCUUUUUGAAUUAUUGAAGACAAGUGGCUCAUCGCUUUUACUGUAGGUAAGAUCCAGAUGAUCUCGUUUAUCAAAAUAAUUAUUUUAAAAUACUUUAAUUGUUUUUACUUUUAUGUUAUCUUUACUAAACUGGAAUCAGAAUAAGCUGAAAUCGAAAUGAGUAGGAAUAAGAAUAGAAUGGAAUGAAAAUAAUGAAUGAAAAUCAAAAUAAGUUGUUUACUUGAACUAUAGGAAUUAAAAUCGAAAUGAGCUGGAUUGCCAUUAAUGUGUUUACUUUGUCUUGGAAUCGAAAUCGGAAUGAAUUAGAUUGUAACAAAUUACUAAAAAGUACUUAAUGGAUUAUUGUCAUAAUUAUUAUUAAUUAAUAAAUUAAUUAAUUGUAAAAAAAUUUAAUUAAUUAUAAUAACUAUAAUAAAAAUUAUUAUAAAAAUAUAUUAACUAAUAAUAUUACUAUAAAUUACUUAAUUAAAAUAAUAUAUGAAUUAUUGUGAUUAUUUAUUCAAAAAAUAUAAUUAUUAAUAAUUAUUGUUAAUAAUAUAUUAGUAAUAAAUAUAUUAAUUAUUUAAUAAUGUGAUUAUUUAUUCAGGAACAAUAAUUAUUAAUAUAUUAUUGUUAAUAAUAUAUUAAUAUAUUAAUUAUUGUGAUUAUUUAUUCAAGAACUAUAAUUUUUAAUAAUUAUAGUUAAUAAUAUAUUUAUUUAUUAAUUAAUCAUAAUAUAUUAAUUAAUUAAUUAUAAUAUUAUAUUAAUUAAUUAUAAAAGAGGACAAAGUGGGUAUUUUUAAUUUUGGGGAAGGUAAAAUGGUCAAUCCUAGGAAUGAGAGACUCAUUCCCACCUGCCUAUGGGAAUCAAUCUCCCAAUCUUCAUUCUCAAAUAGUGGUGGACCCCAUCAUUCCGAUUCUGAUUCUUGCUCCAUAUUUACGAAGUAAACACCGUCAAUCAUUUUAAUUCUGGAAUUCGAUUCUUUAAUCCUGCAAGUAAAUUAGGGAUGGCAAAACGAAUAAACGAAUCGAAUCGUAAACGAAUUAGGUCAAAAUUCUAUUAAUUUAGAUUCAUUUAUUAAACAAAUUAAAAUUUUAUGAGUAGGAUUCGAUUGAUUUAUUAAACGAAUAUUUGAUUUUUAAUAAACUAUAUAUGAAAGUGGAAUCUUUUGAAUAUAAGUGGGUAAGCUCCCUUUAAAAAAAAAAAAAAAAAAAAAAAAACCGGGGUAGGCUCUUUUAUUAAAGACAAGUCACAAGUAUUGAGUAGUCACGAGUCACGACGGUUAGGCUCUUUUAUUAAACUGCAAAUUGUAGGAGGUUGCUAUGCUACUGGGAAGCAGCACACGUGUCCUGAAGAGAGAGAAAAACCGAGCAAAUACAGGCAAUGGGAGUUGGCUAAAAGUUGGAUCUGCAAUUUACAAAAUCUGUAACUUAGGGGAAAUUUACAGUAAUAACCAAAAAAAAUUCCCUUUUUUUCAUUUUAACCCCCAAAAAAUAUUUCUAUCAACAUUAGCCAUUAAACAACAUUUGAGACCAAAAUACCCCUCCCUCAUCUCUCCCCCAACACUCCAUUUCACUCAUCUCUCCCAAACCGAUCCAACUCCCAUCAUCGGCGGCGACAUCAACCCUCGUCGGCGGCGGCUCCAUCUCUCACCGGCAUCCGAUCUACGAUCUACAACCUUCAACAAAAUCUAGGUUAGUCAUUUUUCUUAUUUUCAUUAAUUUAAAAUGAGAUUUUAGAAUAAUAAUAGUUAUAGCUUGAGAUUAAUAGUGGUGGUGAUGAUGUUUGUGGUGGUUGGUGGUGUUUGGGAGUAUUGUUUUCGAUUUUGGAGUGAUUGUGCUUAAUUUUGCGGGUGGGGAGGGAGGGGAGUAGGGCGCGCGCGCGCCCAUCGCUGGGCAGCAGCGCGGCACGCUGUUGCACCAAAUCUGGUGCGACAGCUAUUUUUUUUGUUUAUUAAUAAGUUUUAUUGUAUUAAAUAUUUGAUAGUUGUUUUAUUUGAUUUUUCACUUUGGUUGUUGUAGGCUUGGAUUUACGAAGCAAUCGGAGGGUUGCCAUCAACAUGGGUCGUCAAAACGAAGAAUAAGAUUCCCCGCAUUCUGCAAUGGAAGCCCAUGGCGUCGUCGAGAAUCAACUUUGCGGAGGUUUAUUCGUUCUUCAACGACGAAUCUCGUCUUGUAAGUAAUAUGUAUUACUUAUUUUUUAAACUUUACUAAAUUUAAGUUAUGUAUACUUACUUAAAAUUUUCAAUUGAAUUUAUGGAAGGGGGACGUUUUACAAACCCUUGAGCCAAAUUCAAAGGAGAGUAGCAAAAAUUAUUGGCUCUCUGUGAAGGAUUACUUGCCAAGCAUUCCAGACUGGGUUCAUAAGGUCGGUAUACUCUAAGCACGAAAAAUUUGUUAAUCGAAAUUUUUGACUUUUCAUUUACUAAUUUUAAAUGAUACUUUAUACAGCACCAACCCUCAAUCAACGCGAUGCCGUCGGUUACAAGGCAUUCAGACGAGCAUGACGAUCAUGACGACAUACCAAACCCAAUACCAGAGCAGUGUCAUGACACUUUUGCGGAUGAGGUGGGCCAUGACACUUUUGAGGAUGAGGUGGGUAAAUAUGACCACCAGGAGCAAACAGACAACUCUGAUGACGCACGGGAUUCUGAGGUUAGAAAUAAUAUACGAUAUUUUUUUUUAUAAAUUAUUAAUUUUUUAUUGUUAUUCUAAAGUUUUAUUUUUUUCUUUUGUAAUAGUCGAGGACAAAGCAGUUUAAUGAUUACGUACGACGACGGCUGGAUAAGAUUGAUCGUAACGUGUAUGAAAUUAAGUCAGAAUUAAAAGAUUUUAAAGAAACCGUUGUUGGUUUCAUCGACACAUUUUCUAAACGUCCAAAUAAGGAUUCUCCCACUGCACGCUCGUAUGCGGUAAGCUAUUUUAAAUUUGAUAAUAAUGUUCGUUUAACUUUUAAUUUGAUAGUUAUUUAAUAUGUUCUUUUUGGCGAAUGUACAGGCCCCGGAUGACGUUGGAGUGUAUACUGACGUGGGCAAUGAAAAUUUGUCUACGCCCACAUCAUUGUAUAGUUUCUACGGGGAUGUAAGUGGGGAGAGCGUGCAGGUGUUCACAGAGGUGCCUCCGGGCGUUAGUAAGUUCGGCCGCGCGUACAUACCGUCGUAUGUUUAUAACAGUCCGUACAUGAUUCCUCCGGUCAGGCGAGGACAGCACGUCCGGCCUUUACCUCGACCCCAAAUCAUGGAGCAUGCGAUUGACAUGAGUACGAGUGUGGAUGUAAAUCCACUGAGAGGAUUGGAGGACUCUAGUCUGUUUGCUGAGUUUGAUCAAUGGUUUACUGGUGAUAGCAGAGUCCGCCGGAGAGUCCAGCACCCGCGGUCAUUCUUUCAAAUAAUUUUGGGGACAGCUUCGAUGGGAUGGUUAGGCGAUGAGGUAUUUAUAAUUUCCUCGUGGUGUAUACUGUUGUGGAUUUGUGUAUAAAUUUGUUUUUAAAAACUCGUAAUAUUUCUGUUUCUCUACAGCAUAUUCACGAGUAUCUCCGCUUGAUUAGCGAGAAGCAACGGCAGUAUCCAAAUGCCUUACUCCAACGUGUCACACAUACUGACACAUUUUUUUGGGUAACGUGCCGACAAAACUUAUAAAUCUUAUGUGGAUGUAAAAAUUUAAGUUUUAUUAAUUUAUGCAUUUCUUGGUUAUCUAUGUAUUAGGUGUUCUUGAAUCAGUUAUGGAAUAACAGGAAUUGUGCAGUCGAUUCAAUGGUAUUCGACGACCGCGUGAAUAGUUAUCUUUGUGGCCGCCAGCACACAAUGUCUAAAUCAAUGACGGAUGUCGAUAUGGUAUGUAUUUUAUUACAUUUCACAUGCUAUCUAAUGAAAAUAUUCAAGUUGUUGCUUUUUCUUUGUUGUAUUGUAUUUUAAUUUCAUACAUAACGAACAUGUUUUUCAAUUGUUAUAUGCAGCUACUCAUCCCUGUUAACUUCGACGGCGCGCAUUGGGUACUAGCACGAGUUGACUUUCGGAAAAACAAAGUCUGGAUUUAUGACUCAUUACUCACAAAUCGCAACGACAAAAGGUACAAGUUGAAAUUCAAGCCACUUGAAGUUAUAUUCCCUCGAUGGUUGGAAUACGUUGGCUUCUACAAUAUCCGACCGGAGUUGCAGAGUGAAGACCCGUGGAAAGUUAUCGCAGUUAAGAGCGCGCCACAACAAGAGCCCGGAACUGGCGAUUGCGGUGUUUUUGUAUUGAUGGUUACGAUGUAUUUAAUGUUCGGGAUUAGAUUGGAGUUUAACGCUAGUCAUGUCGAGUACUUUAGAAAGAAGAUUGCGGUUGAUAUAUUUAAUGACGAUAUUCAAUUGUAAACCUAUGUAGUAAUUCAAAUGUUGAAAUUUGAAAUUUUUUUUACUUCGCACACUUAAGUUUAUAUAAUUUUAAUGCCUCACAUUUUAAACUUUAAAUAAAGUUUUAUGAAAUAUAAGUGUACAAUACAAAACAAACAGUAACAGUUUUAACCAACGAACACAAAAACAAUAAUAGUUUUAACAAACUCAUAACACACAAAAUACAACUAACUUCGAGUCGACGCAAUGGGAUUCUUACAUCUCUUACGAUUAUGGCCUAGUUCAUGACACCGACCGCAUCUAACAGUCCGCCGGUCAACGUCCUCGCCAGCCGAGGGUAUUCUGAGCUCUUUACGACGGCCAGGUGGUGGUGCCUCAACUGGUGGGUAUACAUGCAUUUCCUGAAUUUUAUCUGGAAUUUCCCAAUCAGCCACAUCACCAACUGGCUCUACUGGUUGUGCAUAAGCCAUCGCCAACGAUUCUGUAGUGUAAAAGUCCGAGCAAAGGUUAAUAAAAUCCACCCGGUGUGUUAGACACGCCGCGAUUGCAUGAGCACACACAAGCUGAUCAAGCUGGAACACUCUGCAGGAGCAAGUUCUCUUUUGCAAGUCAACUAACCCUUCCUUAAGCCCACCGCCUAUAACUUGAAAGCGAUGCGGAGACACCGGCCGAACUAUCAUUCUUUCAGCUAUAGUUCUCCUCUCAGUGACUAUUUCAUCCGCCCAUGUUGUUAGCCGAGUAGUCAUUGAUUCAGCCACAAUUUUCCUAUCAUAAAACCAUUGCUGCAAUGUUUUCCUAAAGUGAUCAACAAGAUGAGUCACAGGAAAUUUUCGAGGUUCCCUCAUGAACGCAUUAACACUCUCCGCGAUGUUCGUGGUAAGAAUGCUGUACCUCCUACCUUCAAACUGCGACCUUGCCCAAUUACACGUACCGACAUUAUUUUCUAGGUAAUCAGCCGCACCCGAGUGGAUCAUCCACAACCCUUCAAGUUGUCUCUUAAAUUCCUCGUGGCCAUAUGCUUUUGCUGCAUUAAUAAAGGCAGGCUCAAAUUGAUCCCAAAGAGCUUUGGACAUUCUAAACUGAGACUUAAUGUUACCUUUGACGUGGUAAAAACAAACGCCAUGAGUUGCAUUGUGAAAAACUUUAAGAACGGCUCUCCUUAUGGCAGUGCAUCGAUCAGAGAUAAUUACCAACUCAGGUCUAUCGCCAAUCACUCCGUGUAACUUCAUCAUAAACCAUUCCCAAGCAUCGUUGUUUUCUGAAUCCAUGAUCCCAAUGGCUAACGGAUACAAUUGAUUGUUACCAUCAAGACAUGUUGCCACGAACAUGCUUCCACGAUAUAAUCCCUUCAGAUGAGUACCAUCUACAGCAAUGACAGGCCGAAUGUACUGCAUAAAACCCUUGAUGGAAGAUCCGAGUGCUACAAAAUAGUACAAGAAAUUACCAUCUCCAUCCUGCUUGAGGUGAGUGACUGUACCCUCAUUCGCUGUAGUUAGUACGUGAGAGUAUUUAGGGAGCAAGUUGUAUGACUCUGCAGGGUUGCCUCGAACUAUUUCAAGACCAACUUCUCUCGCCCGAUAUGCCUGCUGGUAUGUUAACUGAACACCGUAUUCCUGUUGCAUAUCUGCUCUUAUGUCAUUCGGAGUAUAAAUCCUCUUGUCUUGAAUAUAUUUUUCUGCGAUAAUAUGACCGACAACCUGGCUCCUGACUUGAUGACGUCCAUCAACCAAUACCUCAUUAUGACAAGUGUGUACAUUGUCAAUUCUCUUCACCACCCACGGAAUAUUUUGCUCGUUCGAACAUCUAGUUGCUCGAAUACGCCAUUUACAUGAUUCUGAACAACAGUGAGCCUCGAAACGUGUCGUAGUAGACCGUGCAAUCUUGAAAUCAAACUUGUCUCUAAAGGCAACCUUGCGUAGUUGUAAUAUAAACUCAUUUUUCUCAGCAAAUAGCUUACCCACACUGAUAUCAUCUGAAUCACAACUGCUAACAAAGCUUGGAGCAACCAUAUUCGAAGGCAAAGUUGGAGCAACACUUGUAAGGGGGUCAAUUCGCCUUCUCGAUCGAACCAUAGAAGGAAUAGGUCUAUUGCCUCUGUUAUUCACAGGAGUAUUGUCUUCACACUCAUCCUCAUGCUGAAACGACGGAACAUUUGAAGGACCGGCUCCUCCAUCAUCACCAUCAUUAUUGUAACGCGUGCCCCCCCUUGUAGUAUUAGAAGGUUCUGCACAAACAUUAUCCCCCUCUGUCUCAUUAUGAAAAUCAUCAUUGUCCCGAAAAACAUUGUUGUGAUACGGAGAAUAUCGUUGCUCCAACGACGUUGUUAUUGGAAAUACUGUUGCUCCAACAUCCUGUAACGUAACGCCAUUAUCAUCAAUGUUGUCAUAAUUAUCGUGGAUUGGAGAGUAAUAUUGCUGCAACGAUAUUGUCCUUGGCAACACCUCUUCAUCAUUAUCGGGGCCAGACAUAUUUGCUCUAAACGAAGUUUCUGUAUCGACAUGUGGCUCAAUACCUUCGCUCGGAACUCGAGGUGAUGUGGUCACGAAUAUAGGAAUGCAUCCAAAAUUAGCUACGUCCGAUGCCAUAUGCAACACAACCCUCACCAUUUCAUCAUCGCAUAUAUCCAUGGGCAUUGCACAUAUACGAUAUAAUGUGUUACUAGACCUCAAAGUUGUCUUCAUGGUGAUACUAUAGUCAUUAGGGUUAAUUUGUAACACCUCGUAUACUCUUGCCAAUAACUGAUCAAACAAAUAAUUUUUUCCAACCAAAAAUGCUCGAUUUUUACCAUUCACGUACUCCAUACGGCUAUUUUCUAAUGUCUCCCACCAACCAUCGUAACACAAUUCAAGUACAACUGAAUCCAUUAAGCCUGAAAUUAUAAAAAAAAAUUAUUUCAGCCAUAUUAAAAUAAUACAGUUUUAAUGAUGUAUUUCAUGGUGGGUGCGACAGGCAACCUGUCGCCCGAAUCUUGGUGCGACAGGGUGCCCGUCGCACCAAGGUUUGGUGCGACAGGGUGCCCGUCGCACCAAACCUUGGUGCGACGGGCACCCGUCGCACCUUGCUUGGUGCGACAGGCACCUGUCGCACCAAGUUUUGCUGCGACAGGCAGCCUGUCGCCAGAUCCAGAUUUAGCCCAGUUGUUCAGAAAAUAACUCAUACCAGUAACUGAUGUCGAUUUGUGUUGGAUUCGGGAUUCGGAUGUCGAUUUGUGUUGGAUCCGGAUAAAUUAUGAUCGGAUAUCACUUUUAUCGUUGUCCUUUGCGGUCACCGUUGACUGAUGAAUCAAGAGCGAAAAGCUGCUUUUGGUUUGGCGAUAUAGGAGAAACGACGUUGGUUUUGUUACGCAAAGAAGGGUAAUUUGGGAAAAAAGGCUUGUGUUUGGCUAAUGUUGAUAGAAAAAAGUUCAGAGGGUUAAUUGCAAAAAUAAUAAAAUAAUAAUGGUUAUUUUCGUAAAUUUCCCGUUUGAAUAUGACCUUUGGCGCUUUGUUUUUUUUUUUUUGUGAAUUUUUUUCAUUUUUUCCUUCCUGUCAUUUUAUCAUUUCUUUGGCUUUGUCUCUAUUGCGGGUGUUACUGCAUGCUUACUGUUGCUUGACAAAGUUUGCUGGCUUUUCCUUUUGUUUAUUAAAUUUUUUAUGGUCACAAAGUAUUACUCGUUCUAUUUGACAGUGAUGUGAAUCAAUUUUUCAAUUUUAUAUUUUGUGGUCAAUCUUAAUUCAAUUUCAUUUGUCUCCUGCAAUUAUGAAAAAAUUGCAGUCAUAAUAUGGAAAAAUACACCGGCAAAAACUUUGUAAAAGCUUCGGAGUGAUACGGCGAAUUCACUUACUACCAAGGACAAUUGGUGGCAAAGCUAUUCCAUUCAUUUUAUGUCCAUCCAUCUAUUUAGUUAUUGAAGACUAGUGGUCCAUUUGUAAAUUUCAGAUUGUCUCUCUCUCUCUCCCUCUUGAAAUAACAAUAUUUAAUAUAUCUCUUAAAUUAUUAUAAAUUUUAAUUUACUCUCGAUUUAAAAUGGAGCAUGUCGAUAAAUUUUUUUAUUAAUAACAUUCUUUUAAUAAGGGAUACUAAUAUCUUAUUUUGAUUAAUAACAUUCUUUCACUGUGUUAACUCAAAAAAAAUAUUAUAAUGCUUUACAAUAAAUACAAAUGUCCUAUUAAAUGAAUAUAUAAAAAAUUUAGAAUAUUUAGAAUAUUAUAUAAAAUAAUUUUAAUAUAAUGCGUGAGAUAUAUUUUAUUAAUUUAAAAUGUCAUUUUACCUAAAAAAUAUGAUAAAUUAAUAAUUACAUAUUUGAAGUUAUUUCAAAUAUUAAAAAAAAAUUAAUAUUAUUAGUCUUUUAGAUAGAUUAAAUUAUUUUUUAUAAGAGAUAGAUUAAAUUAUUUUAAAAUACCUUAAUUGUUUUUACUUUUAACGCUACCGGCCUUUCUUUUAUUUUAUUGCAAAUUAAUGCUAACAAGAAAAAGCUAGAUCAUAUUCCACAAAAGCACAACCAGCUGGAAUCUUUUAUAAAACUACAAAUUAAGAUGGAUUUUUUUUUUUGAUAAAUUACACAUGAAAGUAGAUUCUUUUGAAUAUAAGUGGGGUAGGCUCUUUUAUUUUAUUUUUGAAUAUUGUAUAUCGGGACUGUAGAUUUUUUUAUUAAACUACAAAUUGUAUAGUCUUUUUCAAAUUGUUAUAAAUUAGUGGCCCCUACAAUCCUCAACAAUUGUACCGAUAUUCACAAGUUGGUGGGCCCUACAAUUCUGUUCCGAUAAUUUAACUGUGCAAGUGCUCAUUCACAAUCUUCCAGGUCAUGCUCUCUAUAAUUGUUUUUUUUUUUUUCUGCAUUCCCUUUCAUGCUCUUAAUAAUUGAAGAGCAUACUUUUCAUUUUCAAAUGUGGAGCCGCAGCUAAUGUCGCUAAUUUAAUUUGGGAUUAAAUUAGGGGACCAUUAUAUUGCAGUGUGCACUAAUUUUUGUGUUUAUCUAAACUCCUUAAGUUUAAGACAUAUUAUGGCAUAAAUAAGAAUAUAACAAUAACAAAAGAGUUAUUCAUAAAAUAUGUGAGAUAUUCAUAGUUUAUUAAUUUAAAAUACCAUUUUAAAAUUAAAGAUUUAUUUAUGAUAAAUUAAUAAUUAUAUUUUUGAAAUUACUUCAAAUAUUAAAAAAUUAAUAUUACUAAUCUAUUAGAUAGAUUAAAUUAUAUAUAUUAUUUUCUAUUUAUUAAAAAAUUAAAAUUAUUUUUAAUUACUAUUCAAAAAAUAUAAUGAUAAAAAAAAAUCUUAACAUCUUUAUUAAAAAUUUAAAAAUUUACAUGAUCAAUUCUCUAAAUAUUUAGGGUAUAUGUGAACAUCGGUGGAGAAGCUUUAUUUAAUAUUAUUGAUUUAAAUAAUAUGUCAAUUAAAAAUGUACAGAGAAGGAAAUUUCGGUGGUUAUUUUAGUCUUUUCAACAAUUAUCAUGAUCAGAUCAGCCUUUAGCCUUGAAACGUCGGUCAGAAAAGUUUUAAAAUUAACGCUAACAAGAAAAAGCUAGGUCAUAUUCCACAAAAGCAAAAGUGACAAAACAAGCAGCUGGUUUCUUUUACUAAACUACAAAUUAAAAGUGGAUUCUUUUGAAUACAAGUGGGACAGACGAUUAGGCUCUUUUUUAUUAAAGGCAAGUAAAAAGUAGUCGAAUAGUCGUUUUCAAAUUAUUGUUUUAUUAUUUUUCCUUCAAAAGUUAGUGUGGCUCAUGUUUGCAGGUGCGAAUGUCCGAUGCUCUUUUUUUAAAGGCAAUUACAGUGGGUCCCGAAUCAUUACUAAAAUUUCUCUUCCACAGCCCACAUCAGCUUCAGGAAUCAGUUUAUCAAACUCAAUCAAUUUUCUUUCUUAACAAAAUUCCAAAGAUGUGUAGCAUUUUUCAGAUCACAUGCGAUGGUGCUUUUUUCAAUCGUUGCUUGGAUUGCUUUCUUGGAAAAGCAGCAUACAUACGUAACCUCCAAGAUAAUCUUGAUGCCUUGGAGACUGAAUUGGGAAAUCUGAUCGCUAGAAAGAACGAUGUGAUGAGGAGGGUUGUCGAUGCUGAACGGCAACAAAUGAGAAGGCUGGACGGAGUGCAAGUGUGGGUUUCGAGGGUGGAUUCUGUUAAAACUGAAGCUGAUCAAUUUAUAAGAGACGGCUCUCGAGAAAUUGGAAAAUUAUGUGUUGGAGGCUACUGUUCCAAGAAUUGCAUGUCAAGCUACAAGUUCGGGAAAAAAGUGGCUAAAAAGCUACGGGAUGUGCGGACUUUAAUCAGUGAAGGAGUUUUUGAGGUGGUGGCUGACAGAGCUCCAGAGUCUGUAGCAGAUGAAAGACCUACUGAGCGAACACUAGUAGGCUUGCAAUCACAACUUGAACAAGUCUGGAGAUGUCUUGUAGAAGAAUCAGCGGGAAUCAUUGGCCUAUAUGGUAUGGGCGGUGUUGGUAAAACUACACUACUGACCCAUAUCAACAAUAAAUUUCUCGAGAGUCCAACCAACUUUGAUUGUGUGAUUUGGGUUGUAGUUUCAAAAGACCUGCGACUCGAAAAAAUUCAAGAAGAUAUUGGGAAAAAGAUAGGUUUGGUUGGUGAUUCAUGGAAGAGUAAAAGUGUAGAGGAGAAAGCUGUCGACAUCUUCCGGAGUUUAAGAGAGAAGAGAUUUGUAUUGUUGUUAGAUGAUAUAUGGGAGCGGGUUGAUUUAACAAAGGUGGGCGUUCCACUUCCCGGACCAAAAAAUACUACCUCAAAAGUCGUAUUCACAACCCGUUUCAUCGAUGUUUGUGGUAGCAUGGAAGUUGACAGGAAGUUUCAAGUAGCAUGCUUAUCAGAAAAGGAUGCUUGGGAACUGUUUCGAGAAAAAGUUGGGGAAGAAACUCUUCAGAGUGAUCAUGAUAUCGAUGAGCUAGCCCAAAUUGUGGUCAAAGAGUGUGGUGGUUUGCCACUCGCACUUAUUACUAUUGGUCGAGCUAUGGCCUACAGAAAGAAAGCGGAGCAGUGGAGACGUGCAAUUGAAGAGUUAAGGAGAUCAGCUUCAGAGUUUGCAGGUUUGGGAAAAGAGGUGUAUCCUCUUUUAAAAUUCAGCUAUGAUAGUUUGCAGAAUGAUACGGUUAGAUCUUGUUUCUUGUACUGUUGUUUAUAUCCUGAAGAUUUUGGCAUUCUUAAAUGGGACUUGAUUGAUUGUUGGUUUGGCGAGGGAUUUUUUGGGGAAUCUGAAGGGUUUGGUGCAGAAAACCAAGGAUAUGACAUUUUGGACACUCUUGUUCGUGCAUGUUUAUUAGAAGAGGUGGAAGAUGAUGAAGUAAAAAUGCAUGACGUUAUUCGUGAUAUGGCUAUAUGGAUAACUUGUGAAAUUGAGAAGGAGAAGAGAAACUUUUUGGUUCGUGCAGGUGCUGGAUUAAAAGAGGCACCGGGUGUUAAAGGAUGGGAAAAUGUGAGAAGAUUGUCAUUGAUGCAAAACCAAAUUGAAACUCUGUCAGAGGUUCCCACAUGCCCUCAUCUCCUCACUUUAUUUCUUGACUUUAAUCAGGAGUUGGAGAUGAUCGCGGAUGGCUUCUUCCAACUUAUGCCUUCUCUCAAAGUUUUGAAGAUGUCAAACUGUUGGAAUUUGAAAUUACCGGUUGGGAUGUCAGAGUUGGGUUCAUCACUAAAAUUUCUCGAUAUUUCAGAAACACCAUAACAGAGUUACCGGAAGAGUUAAAGAAGUUGGUAAAUCUGAAAUGUUUGAAUUUGAGGUGGACACAGCAUUUAAAUAAAAUUCCACGGCAACUAAUAUCAAAUUCUUCAAGGUUAGGUGUGUUGAGAAUGUUCGCUACCGGCUAUGGAUAUUUUCAUGAAGCACCAGAAGACAGCGUUUUAUUUGGUGGGGGUGAAGUUUUGAUACAGGAAUUGCUCGGUUUGAAAUAUUUAGAGGUAUUGGAGUUGACCUUGGGAAGUUAUCAUGCUCUCCAAAUUCUUUUGAGCUCAAAUAAGUUAAAAAGUUGUAUUCGAUCUCUUUUCCUCGAGUUGACCGGAGAUACAGCGUCAAUUAUUGAUGCUACGGCUUUCGCAGAUCUAAACCACCUCAAUGAAUUAUGGAUUGAUAAUGGUAUUGAGUUGGAAGAGUUGAAGAUUGAUUAUACGGAGAUAGUACGAAAAAGGCGGGAACCUUUUGUUUUCCGCAGCCUUCACCAUGUUAUUAUACGAAGCUGCCAGAAGUUGAAAGAUUCGACAUUCCUCGUUUUUGCUCCAAACCUCAAGUCUCUCAAUCUAGACGGUUGCGAUGCUAUGGAAGAAAUAAUCAGCUUCGGAAAAUUUGCUGAGACUCCUGAGAUGAUGGGACAUGUAAGCCAUUUUGAAAAUCUCCAAAUUCUUCAUUUAUCGCAAUUGCCAGCUUUGAAGAGCAUCUACUGGAAGCCAUUGCCUUUCACUCAUCUCAAAGAAAUGGCUGUAAGAGGGUGUGAUCAGCUUAGAAAGCUUCCACUCGAUUCCAACAGUGCAACAGAGCGUAAAUUUGUUAUUCGUGGAUACAUACUCUGGUGGAACCGACUUCAAUGGGAGGAUGAAGCCACUCAAAUUGCUUUUCGUUCCUGUUUCCAACCUGAUUCCUGAGCGGUGGUCGCAAAAUUUGAUUUCUGGUGAGUGCGUUUGUCUUUUAAAAGAAGAAUUUAAAAGAAAUUUAUUCUUGUCGUUUUCUUUUUGGGGCAUCGAAUUGAUGCUCUAGUUUUUUACUUUUUGUUGUCAAAUUAUGCCCUUUUUUUUUUUUUACAAAUUGAAACUUUAUUUAUUACUUCUUAGGAUUUAAUUUCCUGUCAAUAGACGAACGAGAAGAACAUACGACUUAAACCAAUUGAUACUUUAUUUAUGUGCGUUGUAUGUAAUAAAUAUUAAGUAUAUUAGCUGUCUUUCCUGAAAAUCAAAUGACAAUAAAUUUUUUAAAGUUUUGAUUUUCUAUGGUCAAUUCCACCUUUUGCAAUUUCUUCUAUUCUAACAAAAACCAAAUUCUUUGUUCAAGUAUUUUCGUUUGGGUAUUAAUAAUUCUCCACCGAAAGAGUGAACUCUUGGAUGCUGCUCAAGGGUCUCUAAUCAAUCGCCGGAAGCAAUUGAGAGGGCGCCGAGACCUAAUCGGACCUAGGCCCAAGUUUGGUCUUAAAGCCUGGGCUUGAGCCUGACAAUUAAAUUAAAACAUUAAUUGAUUGAAUUGUCGUGUAAUUGAUUUAUGGGGGAUGAAACAUCAACAUGCUUGAAAAUACACUAAUCUUAGCAUCAUCGGUUAAUAAUUUUUAGAUUUAUGGGUAAUCAAUAGUUAAGAUUAGUUGUCAUUAAUACUAAAUAUUUUUUACUUUUUUUGUCUCUUUUAGAGGAUCUUCUAGAACAAUGCAUCCACAACAAAAUUUAAUAUUUUACAUAAUAAACAAAAUAUAAAUGUUAAAUUUAAGAAACUGCAUUGCAUUUCAGCUGAAGCUGACUUUAAUAUUUAGGGUAGAAAAACAAUAAAAUCCUUAAUGUGUUUAAUUUCUAUCACUUGUGUCAUUAAAAUUUUCUAGUCACCCCAACCAAUUGCAUCUCAACCCACUUUUUUUGGAUGAUUUUAUUUUUACACUAUUAUUUUCAACAUAUCAUGAUGUAUUCGUCAAAAGCUGGAAAUGACUGUUGCCCGUCAAAAUUCACAUUUAUUCCUUAACGAUAAAGUUUUAAUAUAAUUUUGAAGUUAUAACUCAAAAAUAUAUUGUGUAAUAAUAAGAAAAAUGACCUAAAUGGUAAAAGUGAGAAAUAAUAAGAUCGAAGUACUAUUCUCCAUCCAAUGUUAAAUGGGGCAAUGCCAUUCUCUGGUUCUCUUCUUUAAAUGCGUGAUGUGCGUGCUCUGUUUUAUUUUUACACUAUUGUAGCACAUAAGUUGCAAAAUAUAACAUAAAAUUUGAAAAAUGUGUAGUUUUUGUUCCUUUUUUCUUAAAAAUGGGAAAAAGAAUGUAAUUUUGUUUAAAUUACUGUUGUGAUAACAAUUAUUAUUUUAUUGAUUAAUUGGCAGAGAAUCGUUAUGGUUUCGUAUGGUUGUUUUUUUUUUUUUUUUUUUCGUAUGGUUGUUAUGGUAUCGUUAUGGUUUCGUAUGGUUGUUAAAACAUUGGAAAGUCCACUACAUCAUCCGUUAAUAACUUUCAAAUUUAUGGUUAAUCAAUAGUUGAGAUUUAUUAUCAUUAAUGCUAAGUAUUUUUUAAUAUUUUUCUCUCUCCUAGAGGAUCAUCCACAGCAAAAAUUUAAUAUUGUAAAUAGUAAACAAAAUAUAAACGUGAAAUCUAAGAAACUGCAUUGCAUUUCAGCUGAAGCUAACUUUAAUAUUUAAUGGGGAAAAAUAAUUAAGUACUUAAUGUACUUUAUUUACCCAUAUAUAUGGCUAAUUUUUUAAGAUAAAGGGGAAGGAUGAUGCUCAAAAAUAUAAAUUAUAAAAUUAAUUGAACUCUCAAGUAAGUUUAAAGUUCAUUAUUUUUAAUUACAUGUUUAUAAUUUAUUUUUAUUUCGUAUUAAUCUAUAGAUCUAAAUCCACUUUGGAUUCAUAUACAUAUAUACACAUGUUUAUAAUAACACAAAGGCUAUCAAUCUCCACCACCAACAAUUUUAUACCCAUUUGCCAAGCCAAAAUCAGACCCUGGUACAAACCUCAAAGCUCUGCAAUUGUUACCGAGCAAAUACCAAUAUUCAUGCAGAACCCACCAUGCCAUCUACCAGUAGCAUCUCUAAUCAACCCCUCUGCACUCGCCAAACCGGAUCCCUUCCUAGCACCAUCAGAGUUUAAUUUAUAAUAUGGCCAUCGAGGAGGCAACCAACCAAACAUUUUUUGGACUCUCAGUCCUCUAUCACUUUGAAAAGCCUCACAAGUACGAAUUAUCUCCUCAGCUCGUACCCUGAUAUCCCGAACCAUGCUUUCUGCAUUCACAACUUUAUCUUAAAAAAGCAACUGAUUCCUUGCCACCCAUAUACACCAGAUGGCUACCCCAAAUAUGCAACUCCAUUCUUGAUUGCUACCAUGAUUACCCAUACCUUGAAUAUUGGCAAAAAUCCAGUCACGGGUUGGCAACGUGAAAAAAUCAGCAGUCUCAUGACCUGUUAACAACAUAUUCCAGAUUCUCCUAGAAGUGGCACAGUCACGAAGAGCAUGGGCCGUAUCCUCUGCAGCAUAACCACAGCGCAUGCAUAUCAUAUCCACCCCAAUAUGUCUCCUAUAAAGCUCGGCUUUGCAUUUAAUCCUGUCCUUUGCAGCAAGCCAAAGGAACGUCCGGAUUCUGUGAGGACCUCUCCAUUUCCAGAUACUUUUCCAUCUCACCUCCUCAUCCUGAACCAAAUUUCCAAGAAGCAGGUUAUAAGCUGUUCUUGCCGUAAACAUUCCUGAAUUUGAUGAUCCCCAAUAAAACUGAUCAGCCUCACUAUCCGGGGAAGGAGGCUUAAUAGCUGCAAUCAUUAACACCACAUUAUGAGGGAGGAGAAACCCAAAACGGCCCCAAUUCCAUGAACCAUCAACACUAAUGGCGUCAACCACCCAAUCAUGUAAAAUAGCUUCAGGAAUAGGUGCCACUGCAAGAUGAACAACCGGCCCAACAUCCGCAACCCAAGAUCCUGCCAGAAACGAAUUCGCUUGCCGUCCCUCACAUUCCAUCGAAGCCCCUGCAACACCUUUGGCCAAAUCCGACCAAUAGCCUUCCACAAGUAUGAGCCAUAUUUUGUAGGCAAGGAAGUUGACAUAGUGUUCGGAUCAAAGCCAUACUUCGAGCAUAGAACCUGUGCCCAGUAGCUAUUACUAUUGACCAGCAAGCCCCAACCAAGUUUCAUUAAUAAUGCUUCAUUCAUAAGCGUUAAAUUCUUCAAACCUAGACCUCCUGAUAAUUUCGGACGACACACAUCAGCCAUUAAUCAGAUGAAGCUUCUUAACUUCCGAGUUACCACUCCAAAUAAAUCUGCGGCAAUGUUGCUCAAUUUUGGUUAUAAUUGCUGUAGGCAGUCUCGUUGUUUGCAUUGAAUAAAUCGGCAACGCCUGCAGCACAGACUGCGUGAGAGUGAUUCUACCAGCCAAAGAUAAAAAUUUAGCACUCCAACCAUUUAGUUUACGCUCCACCUUCUCUAAUAUGCCAUGAUACGUUGCUUUACUAACCCUCGAGUGCAAAAGCGGCAUACCCAAAUAAUUACCCAAGUUCGUAGUCAUAGAGAACCCAAGAGUUGUGCCAAUAUUACGCACAUUACACGGAUUAACAUUCUUAGAAAAGAAAACUUGAGAUUUCUAUUUAUUGACCUUUGCCCCCGAGCUCACGUAAAACGUAUUGAGAACAUCAUUGAUCACAGCCGCUUGAGUGCAAGAAGCUUCAGCAAAAAGUAAUAAAUCAUCAACAAAAAAUACAUGAGUGAUAGGGGUACCUCGCUUAGAAAGCUGAAUUGGCCUCCAAGUGCCAGUAUUAAUGGCACGAUGAAUUCCGUGGCUAAGUCUCUCGAUACACAGGACAAAAAUAUACGGAGAAAUAGGGCCGCCUUGUCUAAUCCCCUGUGAGUGAACGAACUCCUCAGUACAUUCCCCAUUCCACAGAAUCUGCAUAGAGGCUGAAGUGAUACAAUCCAUUGUGAUACGAAUAAGGUCUGACGGAAUCCCCGCUUCACAGAGAGUUUCAAAGAUGAAAUCCCAACUUAGUCUAUCAUAAGCUUUCUCCAGAUCCACUUUAAUUAGCAUAUGGCCAAUCUUUCCUGACUUUUGACGCAUGGUAUGAAUUACUUCCUGAGCAAUAAUAAUAUUCUCUGUUAUGUGCCUUCCAGGGACAAAACUAGUUUGCAUUGGCCCUAUCAAUUCAGGAAGAAUGCCCUUUAAUUUAUUCGCCACAAUCUUCGUAAUUGUUUUAUAAAUGUCAGGACAAAGACUUAUAGGUCGAUAUAAUCGGAGGCUAUCCGGAUGCUCAACUUUCGGAAUAAGCACAAUUAGAAUUUAUUAAUCUCACUAGGUAUUUGUUGUCCCUUGAAAAUCCCCUGCACCAAAUUACAAACCGAAACUCCCACAGUAUCCCAUUGUGUCUGAUAAAAUACAACAUGCAAACCGUCAACUCCCGGAGCCUUAAGUGGAUGCAUACUAAAAUUUGCCUCCCUAAUAUCAUCCUCACAUACUCCCGCAUUAAGCUUGCCAAGAUUAAUCUCAUCAACUUUAGGAAACAUACUCACCAGAGGGUAAGGGAUAUGCUCCCCAGGCUCUUUUGUAUAGAGAUCCUUAAAAAAUGUUACAUCAUGAGCUUUGAUAAUAUCCACAUCCUCAAUCCAAUUGCCAUGCUCAUCUUUAAGCAUCACUAUUUGGUUCUGUCUUCUCCUCUGAAUUGUCUGGCGAUGAAAAUACUUAGUAUUUCGAUCCCCAAAUUCAACCCAAUCACGCCUAGAUUUUUGAAACCACAAAAUCUCCUCCUGACUCAAAAUACUCUCCAACUCCCGCUUGAGAGUCACCUCGAGAUCCAUCAGGUGUCUAGAUCUGUGCCACUCCAGAGCACGUUGAAUUCCGGCCAAUCUUGCUAAUAUGUUAUUCUUCCGUUUGUGUAUGUAUCCAAAGACCUCCUUGUUCCAUUUCCGCACCUCCGUAAUAAAAUGGCCAGCCGGGUUGACAUAAUCUCCACUCUCUCACCACGUUUCAGAAACAAAAGUUUUUAACCUACUGUUAGUGAGCCAAGACGCCAAGAAUCGGAACGGUUUAGCACCACUAGCUUGCCGACUUACCCUCUCAAAUUUAAUUAGAAUAGGGCGAUGGUCCGAGUCAAGUUUAGGCAGAUACAUGACUUGUGAAUUGGCAAAUUUCUGAACCCACUCAUCAUUACAAAAACUUCUAUCUAGGCGCUUUAGUAAGUUUCCUCUCUCCCAAGUGAAUUUCGGCCCACUGAAGUCAAGAUCACAAAACUGAUUCCGAUGAAACCAAUCACUAAACCGAUGACAAACACCAUUUGAGCGAGGCGAACCGCCCCUCCUCUCUGAGGGAUGUAAAAUGGUAUUGAAAUCACCUCCAAGGAGCCAAGGCCCCAACACAUUGCGAGCCACUACUUUAAGGUCCUUCCAUAGAAGGUUUCUAAUAUGUUUAUUUGGACUUGCAUAAACUGCAGUAGCCCAAGAGAUGAAACUAAUGUCGUUAGCUAUACGAAAAUGAAUGAACUGUUUAUGAUUUAUGAUCACCUUCACUUUAACACAAUCUUUCCACAUUAACCAAAUACCUCUGGAGAAACCUUCAGCCUCAAUUCUAUGCGACCUCUCAAAACCACUUCGAAUAAUAAACUCAUCAGCCUUUUUCCCGCUUAUCCUUGGUUCAAACAGUGCCAUCAUGGAAGGAUUAUACUUCUGAAUUAGGGCUUUGAAAGUCCUUCGAAACGCAGGGGCAAAUGCACCUUGGCAAUUCUAAAACAUAAUUGAGAAACUCAUUAAACAAAAAUAUUAGAGAACAGAAACCAAACCCCUUACUAACGAAGGGUGUGAGCUUGAAGCUCCAACUCCAUAUCUGUCUCUUUCUCUAGAGAUCCUCCAGAUUCUGAAUCAUCUCGGGAUCCGUCAACACCACCUCGAGCCACAUAAGUGCUUCAUUCUGAGUCCUCAUCUCCACCAACUCCAUUCCAACCCCCAUUAUCAGGUGGUUCACCCAGGGGAUUGUUUCUAUUAUCCUUUGUCAUAUCGGCAAAAAGAGGGUUCGCUCUAGCAAACUGAGUCAGCAUGUCCGUACCAUCAGGGGGAUUAGCAAAGGAGUACACCGAAUGUUUAAGAGGGUCAAGGGAAGUACUUGCGAGGUGGGGCUGGUUGUCUCUGGUCUUGACUGACUGCUGUUGUAUUGAGGCAAGGGUUGGGUUAAUAAUGUGCAUGGCUGGUGAUAAGAUCUUGUUUUGGUCUGCAUGGUUUGCAUGGGGAGGGCUGGAACGUAACUGGACCAGACUAGGGCUGGGAGGAUGAGCAACGUUUCCACGGUUUGAUCGUUGGCUAUGUUUACGUAAGGAAUAUCUAUGGUUAGGUUGCAUGAGCUGAUUGCUAUUUUGGUUUUCAUCUUGCAAGUCAAGGUUGCUCUCAAGUGCAUGAUUGCUAGGAAUCCUUUCACUGAUUUCUCGCUCAUUAUCCAUAUUAUCUUCAGAGUUGAGGAGCGAAAAGCGGGAACCAGAUCGAGCAUUACCAUUAUGGGUUUGAUUAUAAUCUCCUUGAAUCGUACCUUCCUUAGCCUUCUGUGGCCUACCUUUUUUAGCAACAAUCAUCCAAGGACCAAAAAUCGAAUUCUUCGGGUUUUCAACGGUUGCAAGAUCCACCGUCACUCCCGUCACUUCGCCCUCCGGUUGAUGUACUCCGUCGCAGCCUUGCCCUCUCGGCACCUCCUGCUUUCGUCGACAGGUAUCAACUGUGUGCCCAUACUUUCCACACUCAAAACAUAUAGUAGGGAGCCCCUCAUAUUCAAUCCUUUGAAUCUUGCCAUUCAACUGAAAUUGUGAGACUAAAGGCUUGUUCAGACAAAUUUCAACAGCAACUCAAGCAAAUUUUCCACGUUUUGCAGCCUUAGUAUUGUAAUCUAUCCUUAUGACACGACCAACAACUUCCCCCAGUAUUCGAAGAACCCUUUUAUGAUAGUAAUGCAAUGGCAUGCCAGGAAGUCUGAUCCACGCCACUACUGUUUCAAUCUUAUAAGAUAAACAAUCAAAGGAUGGAGACCACUUUUGAACAGUUAAGUAAUGCCCAAAAAUAGUCCAAGGGCCUUGCGUGAGAGCAAAGUCCACAUCCUCUUCUGUUCCGAAGCGUACAAGAUAAUAAUCAUUCUCUAAGUCAAUGACUGUAAACCCUCAUUCCACUCUCCACAAGGAUUCCAGUUUAAUACAUAAUGAUCUAUAGCCAAUUGAUCUCCCUAACAGUUUCACAAUCACUGUGUUUUUCCAUGGCCGAACCAGCUGUUCCUGCAUCUUCUGUGAAAACACAACCGAAGGAAUACAUCCAUCUGUUUCAAUGAUUACGUCCUCAUCCGCAACAUCUAGGUCAUCCACACCUUCAUUCAUCUCAGCAGCCCCUGACUGAUCUUUCAUUAAACUAUCCCUAAAGGACAUAACCGGCAGAUUAUGUUCAUCAGAUCCCUGUUCCCUGAAGCGUGCCUUCUUAGUCGUGCGGUCUUCCUCCAGCAGGGGAGGGGUCGCUUUCAUCAAAUUAGGGUUUAGUUCCAUCAGAGACAACUUCCGUCUUUAUCGGAGCUUCCUCCUUUUUUUCCCCUAUUCGCACCUUUCUAAUACUCUUUCAAAAUCGUAAAAUCUUUAAAUUUUACCCCUCAUCUUAACUUAAGAAAACUAAUCACUUAUUUUAUUUAACAAAGAAGAGAUUUUUUUCCCGUAAAUUUCCCAAUUAUUUCUCUCCCUCUCGCUCCCGUAAGUUAUACAACUUGAAGUGAAAUAUGAGUGGUCUGAUUCUAGCUUAAAUAAUUUAUUGUGACAUGCUAUCUAAGGACAAUACAUUACCUAGCUCUACAUAUUUUAUUUAACCUCUGGCUCACCCUGUGCAAACUUGCCUUUCCCCUGCAAGAGAAGAUUAAUCAAUCUAUCAAGUCUCAAAUUCAAUUUGGAAUAUGACCAUCGUACGCUCUUGUUCUUCCCUCUUUACGAGUGCAUUCCCCCCAACCUCAAGCUCCCUCUCUCGUCUUCAAUGUCACUGCUUAUAUCCUUAUGUUGUUCUAGUUUGAAAUAGUGGCUUCCACUAUUUCAGGGCCCCCAAAAUUCCAGAAACAUACUAUUCAUCACGAUGACAAAAUUUUUGGCAGGCAGGUGCUUCCUGACUUUCACACGGUAAUUCUCAAAUUCUGAUUUCACCAUAUUUUAAUUACUGAUUAGCAUAUAUUCAAGUGCUCUCCAUUAUAAUAGAAGCCGCCUCACCCGUGAUUCCAAACUUUAUCUUUUUCCCUUUUUUAAAUUAAUGCAAGUAGCCGCUGUCCUUUUUAUUAAUUAAUUAAUUCGGCCGCCCACAUUUCUUUUCCUAAUGUCUUCUACUGUCGAUUUUCUUUUAUUUUCUCUUUAUUCUUAAAAUAUGCUUAUAAUAAUAAAAUAUAAAAAUUAAAAUUAAAAUUAACAUAUCAAAAUAUAAUUUAACAGAAAAUUAAGAUAAAAAAUGAAAAAAAAUAUAAAUUAUGAGCAUAUCAAUUAAUAAAUGAAAAAUAAUUAUUUUUAUUUUUAUUAAAUAUAUAUUUUUCAGUAUUAAUCAAUUAUUUGAAUAACUAAAAUUAUUUAAAAAUAAAUAAAUUAUUCUUUAAAAAUAACUUUUUAUAACACUCACUAUGCUGGUUGUAGGGUAGACGCUUUGGGGACUGAAGCUGGUAACUUCUACAAGUAGUCUUUUUUUUUUUUUUUUUUGAUUACAUGAGACUAUUGCUCAGAUUACAACUCAUAUUACAUGAGACUAUAACUGAUAUUUACAAAUCAGACUAUUACUGGGACCAACUUACAUCAAUGCUAAUGGAGCUCUGCCCAGAUUUUUAACCCUCACAAAUAUUCAAGGGAUGUCUACUCCUCACUCAUGGGUAAGGGAGAAGACUACCUUCACUCAAUUAAUUGAGGAAGGAAAUACACCCACAAUACUUUUGUGGGGGUUCGAACUGCUGCCCUCCAACUUGGAGGGCAGCAGCCCUGGCCACUCGGGCUGAGCCGAGUGGUUUACAAGUAGUCUUAAGUUGACUGGCAACAACUAUAUUGGCAUUUAGAAAUAAUGUACUGCAACCAUAUUGGUAUGUUCAAAUGUUCUUACUAUUGUAUUGGUGUGUCAAUAUUAUCUCUAACUGCCUUAUAGAUAAAAAAAUAAUCUAAAUUUACAAUUUAACAUAAAAUAAAAUAAUUGGUAGAAAAACAAUUAUGGUUCAUUUACUUAUCAGUAAUCAGAAUAGAUUGGAAUCGAAAUGAGCUGUAUUACCGUUGAUGUGUUUAUGAUGUCCUCGAAUUGGAAUGAAUUAUUUUAAGUUACUAAAAUAUCCUUGGUUUGUUAUUCUAAUUAUUAUUAUUUAAUAUUUGUCAUAUCAUUAAAAAGAAAUAAUAAUGAUGAUAAUAUUAUCAUUAUUGUUUGUUACAUUAUUAUUAUUCAAAAAAAUUAUUGUUAAUAACAAUAAUUACUUUAUUUCAAUAAUAAUAAUGAUAAAAUUAAUAAUAACAAACAUGACAACAACAACAAUUAUUUAUUAUGCCAAAAAUAACAAUAAUAAUAAGAAUAAUCAUCAUCAUCAUUUUUUCCCAAAAAAGCAUUAUCAUCAUCAUUUCAAAAAAAAAAAAUCAUCAUUAUCAUCAUCAUUUUUGUAGUGGCUGCCUAUCGGCUGCUGCUUUCAUGUGAGAUUGACUUGCGACGCUUCAACGGCUAUUAUUUCUGGCAAUGUCAGGUGUUACUGUUUCAAUUUAGGAAGAAGAUGUUUCGGUGUGCUAACGAUGGGAGAUGUUGUGGCUGCGAUUCGGGGAGCUACUAGUUUAUUGCACAAAUGACGGCAGGUGCUGCUGCUUGAUGCGAGGUCAAUGGCAAGUUGUCAGCAGUUCGACUUUGGUAUGGGCGCUGCUGGUUCGAUUUUAGGUGUUGUCUAAUUUCAUUUUCAGGAUUUUAAUUUUAUUUUUUCUUUUAUAUUUUCAUUAAUUAAUCAGGGCAAAGUUUGAUUUUAGAAUUUGGAAUGAAGGUUUUUUUGUUAAUCAUGGAAAUGAGAUUCUGAUUGUCGAGAAUUAACUUACACAAGCAACUGCAAAUUAAGUGAAAACAAAAAGUUUUUUCUCUUUGUGUGAUUAAAACAUGAAAUGUACCAUAAAUAAAUAGGUAAAAAAAUAAAUCAACACAAUCCAAAACAGUAAACCAAUUACAAGAGGCACAUAUUUUUAUGUGAAACACCGAAAACAAAAAAAAUCAUAGCACCCUAGUCUGAUAUAAUCUUCUAUUAUAUUAAUGGGAUUAUAGCACAAAUUCUUCCCUAUAUAACACUAGAAGUUAACAAUAUCAAGAAUCUCAAUAAUCUUGACUUACAAUACAACCUAAUAUGUCUCUCUAAUAAGUAGAUAUCUAAAAUAACAGUCUCUAAUAAAUAAGUAUCUCAAAUAACAGUCUAUAAUAAGUAGGUAUCUCAAAUAAUAGUCAAUAAGAUGGUAAAAUAAAAAUUAAAACUAGUAGGAUUGAAUAAGGCGAUGCUAUCAACUUAUCUUCUAAAUUUGAGAAAAAUAAUUAAAUUCACUUUUUCGAUUGUCCGACAAAAGAUGGAAACCCUUGCCCCAAAACCAAAGGAAUCACCAUUGUUCUCUCUCUCUCUCUCUCUCUCUCUCUCUCGUUCUUUUCUUCUACUUUUCUUAAUGUUAGCCGCCACUUGCUUUUAUUCUUUAUAGCAUUUAAAAAGCUACUUUUAAUGGUAAAUUUCAUUUAAAUCCAAAACUUAGUGAUAAUUGCACACCAAAUAAUUCUUUUUGGACUAUGGACUUUUGGGCUUCCAAAUAAGAUGAAUACAACAAAUCUCCCCCUUUAGAUCAUAAAGCCUGCUCUCUGCAUAUACUUUUUCAGCUUUUCCUUGAAUAAUGACUUUGUUAUCAUACAUAAUCCAUUCUCCGUUGUGUAAAUUUUCUCAAGCUGUAACUGUUGCUUCUCAAGCACGUCUCGUAUCUAAUGAUAUCUCACAUCAAUAUACUUAGAUUUCGAAUGGUAUAUCAAAUUCUUUGAACGGCACUCUGGCUGUCGCAGUACAUAACGUAGCUGUCUCGUUUUACACCCAGCUCUUAUAAGAAAUUCUUCAUCCAUAAUAUUUUUUUGCAACCUUCAAUAAUUGUAAUAUCAUUUGCUUUAGUGGUAGAAAAGGCAACUUAUUACUAAAGUUUAGAUUGCGAUGAGACUGCUCCCCCUACAAAAGUGAGCAAACAUCCUAGUAGGAAUUUUUCAGAAUCAACAUCUUCUGCCAUAUCUACACACUUGUAACACAGGUUUGUCACCACCAAAAUAUAAACAUGCUCUGGAAAUGCCUCUAAGAUAUCUGAGAAUGUCCAGUGCUCUUUUAUAAUAAAUACAAACAUAAUGAAUUUAUAAAACAUUUAGAGUAUUUUGAAUAUUAUAUAAAAUAAUUUUAAUAUAAUGCAUGAGAUAUAUUUUAUUAAUUUAAAAUGCUAUUUAACCUAAAGAUUUAUUUAAGAUAAAUUAAUAAUUAAGUUUUUUAAAUUAUUUCAAAUAUUAAAAAUUUGUAAUAUUAUUAGUCUAUUAGAUAGAUUAAAUUAUUUAUGUUAUUUUUUAUUUAUUAAAAAAUUUUAAAGUCAAUAUUUUUAAUUACUAUUCGAAGGAUAUAAUGAUUAAAAAAAUCUUAAUAUUUUUUAUUAAAAAUUUAAAAAUUUACAUGACCAUUUUUAUAAAUAUUUAGGGUAUAUAUGAGCCACGGUGGAAAAGCUUUAUUUAAUAUUAUUGAUUUAAAUAAUAUCUCAUAAAAAAUGUACUGAGAAGAAAUUUCGGUGGGUAUUUUAGUCUUUUCAGCAAUCACGUGAUUAGCCUUUGGCCUUGAAACGUCGGUCAGAAAAGUUUUAAACUGCUUAAUUGUUUUUCACUUUUAACGUUAGUGGCUGCUUAUAUUUUAUUAAAAAUUAAUGCUAACAAGAAAAAACCCCUCAAUGAAUGAGGGUGAGAUUGCUAAAAAUUACGACAGGUGAUAUUAGGUGAUAUUUUAUUAUUAUUAUUAUUAUUAUUAUUAUUGGGGGAUAAAUCCUCACCAAAGUGAGGAGAUUUUAUCAAAAUCAAAAUAAAAAUAUAACAAGAACUGAAAGUCGGGCAGCCUAAAAGCUAGAUGAACUAAAAGUCCGGCGCCUAAAAACAACCUUAUGCAAAAGAGAAGCAACAUGAGACCGAUCAAGUAAAAGAAUCCACCGCAACACCUAAAUUGGCCAAAUUAUCUAUUGGUAUUACAAGUUUCUUGUUAUAAAAGUGUAGAAUGAAGUAGGUGACGUAGUUUUAAGUUACAGCUGCAUGCCCAAUCGCAAUAUCAAAUAAUGCUUAAAGUAGUUGCCUAGGCCCGCCACAAUUUAUAUUAACUCUUAAAUUUAUAAAUAAUUAAAUUUUUAAAAGUUUGGAUUUAUAUUAAAAAAUCUUCAUAUAAAUAAAUAAUAUAUGCACUUUUACAACACAGUCUUUAAAUUUAAAUUUUUCUAGAAAAAUCUUCUGUAUAUCUUUUCUAUUAAAAAAAUUUCCAUAUAACUAAAUAAUAUACCUAAUUUAAUUGGACCCAGCACAACGUACAUGCAUAGAAUACAUUCCGAAAAGCCAUGCUAUUCGGAAAUUGACGAAUGAAAAGUGAGGAGGCAGCAGUCAAUGCUAUUUCGGCUUGGCCCAAAAUUGAUUUAUCAGUUUGACGUGUGCCAGGUGUUUGAGGGAAAUACUUCGACGAGACCAGACGUGAUGAGCAGAUAUUGGGUAGUAGAGUUCUGCGAACAGGUGUGUUCUGUAAGAGCCUGGUAGCAGAGGAGCAGCAGCAAGAAUAUUUUGCUCGUCCACGAAUAUGCCAUUCAUGAGGAUGAACUCCCGUUAGAGGCAUAAGGCCAUUCCUGUUAGGAGUCGAGGCGAGGAGACCCGGUCAACGACAGUUGGCAAGACGUGCGUUCCUAUCCGAGAAUCAAGGCACGAAGUCCAUCUCCAUUCGCCCACAAUGACUACAAUGGGGCAUCCACAUCCGAGGGUGGGGAGAAUAAUGGGCGUGGACUACGGAAGAUCGGGAUUCAGAGGAAGCCUAUAAAAAGGUAGCCAGCGAAGGUAAAAGGGUUAGACUUUUUGCUAUUAGAACUAAGAAAAGAAAGUUCCGAGAACUGAGAUUAAAAAGAAGCCAUAAGAUUCGUGGCAAACAUUUCCAGAACCCCUAUUUCUGACUUGAGCGUCGGAGGGUUUGCGCCGGGAAAACAAACGGCGUACUCUGACCUGUCUGUGUGCGCAGGAACCUCUGGAGAAGAAGCGUUACGAGGAGAGAUCCUGGUCGUGGUAAAGUUGAUCGAGCAGAGACCUUGGUCGUAGAACAAGGACAACCAGAAUCUCGCAUCAACACCAGGAAUGAAGAACUGGAAUAUCACCGUCAAGCAAGCAACCUGUGGAGCAAUACCAUAGAAUGCACAAUCCGGCUUUGCAAGGUGACACUGGAGGCUUUUUGAAAAUUGCUUCACGCUCACUUGCACAGAUUGAGCAUCCCCUCUGGAUAUUGCCCUCUCUGAUCGAGUCUGAGCACUCAAAUUUCAGUCCUCAGAUGGAGCUACAGCUUUCUCUCCAAUAACCAACAAUUUUCUAAACUCAGCACCUAGUAUGAUCAGAGUUGUUGAUAUUUGUAAAUGGAGAUCCCCAUAUUUGCAAAUGGAGACAUUUAACAAAUCACCAACAUGCUUCAUUCAGUCUACGAAAUUCUGCAGCUUAUUCAAAUCCGGAACCUGAACCAGAGUCGGAGGUAAAUCUUGAGCCAUAUCUAAAGCAGUCUGAAGUUCAAGUACUUGAGCCCUAGACAAUGGUUUUGAAAUUGGAACAUCUUGGAUUACUGCAGACUUGUACCCCUUGGUUUCAAAAGUGAGGAAAGGCAUUGCUCGAGUACAGUUUGGAGGCAGCUUCUUCACCAAUUUUAUUUGGAAGCAAUUGGCAGCGGAUCCAGCUGCACCAAUUUCAGAGCAAAUACUGACACUACUUCGAACAGCACGCUGAAGAAGAGAUGUCUAUGGCAAAGGCAAUGCAGUCCUCAUUUUGACUUGAGAUGCGGUAAUCAUCAAAGAGAGUUUCCUUGUGAAACUGGGCAACGCAUUGAAUCCCUUCACCACUGAGAAGGUUGUGGAGGAAGUAAGCUUUCUCUCUAGUGAGGAAGAGGUGGCGUACCUUCAGGGCAGGUAGAAAUCUCUUUUCUAAGAGAUUUACUCCAUUCUCUGUGAGAAAUGCUUUGAACUUCAUCCUUCUGUCUGUAUCCUCACUUAUCAGGAAAAUAGUUGAAAGCGCUACAAGGAGAGAGAAGGAAAGUAUUAAGAUAUAUAGACAAGAAAAAUAUUAGAUGCCGAUCUUACAAACUAAUACUCCAAACACUAUCCUAGAAAGCUAAAAACUGAAGGAUGGCUUGAAAUUUGAAAAGAACACAUGCUUUUCCUCCUUAACUUGGGAAAAUGUUUAAUAUAGUGCACCUUACAGAAGCAUUUAAGCAAUUAGAAAUUUGCACAAAAACAUCAAGAAGACUAAACAAAUCAGAUGCAGUGUAUUUGUCCAAGCACAAAUUGCAUUUUGUCCUCAACUUUAAUAUUUAUUGAUGAGAAUCAAUACAGGUCCCUCAUUUGUUAUAGAAAGCUUUCUUGUAGUCUCACCAGUAAAUUCACAGGUCUAUAAUCAUCUUGCAAAGUUAAGGGCAUUUCUUUCGAUCUAAAGUCUUUGCAUCACCACCUCAUCACACGCCAAGCCAAUAUUCCAUUUACCUCUACAACAAAAAGUUUUAAGUAAACAAUCCUAAUGCACGCAGCCAAAUAAAAUGCAGUAAGAAUAUUCAACUUAAAAAUCCGAAAGCCAUCCCGGUGAAUUGCCUUCUUAGGUGAAGUUCCAUGCUUUACUACGCUCGAUAGAACCGAGCAAAAGCUUCCAUACAACAGAUUUUGAAAAUGAUGAUGCCAAUAGAUACUCAUUCAAUCCAUUGAAAAUCCAAAGGUUCAUUGUUCAUUGAAUUUUACAGAGUUUUGGUCAUCCAUUAGCUCAGACCU